rnacentral:lncRNA from 1 species
ACCUCUUAAGUAUAGUCGCUGCUCAAAUGUUAUAACCAGGUUAAGAAAUUCAUAAACAUUAGGCGAUGUGAGACUUGUCUUGCUAACCUGUAACACCCUAAUAGUCCUAUAUCGGAUAGUUAUGACUAGAUGUAGGAGUAUAUAAGUUUGAUUGGACUAAACAUAAUAACUGGGCUUAAGCACUAGGCCGGUGGUUUUGGCCCAACGAGUUAUUAUUAUUAGCGGGUCGGGUCGUUACAUUUGGUAUCAGAGCCAGUUCACCAGCCGGAAGUGUGAGAUGAGUCUUCGCUAAGACAAGAUUAGAAUGACAAAUUAAGCCAGAGUCGAUGAUUGACAGGCUAAGUUAGGAUCGGAAUGACAAAGACUAGCGAGACAAGUCUGUGACACCCCAAUAGUCUCAUAUCGGAUAUUUAUGGCUAAAUGUGGGAGUAUAUAAGCUUGAUUGGGCUAGGCAUAAUAACUGGGCUUAAAUAUUUUGUGCCGUUGGUCUUGGCCCAACAAAUUAUUAUUGCUAACGGGUCGGGUCGUUACAUAAUCUUAGACGAUUUUGUAGGGAACCGCUCUCCAGUCACAACGAACAUCAACCGCAACGAACAUCAGCCGGUGAGAUUGUAACACACUGGACCUAUGCAAAUUGCGAGGUUCGAGUGUUUGAUUUGGAUUCCGAGCUUUUCCACACUUUGUGGAGGGUCAUAGACGGUGUUCCAACCCGUAGUUCGAAAUUCUGAAUUUUUUGGCUAAGUUCUGAGAGUUUCACUCUCGGGGACCGGUCCCUAGUGGGAGAGACCGGUCCCCCUGAGGCAACCGGUCCUCUGGGUCAGAGAGACCGGUUCCUGAACGCGUGGCCGCGAGAGAGUCCUGAGGGACCGGUCCCAUGUGGGGAGAGACCGGUCCCUCCACCCGAAAUUUGCCCAGACCUUGCUGUGUGCAGGUUGCAAAGUUGAGGGACUUUUCUGAAUUUUGUUGCUUUAGAGGGCCUAUAUGGCUUUUCCUCUCUCUCUCUCCCUCAUUUCUCUCCCUCACACUCUCUCUUACACUUUAGAAAGAGAAGAAGAAGGAGAAGGAAGGAGGAGAAGGAGAAGGAGAAGAAGGAGAGUAAGCUUGGAGGAGCUUUGGACAUCUUCCUCUCCCUCUUUUCUCACCAUUGGAGACUUGGAGCUUGUUGUUGGAGCUUUGUGGAGGAAGGACCUUCAACCCUUGAGCACUUUGAGUGUGGUUUGAAGCAUCCUAGAGGUGAGUAGCUAGUUUCCUUCCUCUAUAUUCUAGUUUUUGAACUUUGAGCUAGAUGAAACUCUAAAUUUGAAUUUUAGGGUUAGAAAUGGGAAUUUUUGUUUGGAGGGCUUUGGAACCUAAUUGAUGGGUUUAAAACCUUUGUUUAGGUUGUAUUGGAAGGAUUAUAACUCCCAUUUGGAGAUUAAGAGAGUUUCCUUCGCUUUCGGUGAGUUUUUAGCCCUAUCCUUGAGUUGGUUUUUAAUCAACCUCAUGGUUGUUCAUUAGAUUCAUUUAACUCCCGUUUUGAUGCUUCUAGGGUAUUAGGAGGCUUGUGGGCACCUUCGUUGGAGCAAACGAAGGGUUUGGAGAAGUCCGGUGGGUUUGACUUCAUGAAAUCGGGACAAAACGGCCCCUAUGUGUAUUAUACUUGUCGUAACGUCAAUUUGAUUGCAUAUUCAUGCUAAAUGGGAUUUAUGUGAAUUUUAGAACACUUAAAAUACAUGUGUUAUAUAUUAUAAAAAUUUCACUCUAUAUAGUAGAGCUAUAUGUGUAGGCUGCAUGCAUGUGGAAGUGUUGAUCUAUGCGAGUUGAUUACAUGUCUCGUGCAAGAAAAAUGAUUAGAAUUAUAUAUUCAUGAACAUAAUUAUCAUGCUUUGACUUAGUGAACAAAAUGCCAUAAAGGGGCACCUGAACUAGUAAACUAUGAAGCUGCAAUAUAGAGACAUAGAGUUGGGCCAUUGACAUCUACUACAUUCCAUGUUUAGACAUGAUGAUAUAGAGAUAGGCCCUUGAGACAUAUGUUAUAUUUCAUGUUUUAGACAUGAUGACUUGAGACUUGAGACGGAUCUUACGCUUACUGCCAUUGUGCUCAUUCGCACACGCUUGUGAGGGUCGCUCCCUACAAGCCGGCACUCCGGAGAUGGCCAUCGCGAUACAUAUUCGCCGUGCGGGAUUGGGCUCCGAAGUAAAUUGCCGUGGACAAGGCUCAUUCCUAGAGUGGGGAUGUUGACUACCACGGGGCCAUUAGGCUCGGCACCGGCCAGACAGCCUACGGGUGGGUCUACAGGGCAGACAGCCUUCGGGCGGGUCUUCCAAAAUUGAACUUUAAGUAGUUAACAUGCAAGUGAACAUUGACUAGAGUAGUAAACAAUGACAUUUUACUAUUACAUUGUGGAUAUUAUGAUGGUUGUAUACUCGUGCAUUUUCAUGAUAGUAUAGCUUUCUUACUUAUGCAAUUCCAUGCUAAAUAGAGACCUCAUGUAGUAGCAAGUACUCAUAUUUAUUUACUUGUCGUAUAUAUCGCUUUUGCUUAUACUCGUACUUACUCUUUUUGUAACUUUUGAGCCUAGUGACGCAUAUCACUGAAGUCAGUAAUUGCCCACCGGGAACUAUUAUUUAAUAAUUCUCAUGUCCCCUGUUUUAUGGUUUAUUUCAGAGCCUUCGGCACCGGCGGAGGUACGGGAUCGCGGAAAGGGUGUCGCCUAGCUAGAUAGCGGGGAGCUACUUGCUCUUAGGUAGUUACUUUCUUUUUCUAUUUUGGAGAGAGAGAUUUUUGUACCAUAUAUAGAGACCACCUAUGUACUUUUUUAGUUCUUGUUUUGGGAUAUCUAUUGUAUUACUUAUGACUUUUAUUUAGUGGUUUUGGCUUCUUUCAUCUUUUCUUGUUGCAGAAAUCUAGAUGUACUUUGCUCUGAUACUCCUAGAUGUUCUUCUCUCAUUACUCUAUUUAUCGAUUUGUUGUAGACACCUUAUAUGUUUUAAACAUAUGGCGGGUCUGGACACGCGCCGGACGGACUUUCGCUGGGCCCCGGGGCGUGACAGAGAUUUCGCUUUAUGUUAUUUUAUUUUAUUUCAUAGAAACACUAUUCUACUCUAAACAAACCUGAUAAUUUUAUUAAUACAUCCAUUUUAGAUAAAAGGAAUCAAAAGUUGGGCAUAUAUCGAUUAAAGUAAUGGACACAAGUUGGGAACCCAUUACAAAAUAACCAAAGUAUUUUUUUGUAAAUUUUUUUGAGAGAAAGAUAGCAAGUUAUCUACUGCGCUCAUUUAUUUUUAGAAAUAAAUUCAGAUAGAAAAAUAAAGUACUAUGCUUCAAAUUUGAAACCUCAAGUGUCAACCAUCAAGUCCUUAGCAAACUGCACUGGGUACCGUCUAUCAAAAUGACAAAAAUGUUGAGGGGAUCUUCAUAUAUGUAGCAUCUAAAUUAUAAUUAGUGAUGGCAUUGUGGAAUGCAUGUUACAAUAGCUAGCAACAUUGUCAAGUACUUGGGAAGCAUCUUUGUGGGGCAUUUUAGAUAUGUCAUAUGUGUAGAUCAUCAAAUAUCUCCAUGUGGAAACUCCAAAUAAUGGACCCAUUUGAUGCCAAAUAUAUAUACUUCAAUGUUACAUCUUUGCUGACUAAAAGAAACAGCUUUGUAGGUAACAUUUCUCUUUCUCCAAAGUGCUCGACAUCUUGUUCAAAUUAUUCGCUAGAAAAUAAAUACUUUCGUGUACUCCUUUCAUUCUCCGUAUAAUUUAGAAGAAUUUAAAGUGUGUCAUCAGAGCUAGGCAGAAUAUAUUCAUUAUAUCUAAUCAAAUUUAGCCAGUAAAUGGUGACCAAAUUCAAUAAAACUAUUGAUAAAAUUCUUGAGUUCAGGUUUUCUUAUUUUGUGCUUGGCAAUAGUUUUAAAUACUGAGAUUUAGAUAAAUUAUAAUUGAAAUGAACAUGAAAAUAACAUCCAAAUGUUAUAGUUUAGUUUCAAUUGUUUGAGCUAACACAUUUUAUAUUUUUUACUACUUGAAUAUUCAUUACAGAAGGGGCAAAAAUCAAGUAGGACUCGUCGCACAAGAUAACUGAUCGAGAUAUGAGACAUUGGAUAGAUUAAGUGUCCUUGGACAACUCGCACCGUAGUUAUUGUAAUCCUUUUAAUGUAGGGUUAAUAUAGAUAAGAUAUGUUCAACAAGUACCAAAACUUACAGACCGUCACUAGAGCAAGUGGCAAAGGGUUUGGUGGUUGGUACCCGAGACCCAAGUUCGAAUCCUAGUUGAUUCACAUUUCCAGCUAAGUUUAUUUCUAAAUUAAAUAAACGAAGCGGGUAGCGUGCUACCUAUCUCUCAAAUAAAAUAAAAAAAAAAAAACAAGUACCAAAACUUUGUGUUGGAUUAUUAUGUCCUUUAUUUCAACAAAAAAAAAGUGGGUUAAUUUCACUGGUGCCCUUCAAAAGGUUGAUAAUAUCGUAAAUACCCUCACAAAAUCAGUAAUAUCGUAAUUACCCUUUUAAAUAUAUAGAUUCUUUCAAAUCUACCCUUAUUUGCAAACUCCGUUAAAUUCAUAUAAGAUUAAAGAUUAAUUACCAAUUUUGCCCUUCAUCCUUGAAAGGUGUUGGGGGUUAUAGUGAGAAAAUAUAUGUUCAACUUCCUCAACUAUAGACUAUUUUGAAAAGGAUCCCUAAUUUUUUUCCUUGUGUAAAACACCCAUUCAAUUUUCAUUUUUUUGAUUUAAAUUAACUCCACGAAUUAAAUUAUAUACGUUGUUCAAAACUAAAACACUCCAUUAGCAACUAACUAUUAAAUCUAUAAUGUCUUUAAACAAAAAUCGUUAAAGCCGUUAUAUUUGAUGAAAUAACUAAAAUUUUCAUUCAACUUGCAAAAAUAGUGUAAUUCUAGAUUUAAUAAUUAGUUGCUAAUGGAGUGUCUUGACUUUGAACAAAAUAUUUAAUUUAAUUAAUGAAAUUAUUUUAAACGAAAUAAAUAAAAUUUGAAUGGGUCUUUAUACAGGAAAAAAAAAUUAGGAAACUUCUUCAAAAUAGCCUAUAGUUGAGGGGGUAGAAUGUAUUUUUUCUCACUAUAACCUUCAACACCCUUUAAGGAUCAAGGGCAAAAUCGGUAAAUAAUUUUUAAUCCCAUAUGAAUUUAACGGAGUUUGCAAAUAAAGGUAGAUUUGAAAAAAUCUAUAUAUUUAGAGGGGUAAUUAAUUAUGAUAUUAUUGAUUUUGUCAGUGUAUUUACGAUAUUAUCAAUCUUUUGAAGGGUACCAGUGAAAUUAAUCCAAAAAAAGUAUUCAAACUAUUGCAAAUCCAUGUUGAUCACGAAAACUAUUAAGAGUAUCUAAUCCACCCUCUCACCCAUGUGGACAAAGUACAUGUAUAACUAAAUUAUAUAUAUAUUCAAACACUCAAAAACAGAAUAAUGAAAACUAAGUUAAAUUGAGCCUUUUUAAAUACUUGAGUAAAAAUUUCAAGUUUGCAAAAAUUCGUAAAUCAAUUUAUGUUUUAUUCGGAUGACAUAUACAAAGCGUGGGGUGGAGAAAAUCCAUUUAUCUUUUUGUUUUUUUUUUUUUUUUUAAUUUUCUUAAACCUAAGAAGUGUAAUUUUAUAAUCCGGAUGUAGGAGUUAGACAUUUGAUUGUUUAAAUAACAUCUCAGAUAACAAUGAACUGCUCAAUAAACCGAUCAAAAUUUAUCAGCUUUUUUUAUUCAAAAAUAUUUUUAUAUUAGCUUUUAGGCAAAAUUACAGAAAAUUAUUUUGUUAAUAUUCGCUUUUUCAUUUCCUCCCACUCUAUCAUUCAAAACCUACACUUUGCUUUCUUAAAAAAUAAAAAAUGUUCAUUUUGACCCCGCCGUCAGUAUUGCGUUAGGAUUUCGUUUAUAUUCUAUUUUUGAUACCCAAAAUACUCUUAAAACCCUCAUCCUUCCUCAUCCUCGACCGCGCCGUCUCGCCUUCCGCCGCACCGCCUCGCUCUCUGCUGCCUCACUCUCGCCUACCUCUGCUGCCUCACCCUCGUCCUCACCCUCGCCACCUCUACGUCCAUGCCCAUUCCGAAGAGGAUGAAAGGUAAUUUGAUCAUUUUGUUACAAUGUAUCUUCCUGUAAAUAUUUUUUAUAUUUUUUAAAAAAUAAAAUAUAAAGCUUUGAAUGAAAGAAAAAUAAAAGUAAAAAUACGAAUAUUGACAUAAAGAUUUUUUAUAAUUUAGCAUAGAUUUUAAUAUACGGCAGUAAGUUCUGUUAAAAAAGACAAAGAAAAGGAACUUUUUUUUCCCUUUUUUUUUCUCUUUUAUUUCCAAUUUGUCUCUAGUUUUCUUUUUCUCUCCUUUUUCCUCUUUAUGCUUUUUUUUUUUUUUUAUUUCCUGAUCAGGAUUAGGAACAGCAUCCCUAUGUUUAACACUUCGGUUAAAAAUGCGCGAGAACACCCUGUACUAUCCAAAUAUUGCGACUAAACAUCUAUGCUUUUCACUUAAAAAUGUUUAGCUUUUCAAACUUUCCUGUAGUAAAAUUAUCUUCUUUUUUUUCACCAAAUAGUUAAUUUUCUCCUUCACGAAUUUUUAACGAAUCACUUAUUUUAGUUUACUUUGCGUAAAUAUUCAAAAGCUAAAGUAUUAAUUUUACCAACUAAUAAUCACGAGAACCAAGUUGCUAUAUCGAGAGACUAGAGGGACUGUGCACAACAUUGUUUUAACCCCCACGUGUUGGAAAAUGAUUGGCCCUUAACUAUGUACGACUUUAAUGCGUUGUGGCCACGUGUCGCUUUAGAAAGAUAGGAUCUGCAAACUCCUCAUUGGCCCAACGAGAAUCUAAAAAAUUUUAAAAAAAAUAAAAAUAACUCAAGUUAUUAUAAUAAUACUACUAACUAUGCACUUCUUUGUCGUUCUCCACCAGCCCCUUCAAUAUUCGUGCACGAAGCAUUUAUAGUCCCCAUCAUUAAAUGACUAAUUUUUGCUUAUUAUUAUUAUUAUUAUAUAUAUUAAGGGAGAUCAAGCAUUAAGAUACUAUUCUUCUUAAUUAGAUCUAAUUAGGGAAAUAUUAUUAAUUGGUAGUACCUAUACUAUCCUGAUAUUGAACCUUGGUCCCUGUAUAUUUAAUAUAAAAACUUGGACAAUUUACACUUUUGGUACUCAAAUUUUAAUUUAUUGUAAUUUUUUGUGCAAACUUUUUGAAUUAUUACAAUCAAGUUAUAUAGCUAGCUCAAUUUAAAAAUAUUGACAAAUUGUUGAUGUAGAAAUAAUAUAUAUAUAUAAAAGUAUUGUAAUUGAUAAUGCGACAAUUAAUCACUAAGAUGAUAAACUACUUCUAUGUUAAUAAUUUGUCAAUAUUUAGUCAAUUAAUAAAUGUGAUUGUGAUAAUUUGGAAUGUUCAGAUCAGAAAUUAUCACAAAUUAAAAUUUUAGGACCCAACUGUCAUGCGUUGUAUAAUCUGAGGAGCAUAAGCCUAAUUUACCCUAAAAACUAUAUACUAUUCUAAAAUCUUUCGUGUGUAGUGCUUAUUAGCCCUAAUAAGACUAAACAUCUUCUUCUAUAGAGAGAUAAUUAAAAUUAUCGUUUAAGGUGAUUAAGACCAAAUUUUUGUAUUUAUAUGUGUAAUUUUUUCUGAGACUAUUUUAUUUAAGGAGGAAGUGUAGAGAUCUAGUUGCAAUACUAUGAUAGUACAAGAAGCUACGCGCAAAUUUUACGCGAAAAAGCCCAUUUCUUCAAAAUAUAAGUUAUGAAGGUCAUUUCAUAAUAAAAGGUAAAAUUUUCUAUCCACAAGCGACUAAAGUGUAUUUAUAAUAAAAAAUAAACAAAUUUCUACUAUCUAACACAUAAUCAAUAUGAUAUGAAAUUUUAGUCUUGUAUCAUAAACUUUUGUGAGAUUUUAUAUUUUCAGCCAUUAAUUUUUUAGCCUUUUCAAUCAUUAAAUAAAUUAUAUCGAAAUACUCUAAAACAAGUUUAAUGAAACUGAUCGUCAAUUUGAAAAUUUCAUUAUCAAAAUCAACUUAACAAAUAUUGUGACAUUCGUGCUUCUAAAAGAACUCCAGCUUACACGCACGUAUAUUUAUCUCCACCUUAACUUAGUAGAAUUAAUGAGUCAUUAUUAUUGUUCGGAAAUUAAUUAACUAAUUAAAGCUUAUUUGCUACUAAAAAUAAUUAAGUCAAAAGUACUACCCAACCAUGUUUACCCAAAAGUCUACUCUUCUUAUAUAUAAACCAAGUAGGAUGAUUCCCUACUGUUAUUGGAAGUUAAAUAUGCACUUUUGACUAUAGUUUGAAUUAUUACUUAAAUAAAGUACAUAUAUAUAUAUAUAUAUGAGAAUCAUUAAUUGAACAUGCAUCUACAACAUAUUUCCUCUUCCAAAGUUAUUAUAAGAAACAACAUGCUAAGUAUUUGUGUAAAGCUUCUUCUGCUAUAGUCGUCGCGAAGAUCGAGUUUGAAAGGGUGGUGCAUGGUGAGAUCGAUCGAGAAGAUACGUAUCGAGAAAGUUAGGGUUUGGGGGUGAUGAAGAGCUUGGCUCGAAGCUUGUCGAAGAGCCAUGUCGGUGCGGGGUUGCUCGCGGGGUUCUUCUUGGUCUUGCUCACCUACUUCACCAUGUCGGAGCAGUUCGCGAUCCGCGCUCCGAAUCGUGAGUUGUAGUUACCUAUGCUCUUGAAUCAUUUUGAUCAUUUCAUGAAGGCUAGAUGAGUUCAAGCAACAUAUUUUGGGCACUACUAAUUUUUAUGAGAGCUUAUUUGAAUUUUGUAGUUUUUUCGCAACCAUCGACGGAACAUGAAGUUAUAUCAACUCCAUCUGCACAGGAUGUAGAGCAAGGUGAGACAAAUUAACAUAUAAUUACCUUAAUUAUUUUUCAUUUUUUUCUUUGUUUUGUGAGAUGAUAGUGGAUUAACUAAAGAUGGUUAAAAUUACUGUAACUAAUAGAUUAGUUUUUAAGGAAAAAAAAAACCUUAUAUAUAUAUGUAUAUAUCAUUUUAAAAUUUUAUAGUUUUAAUGAAGAAGUUGAUUAAUUAAAUGUCGAAUGAUGAAUGGCAGGAUCAAAAGAUACGGUAGAAGAAAUCGACGCGGGCCGUAACGAGCAGGAGCCAAAAUCAGAUAAAUUCAAAAAGGAAGAAGAGAUCAAAGAAGAGGAAAAAACAUCAAAAUCUUCAAAGAAUACUCAACAACUAGGUAAGACACUUAACAUUCCACACACUAAUGAAAUUUAAUAAUUUUCCAUAUUAAAUGAAAUAAAUGAUAAAGAGCUUGGUGGUAAAAAGUUUGGUCGUUGGUACCUGAGUUUCAAAAUUCGAAUCCUAAUUGAUUCAUAUUUUCAACUAAAUUUAUUUUUAAAUAAAAUAAAUGAAGCAGAUGGCAUGCUACUUAUCUCUCAAAUAAUAAUAAUAAUAAUAAUAAUAAUUUUUCAAAUUAUCUAAUGCUACAAAUUUAGAAAGUUUACUUUUAAUUUGCUCGUCUAAUUAAUUUCUUUUAAAAAAAUUACUAAAGGUCAGAAAAGUUUCACUUUGCCCUUAGUCCCCUACAAGAUCAUCAUAAUUUGCUUUACUUCUACUUAUAUAUCGAGUGAUCUCAUAGUCCAGCUAGCAAAAGACAAGAUUUUUAUCAACCGCACAUCCUUUCAUCCAACGGCCGAAAACUCAAUAGUACUAAGGACUUGAUACUGUUGAUAGUAUAGUAGCAUAAUUCUAUAUACAUAUAUAUGAAUUGAGCUCCUAUACUUUUAAAAGUACCAAGUGAUUGGUAUUUGUAAGUUUUCGGCCCUUGGAUUAAGGGACAAGCGGCCGGUUAGGAUGAUGUAGGCCACAUAGGGUUGAGUGGGUGGUUGGUUAAAUAGUAUAAUUUAGCGGAUAAAAAUGAUCAAAUGUGUAGAUCUAACGAUAAAAAAUUUACAAGCACCAAAUGCUUGGUGCUUUUACAAGCACCAUAGCCGGACUCCAUAUAUAUAUAUAUAUAUAUAUAUAUAUAUAGAGAGAGAGAGAGAGAGAGAGAGAGAGAGAGAGAGAGAGCUAGGCUGGUAUACUAUCGGUAGCACGGAGACCUCCGUGCUACCAAGUUGUUUUCAAUGAUGUGGCUUUCAAAUCAACGAUCGGUUUCGUUAGACUUGAUCUACACUAUUGAAAGUAUUUGGAAAACUAAAUUUCAUAACUUUUUGACAUAUUUUGGUUAGUGAUCAAAAGGUGUCAAAAUUAACAAUUUUAAUGAUAGAUGUGAUGCGUUUGUGAAUUUAACGGUGUAAAAUAAUCCAAAUCUGAUAAAAUUUUUAUAGAAAAUUCUUUUCACUAUUUAGAGUAAAAUCAGUACAUCUGAUCUUAAAUUCAAGUCUUUUAUUAUCAUUUUUUAUGAGAUUUUUAUUUUCAGCCGUUUAUUUUUAAACUACUCGUUUGAUAGGUAAAUAAUACAGAAAAAUUAUGAAAUUUAGUUUCCAAAUACUUUCAAUAGUGUAGAUCAAGUCUACCGAAACCGAUCAUCGAUUUGGAAGCCGCAUCAUUGAAAACAACUUGGUAGCACAGAGGCCUCCGUGCUAUCGAUAGUAUACCAUCCUAGCUUUUAUAUAUAUAUCUUUCACAUGGAUGAAAGAGAUGAUUGCGUGUAGCAAUUUUCUGCAUAUUGAGUUAUAGGACUUUGAUUUGUUUCGAAGAAUUUCUAAUUUACAUGUAUUAUUUUCUAUGUUAAUUUUCUUUUUCUUUUUUUUUUUUCCACAUGGUAUAGGGAAAUUAAUUUUGGCUUUGUCCCACAAAACAAGCUUAACUUAUUCUUUAGUGAUUGAUAAUUUUGUACUGUGAAAGCUCCAAUCCACAUAAAGACAUGUUGCUUCAGGACAAGUUUCUUCAUAUUUUCUAUUGAAAUUUCUAUCUAUUAUCUUACCUUCCAUUAAGAUCUAGUUCGAGAACUGCGUCGAAAAACGCAUCCGCUUUGGGAUUCGGGUCGGGUUCGAGCCGGCUUUGGUUUGGUAAGUUUGAAUUGAAUAAAAAAAAAACAAAAUUAUUUGGGACCCAUUUAUGGUGGCCCAACCCUAGCCUAAAAUUCUAUUUUGGAUAUCCAAACUAUUCGUGUUGCGAGUCUUUUGAACCCUCUAAAUUAUAAAGCAGGUAUAUUUGACGAAUAUAUUUUCAAACUAAGACAAUGUAAAACCACCAAAAAUAAAAAUCGGAAUCUUCGGACAUAAAGUGUUUAUUCUGUAUUUAGAUUAUUAAAUUUAAUAAUUUUCUACACAGUAAUAAAAUGCAUUUUGUUCAGUUGCGCGCGAUCGACUUCGUUUGGUCUAAUAUAUAGCUCAACUUGUUCAAGUCGCACCCUUAUCUACGAGUCUUUUAGUUUCUUUUUUUUUUUUUUUUUGAGAGAUAGGUAGCACGCUACCUGUUUCGUUUAUUUCAUUUAGAAAUAAACUUAGCUGGAAAUGUGAAUCAAUUAGGAUUCGAACUUGGGUCUCGAAUACCAACCACCAAGCCCUUUGUCACUUGCUCUAGGGACGGUCGGUGAGUCUUUUAGUUUCUUGCAACUUCAAAAGUUUAAAUCUAUGCUGAUUUUCAAAUAGAAAAGUUGCUCAAUUUUUUUUAUCGCUAUUUUUUUCUCACUAUGCAUAAUUUUUCGUACGGCAAUGGCCAGAAAAAGGAAAAAACUCUUUUUGGUUUCUUCAUAUCUUUAGCUUAUUUCAUUCUAAAAAUUGAAUGAAGCAUUUCGAUACGUUUUGGAUAAUAAUCAGGUAUUUGGGACCUAAAACCUAAUUUUAACUUUUAUUUUGAUUCCUAAUCGCCAUGUCACUAAUUUUUCUAUUUCGUUGCACUUCUAAUGUUUUCAUUAUUAAAUUUCUCCAUUUCUUUAGAGUAAUAGUGUCAUGUACGUUAGGUGAUAAUAUCUGAUAUGUCCUUAAAAACUUCAAAAAUAUCUAAUAUACACCUGGUUGGCUAAAAUGCCCUCUUUGAUUUUUUUUAAAAAUACUUUAAAAAUAUCCCCAAACUCUAGGGAUUACUAAUAGGCUUUGGGAUUUAAAGGGGAAUUUUGGUAAAAUUAGAGUAAAUUUGAAAUUUUGAAUAGUAGUCAAGGAUAAACUAAUAAGCCAAAGUCUUAUUAAUAUGUAUAAGGCUUAGUAGAGUUAAUUUACUUUUUACCUAAUGGUGAUAUAUUAAUUUUAGUGAGUUAAUUUCAAACUGUAGAGAAUUAACAAAAAUUAAGGAACACUCAAAUGAAGAUUCUUGCUCUUUUCAUGUAGGUGGAGGCAACGACAAAUCCAACCAAUCGGUAGAGCUGAAGCCGAUAUGUGACACGUCGAAUCCACGAUGCGACGUUUGCGACGUGACAGGCGACGCUCGAAUCCUCGGGAGCCACUCGACGGUCUUAUACGUCCCUCCCCCCGAAAUCACCAAUCCUGAACCUCAAGAGUGGAAGAUCCGAGUACAAUCUCGCAAGUACCUUCCGUGGAUCAAAUUCGUGACAAUAAAAUCAUUACGCGGCCCGUUCGAAGCCCCUCCUUGUACGGUCCGGCACGAUGUCCCUGCAGUCGUCUUCGCGCUCGGUGGCCUUAUAGGGAACGUGUGGCACGACUUCAGUGAUGUGAUCGUGCCCCUCUACCUCACUUCUCGUCGGUUCAACGGCGAGGUUCAAUUCCUUAUAACCGAUCUCAGACCUUGGUGGGUCGAAAAGUAUAGUGUGAUACUCAAGAAGCUCUCGAGGUACGAAAUUAUCGAUUUUGAUAGCGAUAAGGAGUUCCGUUGUUACCCACGUGCUCUCGUCGGCCUUCGGAGCCAUCGUGAUUUCGGGAUCUUACCCGAUUUACCUCCAGAAGGAUACACAAUGCUGGACUUCCGGUUGUUCAUUCGAGAAGCUUACUCGCUUCCAAAAGAUGUACCGAUAAGUUAUCGAGAUAAGCCGGAAAAAAAGCCACGACUGAUGCUCAUAAAUAGGGGGAAAACUAGGAGAUUAUUGAAUGUGGAGGAAGUAGCGAAAUCGGCCGAGGAGUUAGGGUUUGAGGUCAUGGUCAUCGAGCCAAAGAGGGACCUAAACGUGACGGAAUUCGCAAAAGCGGUGGACUCGUGCGACGCGCUGAUGGGGGUGCACGGUGCGGGGCUUACGAACAUCGUUUUUCUCAGAACGAACGCCACCCUGAUCCAAGUGGUGCCCUACGGCAAAUUGGAGUCCAUGGCCGAGGGAUUCUACAGUUGGCCCGCAAGGGAAAUGAAAUUGAGAGAUGUCGAGUACUCGAUUGGCGCUGAGGAGACCACAUUGUUGGAGAAAUUUGGGAGAGAUCACCCUGUGAUCAAGGAUCCGGAUUCAAUUCACAACAGUGGGUGGCAAAAGGUGGCGGAGUUCUACAUGUUCAACCAAGAUGUGAAGCUAAAUGUCACAAGAUUUGCUCCCACACUAUUGAAGGCUCUAGAGCUUCUUCGCAAAUAGUGGGUGCAUGUGAGGAUCUUUAUUAACAUUUAAAUUUUACUAUUUAGUAUUUUAAUUUGUUUAAUUUGAACAAUUUAAUGUUUUUUUUCAUUGCAUAUUUUGGUUCUGGCGUUUGUGUAUGACACAGUGAAUUACUCAAAUAUGCAACAAAAAAGAACCGGCCAUCAUGUAAUUAGCUCAAGUGCAUUUAAAUUGAAAAUUUUUAAAAAUUGGUUGUUGUUUCACAGUUAAUGGAUGAGCAAUAAAUCAAAUUACCUUUUAUUUUCUUUUGCAACUAUAGGGCAAUUUGUUCUUGUAGUUCGGUUUCAAAAUUAUUCUUUCAUCCAUCUCUUCUUUAAAUUCAAUCGUAUAUUUACUCUAAAAUCGACCAAAAAAAGAACAAAAGAAAAAUUGAAAUCCAUUUGUAAUUAAGGGAGGAGGUUUGUUUACAUAUAAAUCCAUAUAUUUUAAGGGAUUAUAAGAUUUCUUGAAACAUUUUAAAUCCUAUUGCGCCAUAUAUUCCUAUAAUAAAAUAAAUAUGAAAUUUAAAAUAUACUGUGAAGUAAACAGACUCUUAAACUAGUUUUGCUAUGAUCUGCAGCCCAAGACAAUGCAGGUGGUGAAGCAAGGUAGACCAGUAGGCCCUUUUGACUUAUAUCUAUUUACAAAAAUAUUGGCCCAAAAAUUUUAUUCUUAUUCUCAUUAUUUUUUCUAGGAUUAAUUUCCUACAUAUCCCCGCAAAUAUAUAUAGUGAAUGACAAAUAUAUAUCUAUAAAGUUUAACUUUUAUAUGUUGUCGCUACAAAAGUUCUAAUGUUUUUAAAUAUGUUCCUCUGGUUUGUUACCAUUAGAGAAUCGUUAGAAAACUAUUUAUAUUUUCAAUUUUGCCAUCAUAAAUAUAUCCCUUCCAAAGCCAUACUAGUAUUAUAUAAAGAGGUAAAAAUGUCAAAAACUAAUUAGGAUUAAGUAUUUAACCGAUGGUUAACUAACUUUUUCUAACGGAUUCUAACGGCAGGAACAUAUUUGAAAACAUAAGAACUUUUGUAAGAACAAUAUAUAAAAGUUCAACUUAAUUUCUAUGGAUAUAUUUAUUAUUCACUAUAUUUGGAAAGUCAUGUAUGAAAUUAACCCUUUUUUCUAUAUAUAUAACGUGAAACUUAAAAAAAAAAAGUGAUCAAUGUAUGGAGUGCGCUAGGGGUGUCAACGAGCCGAACACCAGUGAGCUGAGACUGGUUCAUGUUCGGCUUGUUUCAUAAACGAGCCGAACACGAGCUGGCGCGUUAAAUUAAGUAUCGAGCCGAGUAUGAGCUGGCUCAUGAUUAGCAAAAUAAAAGAAUUAUGAAGGAUAUGUAUAGAAAAUAAAUUCAUGAGAUCUUACCUAUUUAACUUGGAUCUAAUAGUUGAAAUUUUACAUAUAAAUGACCUUUUCAUAAUUGAGUUGGGUUUUAUAUUUAUGUUACAUUAAAAAUUUUAUAUAUAUAGAGAGAGAGAGAGAGAGAAGAGAGAGAGAGAGAGAGAAGAAGAGAGAGAGUCCGGCUACUAUACUUUAUGAGUAUAGAGCCUAUUAUACUCAUAAAUUUUGGCCGUUAAGAUCUACCCUUAAUCAUUUUUAUCUGUUAAAUUAUACUAUUCAACCAAACUACCCCAGUACUCAACUCUAGGGGGCCCACUAUCAACCUAACAGUAAUCAACUUUCAUCCUAAAUGUAUAUUUUUUCAUCGCUGAACUGUCGAUAAACUUAGAUACAAAGAGCUCUAUACUCUCAAUGAGUAAGUAGCCCCAUGCACAUAUAUAUAUAGUAGAACUAUAUAAUAUAUAUGAUAAUAUAUAAUAUUUAUAUAUAUAUAUAUUCGAGCUGUUAUCGAGCCGAACAUGAGCGAGCUGACCUCAGCUCAGCUCGUGAUCGACUCGUUUAUUAAACGAGCUAAAAAAUUUAGCUCGCUCGUGUUCGAUUAACGAGCCGAACACAAGUCAAGCACGAGCUAACUCAUGAACAAUAAGUUAAAACAAUUACGAAGGACACGUAUAAAAAAUAAAUUUAUGAGAUAUUAUCCAUUUAACUUUGUUCUAAUAGUUAAAACUUUACAUAUAAAUGACAUUUUUGUAAGAGUUAGACUUUAUAUUUAGAUUAAACUAUAAAUUAAUUAUUUAUUUAUAUAUAAUAUAUAAAUAUAAAAUAUAUGUAUUUGAGCUGUUAUCGAGCCGAACACGAACGAGCUGAUCGCAGCUCGUAUUCGGCUCAUUUAUUAAACGAGUUGACAAAUUCAGCUCGUGUUCGACUCAUUUAUUACACAUGCGAUUCGAUCUCAAACUUAUUUCGAGCGAAACAUGAAUUGGUGCGUUAACAACGAACUAGAUUCCUACCCUAGAGUGCACCUUCUAUAAAGGGGCGUUGCAAGUUGGAACUCCCGUAGCUCUGUACGAGGUAUAUUUAUUUAUGGACAUGAUGGUUCAGUUCAUAUUCACAUAUGGUAGAACUUUCGUAAGUGAGUCAUUGUUUUUUUUUUUUUUUUUUUUUUUUUUUUUUUUUUUUUUUGUGGAGAGAUAGAGAGUACGCUACUUGCUUCGUUUAUUUUAUUUAGAAAUAAACUUAGCUAAAAAUAUGAAUCAACUAUAUAGGAUUCGAACUUGAAACCUCGGGUAUCAACCACCAAGCCCUUUGCCACUUGCUCUAAAAACGGUCGGUGUGAGUCAUUGUUGUACUACCAUGAUAGUACAAGAGCUAUGUGCAAAUUUUGCACGUAAAGUCCAUUUAUUCUUAAAAUGAGUCAUUAUUAUUUGUAGUUAAAGGUCGUUUUCAUAGUAAAGAGUAAAACUUUCUAAUCACGAGGGACUAACAUAUAUUUGUAAUAAACAAAAAAAAAAAAAAUUCACUGUCUAAAAUGCGGUGCAAAAUGAUCUAAAAUUCAGUCUUAUAUCAUCAUAUUUAAUAUUAAAAAAUUAUGAAAUUUAUUUCUGAAUUCUUGAAAUAUUCUAAAUUAAUUGAUGAACAGAGAGGUGUAUAUAUUUAUAUUUCUAAAAGCACCCUAGCUUGCGCAUUAAAGCUUUCUUCGUACUAAAAAUAAUGAAAUGAAAAGUACUACUCAUGAUCCAUUUUACUCAAAAUUAAGUGUACUCUCCUUAUAUAUAUUAACCAAGUAGGAUGAUUCACUACUAUUAUUGGAAGUUAAAUAUGCACUUUCGACUAUAGUUUGGAUUGUUACUUAAAUAUGUACAUAUGAGGAUCAUUAAUUGAACACGUACAACAUUUUCCCCUUCGAAAGUUAUUAUACGAAGCAACCUGCUAAGGAGAACUCUACAAUAUCUUCCAAGAUUAUUAUAAGCUCAUCGCGGUCGAAGAAUGCGAAUGUCAUCGCAAUUUGUGUAAAGCUUCUUCUGCUAUCGUCGUCGUGAAGAGAGUUUAAUUGAAAGGGUGGUGGUGAGAUCGAUCGAGAAGGUAUAUCGAUCGAGAAAGUUAGGGUUUGGGGGUGAUGAAGAGCUUUGCUCAAAGCUUGUCGAAGAGCCAUGUCGGUGCGGGGUUGCUCACGGGCUUCUUCUUGGUCUUGCUCACCUACUUCUCCAUGUCGGAGCAGUUUGCGAUCCGCGUUCCAAAUCGUGAGUUGUAGUUAUCUAUGCUCAGAUAGUUUGAUCCUUUCAUGUUACUUAGCUAGAGGAGUUCGAGCAACAUGUAAUACUAAUGUGCCGCCCCAUUUUUCAGGAGUCGGUCAUUUUAAAAAUACUCUAACCCUAACACGCAUAAUUCUCUUAACUUAUUGGGCCUAUCCACCUCUCCAAAUUUUAUAGCCAAACUAAGAGUUUUAGCCCUAUUACCCUCUCCUCUUUAAGUCCUAAGAUUCUUAGUCCUAUUAUACCCUCCUUUUUUUAAAUCCUAACGCUCUUAGUCCUAUUAUACCCUCCCUUCCUCUUUUAAGUCCUAACAGUCUCGUCAGGCAAAAACACAUUCACAAGCAACAGACUCAACCGAGACUCAUAUCACAUUUUUGGCUGGUGAUAUGCUCCGAUACCAACUGUGACUCCUCGCUUUUCAGAGGGUCACCCAUCAUACAACUACUCAAAUCCUAACAAACUUAACCCUUUUAACCUCCUGGGCCUGCCUAUCACCUAAAAUUUUAUAGCCGAAUUAAAAAAUUUUGUCCUAUUAUAUCUCAUAUAUUGAAUUAUUCCAAAUUCUAGAGAUGUCACAACUUUUAUUAUUAUUAUUUUCCUAUUUUUGGGCAAUAUUAAUUCUUAUGAGAUUAUUUGAAUGUUGUAGUUUUCUCGCAACCAUCGACGGAACAUGAAGUUGUAUCAAUUCCAUCUGCACAGGAUGUAGGUGAGACAAAUUAACAUGUAAUUACCUUAAUUCCUUCUUUUUUUUUCUUUGUUUAAUUAUAAUAUAAUAGUGUAUUAAUUAAAGAAGCACCGUUAAAAUUAACAUAUAAUUACUUUAAUUAUUUUCAUAUAUUUCUUUGUUUUGCAAGAUGAUGGUUGAUUAAUUAAAGAUGAUUAAAAUUACAGCAAUUAAUAGAUUAGUUUUUAAGGGGAAAAAAAUCCCAUAUAUAUAUAUAUAGAGUUGGACUGGGCUACUAUUAGUAGCUAAAUCCUAUUGUUGCUACCAGUUUUUUAGCCUUUGGAUCAACUCUUUUCAUUAUUUCUAACUAUUAGAUUAAAUACUAUAACCCAGUGGGGACCACUCAACCCUAGGGGGACCAUUCAACUCUAACCGACUAAUAUCAUUCUGACCAUACAAUUUUUCAUCCAAGAGUUAAAAACUUGAUAGCAAAAAGAGCGUUUUACUAUUAAUAGUAUUCCAGCCUAAUUCUUUCUAUAUAUAUAUAUAUAUAUAUAUAUUAUUUUGGCUUUUUAUAAUUUUAAUGAAAAAACUGAUUAAAUGGCGAAUGAUAAAUGGCAGGAUUGAAAGAUGCAGUAGAAGAAAUCAAGGCGAGCCACAAUGAGACGGAGCCAAAAUCAGAAAAUUUCAAGAAGGAAGAAGAAAUCAAAGAAGAGAAAAAAACACCAGAAUCUUUGGAUAAUACUAAACAAUUAGGUGAGACACUUAAUUAAUUUCUAUAAAAUUAAACACAAUAAUAAAUUUUAAUAAUUUUGUAUAUUAAUUGUCCAAGAACUCAAAUUUAGAAAGUCAACUUUUUAAAUAGCUCUCCUAAUUAAUUUUUCUUUAAAAAAACCAAAGGUCAAAAAAUUUUCACUUUGCCCUUAGCCCUCUGUUUUGCAAGAUACUGGUUGAUUAACUAAAGAUGGUUAAAAUUACAACAAUUAAUAGAUUAGUUUUUAAGGGAAAAAAAACCCUAAUAUAUAUAUUGUUUUGAUUUGUUAUAUUUUUAAUGAAAAAAUUAAUUAAAUGGCGAAUGAUAAAUGGCAGGAUCGAAAGAUGCAGUAGAAGAAACCAAGGCGAGCCGUGACGAGCCAGAACCAAAAUCAAAAAAUUUCAAGAAGGAAAAAGAGGUCAAAGAAGAGAAAAAAACACCAAAAUCUUUGGAGAACACUCAACAAUUAGGUGAGACACUUAAUUAAUUUCUAUAAAAUUCUACACAAUAAUAAAAUUUAAUAAUUUUGUAUAUUAAUUGUCCAAGGCCUCAAAUUUAGAAAGACAACUUUUUAAAUAGCUCUCCUAAUUAAUUUUUCUUUAAAAAAUCCAAAGAUCAGAAAAUUUUCACAUUGCCCUUAGUCCUCUGUUUUGCAAUAUGAUGGUUGAUUAACUAAAGAUGGUUAAAAUUACAGCAAUUAAUAGAUUAGCUUUUAGGGAAAAAAAAAACCCUUAUAUAUAUAUAUAUAGAGAGAGAGAGAGAGAGAGAGAGAGAGCUAGGCUGGUAUACUAUCGGUAGCACGGAGGCCUCCGUGCUAUCAAGUUGUUUUCAAUGGUGCGACUUUCAAAUUGACGAUCAGCUCCAUUAAACUUGAUCUACACUACUAGAAGUAUUUGGAAACUAAAUUUUAUAAUUUUUUGAUAUCAUUUGGCUAGUAAUCAAAAGAACUCAAAAUUGACAAUUUUAAUGGUCGAUGUAAUGCGUUUGCGAAUUUAACGAUGUAAAACAAUUCAAAUCUGAUAAAAUUUUUAUAGAAAAUUCUUUUCACUGUUUAGAGUAAGAUCAAUACCUCUGAUAUUAAAUUCAAGUCUUUUAUCAUUAUUUUUUAUAAGAUUUUUAUUUUCAGCCGUUCAUUUUUAGACUACUCGUUUGAUAAGUAAAAGAUGUCGAAAAAUUAUGAAAUUUAGUUUCCAAAUACUUUCAAUAGUGUAGAUCAAGUUUAACGGAGCCGAUCAUCGAUUUGGAAGCAAAAUUAUUGAAAACAACUCGGUAGCACGGAUGCCUCCUUGCUACCGAUAGUAUACAAGCCUCUCUCUCUCUCUCUCUCUCUCUCUCUCUCUAUAUAUAUAUAUAUAUAUAUAUAUAUAUUGUCCAAGGCCUCAAAUUUAGAAAGUCAUCUUUUUAAAUAGCUCUUCUAAUUAAUUUUUCUUUAAAAAAAUCAAAGGUCAAAAAAUUUUCACUUUGCCCUUAGUCCUCUGUUUUGCAAGAUACUGGUCGAUAGAGCUAGGCUCCUAUGCUUUCGAAAGCAAAUUACGGAUAAAACGGGUGGGUACCCAUUAAGCUGUGAGUAUUUUGGGUAACCCGCGGGUACCUACGGAUACCAGCACACAUAUUUUUUAAUUACAAAAUAUUUUUUUUUCAUUAAAAUACAUAUAUAUUUAUUUAUCCUUCCUAAAAAUUUUAACUAUAAUUUCUUAUUGCGUCUUUUAUAUUACGAAUUUAAGCUCUAAGACUUUAAAUAUUUUUAUUAUAUGUUAUGAUAUUUUAAAUAAUGAGUUAUGUCAUAUAUAUAUAUAUAUAUAUAUAUAUUGCAUUUAAAAAAUAUAAGAGAAAAAAAAAUUGCGGGUAAUCCGCAUACCCAUCCGCUCACCCACGGGUGGGUAUGGGUAAUGAUGUUGGCUACCCAAAAAUUUGUGGAUAAAUUUUAUCCAUUCCCAAGUACCCCGCAGGUACAAUGACCCGCCCGCGGGUUACCCAACCCGUCAUUUGCCAGGUCUAGCCUCCGUGCUUGUAAGUUGUUUUCGAUGAUGGGAUAUCCGAUUCGGCGAUCGGUUCCGCCAAACUUGAUCUACGCUAUUGGAACUAUCUAAAACUAAAUUUCAUAAUUUUUUGACUUCGUUUGUCUAGUGAACGAGUAGCCUCAAAAUGAACAGCCGAAAAUAAAAAUCUCAUAAAAAACAAUGAUAAAGGACUCAAAUUUCAAAUCGGAAGUAUUGAUCUUGCUAUUGAUAUUAAGUAGAAUUUUUUAUUAAAUUUUUAUGUAAUUUGGAUACUUCUACACCGUUGAACUUAAAAACAUGCCACAUCGGUCGUUAAAAUAGUCAUUUUUGAGACCUUUUGAUCGCUUGGUAAAUGAUGUCAAAAAAUUAUAAAAUUUAGUUUCUAGAUAGUUCGAAAAGGGUAGAUUAUACUUAACGGAGCCAAUCGUCGAAUCGGAUGUCCUAUCAUCGAAAACAACUUAUAAAUACGGAGGUCUCCGUACUUUCAAAAGUAUAGGAGACGUACUCUAUAUAUAUAUAGAGAGAGAGAGAGAGAGAGAGAGAGAGAGAGAGAGAGAGAGAGAGAGUAGGUCUUGUGUGCUAUUAGUUGCACGGAGGCCUCCAUGCUCCUAAGUCGUUUUUGAUGAUGGAGCUUCCGAAUCGACGACUUGCUCCGUUAGACUUGAUCUAGCGUAUUUAAAGUUUCUAGAAAAUAAUUUUUACAAUUUUUUGAUAUCAUUUAUCUAGUGAUCAAAAGAAUUCAAAAUCAAUAAUUUUUAAUAGUUGAUAUCUACCGUUUUCAAGUUUAACGGUGUAGAAGUAUUCAAAUCAGAUAAAAUUUUGAUACAAAAUUCUUUAUACUAUCUACAACAAGAUCAAUAUUUGUGAUCGAAAAUUUUAGUGUUAUAUCACCACUUUUUAUAGGAUUUUUAUUUUUUAGCCGUUAAAAAUUAUUGAUUUUGAAUCCUUUCGAUUGCUAGGUAAAUGAUAUCAAAAAAUCGCAAAAAUUAUUUUCUUGAAACUUUAAAUACGCUAGAUCAAGUCUAACGGAGCCGAUCGUCGAUUCGAAAAUUUCAUCAUCGAAAACGGCUCAAGAGCACGAAGGCCUCCGUGCUCCUGAGAGCACAGCAACCCUGCUCUCUCUCUCUCUCUCUCUCUCUAUAUAUAUAUAUAUAUAGAGAGAGAGAGAGAGANUCGUUACCACCUAUUUGUUUUCGAUGACGGAGCAUCCAAAUUAAUGAUCGGCACCGUUGAACAUGAUCUAUACACUUGAAGUAUCUAGAAACCAAAUUUUAAAUCUUUUUGACAUCAUUAGCCAAAUGAUCAAAGAAUUUCAAAAUUUAUAACUUUAAUGGUCAUUAUAAGACGUUUUCUCGUUUAAUGGCGUAAAAAUAUUCAAAUCAAUUAAAUUUUAAUUAAAAAAUUCUUUAAACUAUUUAGAACAAGAUCUAUACUCUUGAUCUUGAUUAUAAGACUCCUAUCAUCACUUUUUAAAGGAUAUUCAUUUUCGGUUGUUUAUUUUUUAAUUAAAAUUUAAUUGAUUUGAAUAUUUUUACGCCAUUAAACGAGAAAACGUCUUAUAAUGACCAUUAAAGUUAUAAAUUUUGAAAUUCUUUGAUCAUUUGGCUAAUGAUGUCAAAAAGAUUUAAAAUUUGGUUUCUAGAUACUUCAAGUGUAUAGAUCAUGUUCAACGGUGCCGAUCAUUAAUUUGGAUGCUCCGUCAUCGAAAACAAAUAGGUGGUAACGAAGCCCAUUUGCUACCGAUAGUAUUCCAGCUCAUCUCUCUCUCUCUAUAUAUAUAUACCAGUCAUACCUACCGUAGUUAGCUAAGGAUUGGAUUUGGUAUUUGGAGUCCCAAAUUUGAUUACUUCAUCUAUUUAGCUGCGUUCAUUUCUAAAAACUGAACAUAGUAUAUAUAUUUGGUACAAUUUAGGUAAUAAUCAGGUGUUUGAGACCUCAAAACUAAUUUUAGCAAACUUUUAAAUUGAUUCCUAAUCACCAUGUCAUUAACCUUUUAUUUCACUGCAUUUCUUAUGUUACAUGUACAGCUCGUAUCACUGCGAGUAGAGUUAAUAUACUUUCGACCUAACGGUGACAUUUUAAUUUUAAUUAGUUCACUUCACACUGUAGAGAGUUAGCAAAAAUUAAGGUACACCCAAUGGUAAAAGUUAAUUAUUGAGGACUAGAUUAAAAUUUGGUGAUUUGAUGAAAAUUCUUGCUCUUCUCAUGUAGGCAAAGGCAAGGAAAAAUCCAACCAACCGGUAAAGCUGAAGCCGAUCUGCAACACAACAAAUCCAAGAUGCGACGUCUGCGACAUGACUGGCGACGCUCGAAUCCUCGGCAGCAACUCGACGGUCUUAUAUGUCCCUCCCCCCGAAAUCACCAAUCCCGAACCUCAAGAGUGGAAGAUCCGAGUACAAUCUCGCAAGUACCUUUCGUGGAUCAAAUCUGUGACAAUAAAAUCGUUACGUGGCCCGUUCGAAGCUCCUCCCUGUACGGUCCGGCACAAUGUCCCCGCGGUCGUCUUCGCACUCGGUGGCCUCAUUGGGAACACGUGGCAUGACUUUAGUGACGUGAUCGUCCCCCUCUACCUCACCUCCCGUCAGUUCAACGGCGAGGUUCAAUUCGUCAUAACCGACCUCGCACCUUGGUGGGUCAAAAAGUAUAGUGUGAUACUCAAGAAGCUCUCGAGGUACGAAAUUAUUGAUUUUGAUAGCGACAAGGAGAUCCGUUGCUACCCGCGUGCCGUAGUUGGCCUCUGGAGCCAUCGCGAUUUUGGGAUCUUACCCGAUUCCCCUCCAGAAGGGUACACAAUGCUCGACUUCCGGUCGUUCAUGCGAGAAGCUUACUCGCUUCCAAAAGACGUACCGAUAAGUUAUCGAGAUAAGCCGGAGAAGAAACCACGACUAAUGCUCAUAAAUAGGGGGAAAACUAGGAGGUGGAUGAAUGUGGAGGAGAUCGCAAAAUCGGUCGAGGAGUUAGGGUUUGAGGCGGUGGUCGUCGAGCCGAAGAUGGACGUAAACUUGACGGAAUUCGCAAAGGUGGUGGACUCGUGCGACGGGGUGAUGGGGGUGCACGGCGCAGGGCUAACGAACAUCGUUUUCCUCAGAACGAACGCCACGCUGCUCCAAGUGGUGCCCUACGGGAAACUGGAGUUCAUGGCCGAGGGAUUCUUCGGUUGGGCCGCGAGGGAAAUGAAAUUGAGAUAUUUCGAGUACACGAUUAGCGCGGAGGAGAGCUCAUUGUUGGAGAAAUAUGGGAGAGAUCACCCUGUGAUUAAGGAUCCGGAUUCAAUUCACAGGGGUGGGUGGCAACCAGUGGGGGAGAUCUACAUGUUCAACCAAGAUGUGAAGCUAAAUGUCGCGAGAUUUGCUCCUACACUAUUGAAGGCUCUUGCGCUUCUUCGUGAAUAGUGGGGCGUAUGGAGAGCAUUCGAAACAACUAUAUAUUUAACUUUUAAAUUUUACUAUUUAAUAUUUUAAUUUGUUUGAUUUGAAUAAUUUGAUGAUUUUUUUCAUUGCAUAUUUUGGUUCUGCCCUUUGUGUAUGAUGCAUUAAAUUAAUCAAAUAUGUAAUUAUUUCGAGAGCAUUGCAAGGGUAGGUAGUUAAAUUAAAAAUUUCUAAAUAAUUGGUUGUUGUUUCAUAAUUAAUGCUUGAGCGAUAAUUCAAAUUAUUUAAACUUUGUAAGAAUAUAUUUGCUAUUUGAUAUGUUACUUUUAAAGAGCUGUAUGAAAUUAUCUCUAAUUUUAAAUAUGUCUACGUUGUUGUAUUAUUUCUUCCAUGCUAGUAUCAUCUUGGGUAGAAUCAUUAGUAGAAGAUUAAUUUUCCGAUUGGAUUAAUAUGGCUCAUUAUAACUUACAUUUGAAAAGACAUUCGGCGAAACCAAAUAUUUCGAUCUAUCAAAUCUUAAUUACUAUUUCUUAGUAAUGAUCGAACGAAGUCACCAUAACUUUUUGAGACAUGAAUUUGAUGGGUAAUCUUUGUUUCCCUGUUGUUAUUCAUACUGUUCUAACUAAAAUUUAGUUUACUCUAAUAUCACAAUAAUUUCUUACUGUUGCACAAAUAAAGAAUAACUUACUACUUACAUGUCCAGAUGAUUAGGAACAAGUAAGCUUUUUUUUGUUUACAAUCUUUUAUAUUUUUCUCAAAUUAUGCAAAUAUCAUCUUAUAUAUAUAGCUAGUAUUUCAAGAUAAAGUCAUAUUAAAUGCAUGACUAGAAACAAAAAAAUCAUUGAUCACCUGAUAAAUCUAACUGAAUGAUAAAUAUUCUAUGGUAAUGAUAAUUCGCGUGACAUUUCUAACUUAAUUAUUAAGAGGUUGUUUGGUUGUAUAUAUGUAAUUGAAACCAAAUUAUUAUAGUUAUAAUUACAUGCAAAUUUAAAUAUGAUAUUUGUUUCAAUGUAUUUAAAUCCAACUGCAGCAAUUGGAGCUGGAUGGGGAUGCCCAACUGCGAUAGUUGGAAUUACGCUUAAAUUGACCGUAAUUCUAGCUGCAGCAGCUGAAGAGAGUAGCUUUAAACAAAAAAUAAAUUUUUUCUCCCAAAUCACUCUUUAAAUAGAAAAUAUUUUCGUUUUUAUUUUGGAGGUAACCUCAUCAAAUAAACGUAUAAAGUGAUAAAAUUGACAAACAUACUUCUCAAUUAUAUGCAGUAAAAAAAUUUACUUAUUAUUUUAGCGCUUUUUACUGCAUUCAACCAAACAAAAUAUAUAUAUUUAUAACUGCUUUAGUUCAUUGUGCCCAACAAUACCAUUUGUUGUCAUAAAUCAUAAUACACCACGCAAAUCAUUUUUUAUAAUGUUAUAGAUAAAUAGAGAAGCGUAUAAAAUUCUAUAUAUAUCAAUAAGUUCAUCAAAGUUAAAUAUACUUAAAUAGACUGUAUUAAUAAGUACUAUUGCAAUCUCUCCUGCUCAUAAAUAUGGGUGCGUGCCGAGUAUGUACUCUUUUGCACAUAAUUAACGCAGAGAUUGCUCUAUCACCCGCUUAUUCCAAAUAGUGUCAACAUAAGGAUAAUGUAAUGUUCCAGACUCGUCGCAACUCGUCAGUGAUGAGAAUGCUCUGAGACACUGGUGGCGGUGGGAAUGAUGGUGAGGCUCGGAUUGAUGGCAGCGGGAAUGAUGGUGAGGUUCGGAUUGGGGAUUUAAGGUAAUUGAGAUAAUUGAGUAAGAAAAUUGGAAAAAUAGAAAAGAAAGAGAGAUAUUAGAUGGGAGUAGAUUGGAGACACAGAAUAGAGUGAGAGGAGAGAAGAAGAGAGAAGGAAGAGUUAAUUAGGGAGAAGAGUAGAUUGGAGAUAGAGAAUAGAGAACAGAGGAGAGAAGAACAGAGAAGGAAGAGUUAAUUGGGGAGAAGAAUCUUAAUUCAUUUCAUUCAUUUAUACCCAUUUACUAUUUUUAUACUAUCCUUUUAUAUAAAAGGUACUGAAAUAUAAAAUAGUAUAACAUAGAAGACUAAGUUGUAAAAGUUAAAAAAUGGUAAAUGGGCCACUAAUGCACCAAUCUGUGAGGAAUUUUGUGCUCUUGGAUUGAACUGAAGCACAGAGGAACGUGCUUUUUUGGCGUGGCCUCUUCUCUUAAUAAUCCGGCCUAAGCUUGGAUGCAUAUUUUGGCUGGCCUCAUUGGCUUUACGGUCAGAUCCGUCGCUCCCGACCACUCGAUUUGUUAACUAGGUUUAAGUACUUCCGCCCAUCCACUUUAUCUGCCUAGAUCCUGUUAGCUCGUGUUCCGGAUAAGCCUAAGUUGUCGCCUUCUCGUUCUUCGCCGCUGUGACCGUCUUUCGCCUUGGCUGCUACCUCCAUUAGCGGCCUUCGUCAGACUUCCAUAAGCGCUGUCUCUCAUUCUUUUAUUUCCCUUUUUAUGCUUGCUAUUUGCUAUUACUCUUCAGUAUUUCUAUCUAUUAACUAUGUUGUUAUAGAUACAGAAGUAACAAUUAUUUGUAGUUUAGACUUCUAUAUUACUAUCUAUUAACUAUGUUGUUAUAAAUACAAAAGUAACAGUGCAUUCUUUGCACAGUGCGAUUGUGGAAAGCUGCACUCGAGGACGCGGACGGCAGCUAAGAGUUUGCGCUUUUUUCUUGGUUUGGGUGAUGAAUGUUGUUUGCUCGUCUUUUUUGUUCGCCUUUGCCGCUUUGGCGCCUUUGCUUGCUUCUCUAUUUUGUUCGCCUUCCUAAAUUUUUCCUGAUUCUCUUUGUCCUUCUCCUGUACUUGUUCAAAUAGGGUAUAUCCCUUUUUAAUCAAAAAAAAUAAAUACAGAAGUAACAAUUAUUAAUAGUUUAGAUUAGGAUGAAGCUAAAAUUCAAUAUAAAAUAAAAUAUAAUACUUGUUCAAAUUUUAUUUUAGUUUGCUCCAAUAUCACAGCUAUUUGUAUUUAUAUAGAUAAAUUUUUUUAAAAAAAACACUAGUUUCAAAACUCAUCGAGUAAAAUUUCGGUUUAAUAUUUGUCGCUAUCUUUUAUUUCCUUGUCAAACCUAGGCAUCCUUUUAUAGCUAGCAUUGUAAGGAGAAAUAUGACAUGAUGCAUGACCAGCAACACAAAAUGCGUGCAUUUUAUGAUUUAAUAGUGUGACGAGCAUUAAAUUAAGACAAGUGAUUAUUAUUAUGUUAAUUAAGUAACUAAAGGUAAAACCUAAUGAGUUAAAGCCCACCAUUGUCUCCUACAAUAGGCCAUUUUAUUAUUAUUAUUAUUAUUUUUUAAAGGCCUCUAUAUAUAAAAAAAAAAAAAAAAAAAAAAAAAUGGUAACUAGAGGAUAAAUUUUUGCAUCCUCUCAUAUACUAUUUAGAUGUGACCGCUUGUUUAAUAAUUCUUUAUCACUAUACCAAACUUUAUAAUUCAGAUAAACUAUUAACAUAUCAUCCUAAAGAGGCUCUAAAUAAAAUAUUGAUCAAAACAGAGCUAGAAUUUUAUUGAUAGUAUAUACACAGUAUUUAAUUAUUAUCAUCUUUAUUUUAUUCCUGGAUGUCUAGUAUUUACUAUUUAGCUUUAUCGAUCAUCUCUAUAUAAUAAAUAUAUUGAUCAUCAUGUAAUCUCAGUUUCUCCUUUUUUUUGAUUGAACAGGGAUAUACCCUAUUUACAUCAUGUAAUCAUCAUGUAAUCUCAGUUUCUCCCCUUAAUAAAGAUUUUUUAAAAACAAAAUUGAUAAAGAUUAGGUAAGUAUAAUGUACCGUGAAAUUCACAACCUGUUUGCAAAAAUAAAAGAAGCCGAAAAACUCUAUUUCCAAAACAAAAGAAUUAUAAUAAAAGGGUGAAUAUAAAUUUAGGAUUUCGGAUAGAAAUUGAAAAUAUUCACUAAUAAUUGAACUACUGAAGAAAUAAUGACACCGAAAACUUUCGAACUACAAUUGGGCCAUUACAAUAUUGAAUGUUUGUAUGUUUUUUGAAAAAGGAAUUCUCUGCUCAUCUAAAUAUUUAGCCAAAUUUAGCCAAAUUUUGGAGAUCUCCGAUCGUAGUUUUUUUUUUUUGUUACACUAAACGAUAGAAAUCACCAGUUUACUUCAAAUCCUAUGGCCACAAUUUCUAUCCCCUAAUCAAACUAAUAUCUCAUCAAAAUAUUGUCACGCUCCGAGAUCGCCCAGUUUGGAUCUGCUCAAGCACGAAGCGGUAACAACCAUCAACCUGUAAAUUCAUAUACGAUAUGCGCUAGAUUUUAUAUAUAGGUAUGUAAAAUAAGACAGAAAUUAAAUACAUACCAAAAUCCAGGAUCAAAAUAAAAUAAGAUAACUCACAGAGCGCCGCCGAGAAGAAAUUCCUGAUCAAUCUGAAGCGUGAAGUCCGGCUAUAAUCUGGAAGUCACGAACCGAACUUCGGUGAUUUGGUUUCUCCCCCUACCUCAGGCACUCUACCGUAUGGUGUGGAACCGAUGGUAAUUCUUCACCAGAAUACGUAUGAGAAUGUGGCAGGACCAAUACCCCUUUAUAUAGAGUCCAAAUCGACUUCCCAUCAAAGUCUGAUUAGAAUUCUAUUUAAAUUUAAAAUAGAUGGGAUAGGAUAAAAUAUACCAUAUCAAGUAGUUCUAUAUCUGUUAGGAUUAACCUUUAUUUAUAGUAAAUCCAGAUUUGAAUAUAAUUAAUUGGGCCACAAUAUAUGGAAAUACUAACAAUAUGUUCACAAGUACAAUAUCAAAGUGCACCACUAAUCUGAACAUUCAACUAAAUAAACUUUCUUAAGUUUUACUAUCAUUUGGCCUCCAAAAUAUUACUAGUUUUUUUCUUGUUACAUAAGGGGUGCGAUAGAUCUUACUAGGUCCUCUACUCCACAAUGCCCUUGCCACAGUGUGACACUCUACUUUCUACGGGGGUCAUCUAUCCUAAGAUUACUCUAGCCCUAAUAUGCUUAACUCUCUUAACUCUUGGAUCUAACUACCGCUCAAAAUGUUAUAACUGAGUUAGACGUUUAACUGCGUUAUAUCCCAUUUAUAGGACUAUUCUAAAUCGGUGUUACAUUCUUCCUACUUUUAAGCCCUGACGUUAUCGUCAGACUUAAAUACAUUCACAAUCACCAGGCGAUGUAAAACUCAUCUCGUUAAUCUUUAGCUAUCCUUAUGGGGAGCCGCGCUCUACCCACAAUGGUCAUCAGCAUGGGGAGCCACACUCUACCCGAUGUAUAACCCUGGGUAAGCCGAGACUCUCAUAUUUUCUGUUGGUGAUUGACUUUGAUACUCACUGUGAUGCCCCACUUUCCAGGGAGUCACCUAUCUUAAGACUAUCUAGUCCUAGCAGGCUUAACUCUCUUAACUUCUUGCGCUUCACAACUAUCCAAAAUGCUAUAAUUGGGUUAAGAGGUUUAGCCCUAUAACAUCUCAUAUAUAGAACUAUUCUAAAUCCUGAGUUGUCACACGUAGUCACGUUCCUUGCUGGUAGUGUUAGAAUCUGAAAAAGGGGUAAACUACAAAAAGAUGGGAACUACUGAAAGUUCUCAGUGAGUGCAAUCACCAAGAAUUGAUGUUCUAUGCUCACACAGUCCAGGGAAGGCAUUAGUAGAGAGAUGAUAAUAAUAACAAAUAUUUCUAUACUAGAUAUGUAGUGAGUGAAUUUACAACUACAAUACCUCCUUUAUUCAAGAUGCUAUUAUGCCACUUGUUUAAAGGUUUACCCAUCUAUCUCAUGUCUCUAACCAUUUAAAUGAUCGAUUAUGUUUCACUUUAGACCUCACGGAGAGCCGAAAAAGAUCGAACUACUCUCUAAUUGAUUGACACAAACCUCAUGAAGCGCUGAGGGAGAUCGUACUACUUUCCGAUCGGUUUAUACACACCUUACGAAGAGCGGAAGGAGAUUGUACUACUCUCUGAUCGGUUGACACACACUUGAUGGAGAGCCGAGGGAUGAUUGUACUAUUUUGCGAUUGGUUGACACACACCUCAUGGAGAGCCGAGGGAUGAUCUUUCUACUCUCCAAUCGGUUAACACACACCUCACGGCGAGCCGAGGGAUGAUCGUACUACUCUGCGAUUGAUUGAUAUUCAUCUCAUCGAGAGCUGAGGGAUGAUUGUACCACCUCCAAUCAAUUGACACACACCUCAUGGAGAGCCGAGGGAUGAACACACUAUUCUCCAAUUGAUUGGUGCUUGUAGUCAAGGGAUAUCGGCACUCUAGUACAUAAUAGGAGUUGAGGGCUGAUUGGCCCUCACAAUGCAUAUGGCGGAAUCGAGGGAUGAUUGGCAUUCUCGUGACACUUUUGGAAGGUUGCAACAAGGGAUAAUCAGCCUUCCCAAUGCAUAUGAGGAAAUCGAGGGUUGAUCAGCAUCACGGGAAACUUCUGGAAGGUCAACCAUACACAUCAUGAUACCCUAAGCUCAAUAACCCCUUGGGUUAUACUACUAGACCACACAUCUCAUAGAGAGCUGAGAAAGAUCGUGCUACUCUCCAAUUGAUUUGACACAUACACUUUAUGGAGAACCAAGAGAAAUUGUACUACUCUCCAAUUGGGUUAGGACAUCUUCUUGCAAGUUAGUGGAAUCAAAUUUGCUCUCUCAAGAAAUAGGAAAAGGACGCUUCUCCACCUUAUGGAGAGCCGAGAGGGAUCGUACCACUCUCCGAUCAACUGACACACGUCUUAUGAAGAGCCAAGGAAGAUAAGCACUACUCUCCAACCGGUUGAUACGCACAUCAUACUCCAGUUCACCUUUAACUUAGAGUUCACAAUCUCUAUGUUCCACCUUAGGUUUUACCUAAGUUAGAUGCCACACAAUUCAACCGACAUUUUAGGUUUCAAUUUUUGAUUUUUUUCAUUCGCAUACAAAGGGUUUAAAGCCCUACUUUCUUUUUCUUCCUAACAUGCAACUAAAUUAUAUUUAGAGUAUUAUUUACUAACUUAACAUGCUAAAUAAAUAAAAAAACUAUUGACAAAGAAAGAGAUCACCGACUUUCGAUGACAUUCCGUAUCUUAGCCAAGCUCCAAAUGGCUAGAACUUUCUCUUGAAACUCCCAGCCAGCUCCUAGUCUUCAAAGAGAUCAAUCUCAAAUUCUCUCAAAGUGAUCUAGAAUUUUUUCUCUUGUUUCUAGAGAGAAGGAGAAGAGGGAGAAAAUAAGAGAGGGAGUGGAGGGUGGUGAGUUAGAGCAAACAGUGAGUUGCCCGUUUAUAAGGUUGCAACUAUAACAAGCAAACCCCUCAAAUCAAAUCUUCUUAUUUACAUCAGACAAAUUUAUAUUUUGAUCUGAAUUUAGUUUAAUUCAAUCCAAACUCAUUUUAAUCAUGCCUAACAUGACUUAAUCCAUAUUUUGCCAAUUUAGCUAAAAUUCGUUACAUUACAAAUAUCAACGGCCCAUAUUAUCAGUCACUUGUUGAAUGUAACAAUCUAAAUUAAUCGUCAACAAUCACCUUCUCAUAGGGAUGCAAAUGGGGCGGAUCUAGGGGUGGGAGCCACCCCGCCUCCUGCCCCUUGUCCCGAAUCGGUGAUAGCUUUCGUAACCUGCCUCCUGCCGGCACUCCGAAUCCGCCCCGCCAACUAAUACUUUUUUAUAAAUUUAAAAUAUUAUUAAUAUUUUAUCAAAUAUAUAUUAAUAAUUUUUAAUAAUAUUAUAUACAUAAUUAACAACAUCAAUUAUAAAAAUUAGAAAUAUCAAUCAUAAUUCGAAGCAAAAGUCAAAAUUUUCAAAUACAUGAGAAAUGAGAGCAGUAACUUAUUUAUAGUUUGUAUUUUUUUGUAAAUACACUAUUUUUUAGGGACAUUUUUUAAAAAUAUAAAUAGUUUUCGGGACGAAUUCGGGGCGGGUCAAAAUUUCUACAGUUUCCUGCCUCGAAUCCGUCUCGAAUCAUAAAAAUUAUCCCGUUUUCCGCUCCGAAUCUAUUUAUUUUCUCCCGUUUACCGCCCCAUUCGGGACGGAUCGGGGGCGAGAACUUUACCAGCUUGGAUCCGUUUGCAUUCCUACCCUCUUAUCAGCCAAAAACAGAGUUCGAUCACAUGUUUCAACUGAAUCAUCCCUUCGCACGUGCGAGUUGAAUGAGGGUCAUCUUGACUCCUGUGCCAUGUACAUUCGGCAGUUUCUAAUUGGUUUAGUCGAAAUAUUUAAUAGUAGUGGGCCACACUCCUUCGUUACUUCUCUUCGCACUAUCUUCAGAUUUUUUCUUCUGUAAAUUAAAUUGGUUAGAACAUUUGUGACUUAUUCAUUUUGAAUUCCAUAGGUGCAGAAAGAUUUAACAUCUAACGUCUCCAUUAUGCAAAACUCUCAGAAAAAUUUUAGCCAAAAUCAGAUCAAAAACAGGUGAGAAGCCUAUUCUACGCAAAAAGUGAUGACUAUUAUUUUAUCUAAUAAAUUCAACUUGUAUUAGUGAUAAUUUUACUUAUAAUUUAGUUUGCUCCAAUAUCACACUAUACGCGUAAUUGUAUUAAGUAAAUAAAUGCUUGUUCUAAAGGACAUAGUGUCUGUUUAUCUAUCAUUUUCAUUUCUUUUUCAAAAUCUCCUUUUUUUUUUAAUUUAGGCAGAAAAUUCUAUACCAUACUCCUCCUAUAAGUAGCGUCGUUGGGAAAAAUUCUUGAUUUACGCAUGACCUGCAACAUAAAAAGCAUGCACCUUGUGUUUUAAUUGUGUGAUCAACAUUACAUUGAAUAUAAGUGGGACUAGUGAACUUUUUUUUUUUUUUUUUUUUUUUUUUUAUAACUCAGUUGGAUAUAUAAGAAUGUCAAUGGAUCAAGACAGCCCAAUUAGUUCCAGCCCAGCUAAUUUGGACCUUGUUGACACGAAUCUUAAAGCACUCAGAUUACUUCCUGUCGUGUUUGGAUGUCAAAAACAAGUCAAUAAAUAAUAAUUUAUUCAGUAUAAAAAUUUUUAUUUGUGAUUGAAAAUUAAAAUAUUAAUUUUUUUUUUCUGUUUGAAAAUAUCUAUGACGUGGUAAUAAUAUAGUACGUAUAUUUUACUUGAGAAAUAAUUUAUCUUAUUACGAAAAAAAAAAAACUCAUAUAAUUGUAUUUUAAUUUACAAUUUCGAUCGUUCCUUAUCUACAAAGUGCUAUAAGCUUUCCAACAAAAUCAAAAAGAUAUACAUAUAUAAAAUAAAAUAUUUCAUACAUUCAAAAAGAGCUUUAAUUAAGAUUUAAAAAUUUUGUCACAUGAAUUUAUGAAGUAGGCUGUUUUCAUCAAUAUAGACUUUAUAAUAUAAAACAGCCAUAUCAAAGUUUUUACCUGUUUUUUUUUUAACUUGUAUGUUCACUUAAUUUUUUUAUUUUUCUGAUUUAAUUGAGUUUUCUAAUUAGUUAAGUAGAAAAUUAUGUUAAUUGGUAGUUCUACUUGCUAUUAAUUAGCCACAAAUUUUAAAAAUUUUGUUUGCUAAAAUAUAAUUAAAGCUACUAAAUUUUAUUAAAUUAUUAAAAUAUAUAAGAAAAAUUUUAACUUUUUUGACUAAAAUCAAACAAAUUAUAAAUGCCAAAUAAAGUAUUCCAGUAUCCCAAUAAUAUCAAAGAUGAAGCCCAAAUCGUGCACUCACAACAACAUAAAUAUUCAUACAUAGUAGUUACUUUGUGCCAAUCAAUACACAUACCUUGCAAGAUCAACAAGAAGCAAACUAUAUUUCAUUUUCUCCUAUUUUAAAUAAUCCAACCAUUGUUGUUAAGAUUACACAAAUAAUUAGGCUUGUCACCCAUAUUGUGAGAGAGAGAGAAAGAGACCACAACAAAAAUAGUGUAUAGCGACACUUUUCAAUAUCGGUACAAGUCAAAAAAAAUAUUGCUAGCUGAAUUACUGACACUUUUUAAAAGUGUUGUUAUAUGUGGGAUCGCUAUAUGUGGGGUCGUCUUAAUGUUUGGCACUGACUCCUCCAGCGACUUAUGGCGGAGGGACAUAUCGCAAUCGUAGUUCUCUAUGGUCCCUACGAGAGCCUCAUGGCCGAACUCCAGCCGUCAGAAUCCUAUCUCGUCGGCUACGGUGGCGAAGGAGAAGAAAGAGAGAUCAUGAUCAAUUUUUCUUUUUUUUUUUCUAUUUGUAAUUGGGCCGAGUGAGUUGGCUGGGGUUAGUUGAAUAGAGAAACCUUUUAUUUUUAGCUGAAUUGUGCUUUAUAUUUAGGCCUUAUUAAAUUUUUAAAAAAAAAUUAACAUAAAUGGAACACUUAUACAAUAAUAUUUUAAAAAAUUGUCUCUAUAAUCUAAUUAUAUUGUAGUAAGAUGGCAAUAUAUUUGUACCUAACUAAGGAUUUGAGUACACCAAAAGAUUCCCCCAAGUAUUGCUGAUGAAUUAGCACUUCUCUAUAUUAUAAUGACAGUCGCGUAAUUUUUGAGUCUUUUAUUAGUUAUUACACAUAAGAUCAUUUAUUAGGAUACUCAAAAUUAAAAGCAUUACUCUGCACGAAAGUAAAAAUUUAUCUUAUACUAUCACACUCUUAUUAUUUAAGUAUAUAUUGUUGCUAAUAUUUAAUUUGUUGGGAUUAUUGAAGACUCCAUUAUCUAUACAUUAAAUAGUUACUAAACACCACCAUUAAGUUAGUUUUUUUAUGUGUUAGAUCCCCUAUGCAUAAUUUUUUAAACUUUUAAGGCUUAGUUUGGUAUUGAGGUCUAUCUGACGCUGUUAGAUAAAAUAAGUUAGGAAAAAAGCAUAUAGGGUUAUGUUUCUGCGUUUUCCGAUGGGACUGCAGAAAAUAUAUUAUAACCGACUCAUCGCAAUAUGUGGAACACAAUAUUACGUACGAAAAUAAACAGAAUAUUUUUCCAUCGUACUUUUUCACCGCACGUAAUCGCACUUAACACAAUCUGAAUGUCAGAAUAAAUUGUUCAGGAAUAAUAAUUUAUCUGAUAUAAAGCUUUUCUAAUAUGGUUGUAACUAAGAAGUUUGAUUCUUUGUCUAUUCAAAAGUCUUGCCAUCAAUGAUUUAAAAGGUGUUUCACCUCAACAAGUGAUUUUGGGCAGAAAAGUGAUUUUUGGCUCAAUAAAACAUUUGACAAACUCGUUUUCAAGAUCUAAUUUUGAUUUUUAAGAUCCAGAAUCCUGCUUCUGAAAUCUGCUUCUAAUUUUAAACUCAAACUUCAAAUUCUUUAUUUGAUUUUAGAUUCAAAUUUUAAAUUUAAAUUUCAAUUUUUUAAUUUUAUAUUUGAAUUUUUUAAAUUUCAAAAUUUAACAUUUACAUUUCAAACUUCAAAAUUCAAAAUUUUAAAUUUAAAUAUUAAAUGUCAAAUUUAAAUUUUCAAUCUAAAAUUUAAAAUUUUAAAAUUCUAAAUUCUAAAGUUUUAAUUUCACAGGGAUAACAACUGUUUUUAACAGUUUAUUAAAAAAUUUUAACUUUAAAAAAUAUAUUUGAAAUAACUUGAAAUAUUAAAAAAAUAAUUUUAAUAUUAAUUUUUUAAAAGGAGAUAAAUAAGAAAGUCCAAAUUUUUUUAAGGAUAGGUAAUAAAUUGCCCCUUAAAAAACUCUCUUCAACUACCUUCUCAUUAUUUCUUGUAGACUGUGCAUUGGAGACUCUGAUGUGUCCUCACUGUAUUCUAUAUUUUUCAAACAUGUUAUUAAAUUUCUUACUUAGUACUUUGCCUCGAAUAACUAAUUAUUCACAUAUUAAUUUCCACAUGAGGUUUCCAAGGAACCAUCCUAUAAUCAAUUUCCUCAAAAGUAACAAAAAUGGUACUGCAAAAAAGAAAUAUGCAAUGCCUAUACUCAACUAUGUACUAAAUCAUCUUCUGAAUACGGAUCGUUCCUCGCACAAGUGGCGAAGGGUUUGGUGGUUGGUAUCCAAAGUCCUAAGUUCGAAUUCUAGUUAAUUCACAUUUUCAGCUAAAUUUAUUUCUAAAUGAAGUAAACGAAGUGGGUAGCACGCUACCUGUUUCUCAAAAAAAAAAGAAAAAAAAUCAUUUUCUGGAUCUAAUACUCAGUUAUGUACUGAAUCAUCUUCCGGAUCUAUUCUAAAAUUUCCCUAGUUUUAGUUUGAUGCAGAAACUUCAAAUAAGGUUUUAAAAUGCAUGAUUUGUUGCUUUUUUAUCGAGUGUUAAAUUAUAUGAAACAACCAUUAGAUUUGAAACAUUUUAAUUGGACUAAAAUGUAAAUUGAAAUUAAAUGCGAGGAAAUUAAUAGUACUAAAAGUCUCCUUGCUCUGUUACAAUAUUGAAUUAUAUGACACCAUUAUUUUUCUUCAAGAAUAUAAGCUUUUACUAAACGGUGAUUUUAAUAUUUAGGGUUAAUUUCAUACAGGACCCUGCAAAUAUAGUGAAUUGCAAAUAAAUCCCUACAAAAUUCAACUUUUAUAUGUUGUCUCUACAAAAAUCUAAUAUUUUUAAAUAUGUUCCUGUUGUUAGAAUCCAUUAGAAAACUUUAGUUAACCAUAUCUUAAGUACUUAAUUCUUGUUAAUUUAUGAGAUAACUUGAUAUUUUUGCCUCUCUUAUAUUAUACUGUUGUGGCUUUUGGAGAAAUAUAUUUGUGAUGGCAAAUUUGAUAUUUCACUUAAAAUAUAAGUAGUUCUAUGACGGUAACAAAUCAGAGAGACAUAUUUGAAAAUAUUAGAACGUUUGCAGGAACGAUAUAUAAAAGUUGAAUUUUGUAGGGACAUAUUUAUAAUUAACUAUGUUUGCAGGAACAUAAAUGUAUUUAACCCUAAUAUUUAUAUCCAACAUCAAUAACAUCAAUAAGACUUAUUCAUCCAAAAAAAAAAUAUCAAGUAAAAAAGAAAAACAAAAAAAGCAUUGUUGUGAGGAAAUGGUCUUCAUAACAAAGCUAUAGAUUGAAGAGAAAAUAGCACGUCAACUCACAUAUUUCACACCUCAUUAGAGUAAUCCAACAACAAAUAGUUGAAUAUGGCAUUCCCCCACAAAACUACUACCAUAUAUGCAUGCCUUUGCACAACAAACUCAUUAUUAGAUCAUAAUUUCUAGCUAUUAUAGAGUUUACAUCUCUUAAGCCUCCUCUCAUGAGGUUCUAAGUGGCCUUUAAGAAGUCAAAAUUUAAGUAGAGAUAUUGAGAUACAUCAACAAGAUCAUGGGCUCUGAGAUCAAGAUCCUCAAGAAGUUGACCCGCGCCGCGUCGCAAAGUUACCUCGGGUUCGGAUUGCUCGUCGGGUUCUUCUUGAUCUUGCUCACCUACUGCAUGGUCUCCGAGCAAUUCGCGAUUCGGGCUCCGAAUGGCAGUAAGUCUAUGAACUUCAAACAACACUUGAACUUUAAAAUUUGAGUUUUUUGCUCAAGGUUUAUGCUAAAUUUCGCAGCUUUUUCGCGAUUAUCGCCGAGUUACGGAGCUAACAUGAGCCCCUUGGUGCAAGAUAAGACUAGUGAGCCAAAGCUUAUGAUGAUCUUUUGAAUUGUUCUUUUUAUUUUUUUGGGUCUUUGCUUUGGUGAAUGAUGUAAUUGUUUGGUAUUGAGAAGAUGCAGGAUUGGAAGAAGAUCGAAAAUCGGAGCCUUUCGAGGAGGAAGACGACAUCGAAGAGCAGAGGAAAACAUCGGUUUCUUCGACUGAUCACGACACCGGUAGUAAAACUCUACAAUUAGACAAAGAAAAUAGUUUAGUUUAAAUUUUGUUUUAAAAUUUACCAUCAAAAUUGUAACUUUAAUUAAAAUCUCAUCUUUUUUUGUCAGAGAAUGAAAGAAAACCACAGGAUCAACAGGGAGAAGAUCAAACAGAGAAAUAUGAGCAGGAUCCGGACUUUUUCAAGGGUGAUAAUGCACCGACUACGGAUGCGAUCGAAUCGAAUCAUUUCGGUACGCUCUUUUUUAAUCUUCUGAACUAUUUGUUGCUUCAUUUUUUGCAAUGAAAUGUUGGAAUUGCUGUUUUUAAUUAAAACAUCAUCUUUUUAUGCCAGAAACUGAAAGAAAACCAGAGGAUCGACAGCAAAAAGAUCGAAUCGACAAGUUUGGAGAGGAAUUGAACCCUUUUAAGAAUGAUGAUGCACCGAGAAAGGAUCCGAUCGAUUCGAAUCAAUUCGGUACAUCAUUAUCUUUUGCGAACUAUUUAUUGUUUCAUUAUGUAACUUGUUUUUUCUCCACUACAUUUGCUUCUUCAAUUAUAGUCACUUUUUUUUUUCUUAUUUUAGGCAAUGAAAGAAAAGCUGAGGAAUGGCAUGAGAACAAAGGAAAUGAGAAAACCCCCCAACAAAUUAAUCCUUUCAUGACAGAAGAUGCGCAGAAAAAAGACGCGAUCGAUUUCAUGCCCUUCGGUAUCUUCAUUUUCCCUCCAAAUUUGAUUUUGAACAUAGAGAAAAAAAAAGUCUAAGUUUAAGUGUUCAUUUCUAUAUAGGUGGAGGAAAUCAAAAUACCAACCAAUUUGGCCCUCAAACAAAGCCGAUUUGUGACAUGUCGGACGCGAAAUUCGACUUCUGCGAGAUGAACGGCGAUGUUCGAGUCAUUGGAAGUGCCUCGACGGUGUUACAUGUACCUAACCAAAUGAGCUAUCCAAAUCCUCAUGAGUGGAAAAUUCGACCUUACUCGCGAAAAUAUAUGCAAGAUAUAAAGGAAGUGACCGUAAAAUCCUUAAAUGGUCCCCAUGAAGCUCCCCCUUGUUCGGUUAAAGAGCGCAUUCCCGCUGUUGUAUUCGCGCUCGGUGGGCUCACGGGGAACUAUUGGCACGAUUUCACCGACAUCAUAAUCCCCCUCUUUGUGACUUCUCGACAAUUCAGCGGAGAAGUUCAAUUCCUCAUAACCAACAUCCAACCUUGGUGGAUAGGCAAGUACACUACAAUCUUCAAGAAGUUGUCGCGCUACGAGUUCAUCGACAUGGACAAGGAUAAUCUUAUUCGGUGCUACCCGCACGUCAUCGUCGGUAUAUUAAGCCACAAAGAGUUUAGCAUCGAUCCCGCAAGAGCUCCGAAUGGCUACUCCAUAGUGGACUUCACAAAGUUCAUGAGGCUCACUUACUCUCUAGAGAGGGACAACCCUAUCAAGCUAAGCCAAAACCUUAGUGGCAAGAAACCGCGCCUUUUGAUCAUCGCGAGGGGCCUAAGUCGGCGGUUCACCAACGUUCCGGAGAUUGUUGGCUCCGCAGAGCGGCUAGGGUUUGAGGUGGUGGUGGCAGACGCAAAGUUCGACGUGCAACUUGGAGAAUUCGCGAGGAUCGUGAACUCAUGCGACGUGCUGAUGGGCGUGCACGGGGCGGGGCUAACGAAUUGCGUUUUUUUACCAACGAACGCGGUGAUGAUCCAAGUAGUGCCUUACGGGAAGCUCGAGCACAUGGCGAAGAUGGAUUUUGGCGAUCCGGCGAUCGACAUGAAGUUGAAGUACUUGGAGUAUAGCAUUAGUGCAGAAGAGAGUACAUUGAUGGACAUGUUUGGGAAGGAUCAUCCAAUUAUAAAGGAUCCAAUUGCAAUUCACAAUAGUGGGUGGGAGAAAGUAGGGGAAUUUUACUUGGGGAAACAAGAUAUAAGGCUUGAUACAAGGAGGUUUGAACCUACUCUUUUGAAAGCCCUAGAGCUUCUCCAAUAAAAGAGUGUGUUUGUUGUAGAAUUUGGUGCAUUCACUUCAUUAAUUUGACAUUCUUCUUCUUUUGAAACUUUUCUUUUCUUUUUUGAACUCUUUUUGGAGAGGGAUUUUUUCCUUGUGUUGUAUAGAAGAUCAAAUAGCUAGUUGAUAAACCAUUAAGUUUGGUUUUUUUCAAUAUGGAAUAAUCAUCUAUCUCAAGAAUGCACAAAUGUUCACUUGUCAUCAAUUUCUUUUUUUUCUUGUUCCUCAUUAAGAAUGUUAUUUAUUUUUUUUCUUGAGAAAAAGGUAGCGAGCUACCUGCUUCAUUCAUUGGGUAAAAUGAACUAGGCUUACAUAGUGGAAAGCAGCCGAGGCUUCCAAAAAAAAGUAAAAAGUAAACCAAAGAAAAAAGAAAAAAAGAAAAAAGAGAGAGAGAGGUAGCGCGGUAAGUGAAGAGCUAAGUGAUAGGGGAGAGAGGAUCAGGGUUCGGCGGAUAGGUCAUUCCACGCUGUGAUCAAGUGUUUGACAUGCUCCAACGAGUGGUAAGGAAGAGGAUAGUUGUCGUUGAAGAUGUAGUUGUUCCUUUCUAUCCUGACCACCCACCAAAUGGCCGACACGAGGGUUGAGCUUUUAGAGCUUUUCCCAGCAUCAUCUAGGCCCUUGAUAUAUGGAAAACGCAAAGAGAAUCAAGUAGAGGAAAGAAGAAAUGAGGAAUUUACGUCGUGCCUCUUCAAAGUUUAUGUCCACAGGCAAAGAUGAAACAAAAAUUUCACUAGAAAAGGAGUAUAUAUCUAUAUAUAGCUCCUAAAGAUAUUUCAACAUUCGCAAUUUAAAACCGACCGUCCCUAGAGCAAGUAGCAAAGGCCUUGGUGGUUGGUACCUGAGACCCAAGUUCGAAUCCUAGUUAAUUCACAUUUCUAGCUAAGUUUAUUUCUAAAUGAAAUAAACGAAGCGGGUAGCACGCUACUUUUCUCUCUCAAAAAAAAAAAAAAAACAUUCGCAAUUUAAACAUGCAAAUGGAGUAUGAAUACUAAAAGGGCGAAUCCAAAAGUUCAUCAAAACUAGAGUGGAAAAUAUUGUCUUAAAUGGGCCAGCAUCUUAUCCUAUGGCGGGAGGCUAUAUUGGACCGAAUCAUGUUCGAAAUGCCGUGAGGCUGGUUGGGCCGAGCUAGUCACAAUCGAGACCCGUGGGCACUAUAUAUACGUUUUAAGUAAAUUAGUUGCGUAUUUCUAACAAUUCGAGCUUUUGAGAUUAAUGGUUAGCGCCAACAAUCCGACAGAAAACAUAUGGCCUAAAGUUUCUCUUCACACUUGCCUUAGCCAUUAACACAGAAUGGUCAAUUAAUGGUUAAUUAGGUACUCAUAUGCAUAUCUUCAGAUUGAGUAGUCAAAUUGCGUAUAAACUUAAAUAUUAGGCUCGUGACCCUUUGUUAGGUUAAUGUGAGCAUCCAGGGAUUCUCUUCCCAUUAAUAUAGCAUCAAAAUUAAGGAACUAUUGAAGAGAUCAACAAAACUUUUAUAAAUUCAAUGUGGAAAAGCUAACUCAUUUAUUCUCUCCUAGAUUUUAUCAACUUGGUCUACAAUUCGUGUUUGCAUAUAUUGGACUUAAAUCAUAUAACUAAUUACAUUAUCUAUAAGCAAAUUUUCUCAAAAGGUGCACCUAAUUAAACAAGCACACACACAUAACUAGGCCCAUUAUUUUUCUAGUUUUCACAAACCCCAAAACCAACUUACUAAGGAGCUAAUAAGGACAUAGAAAAGAUUGAAUUGGAUAAAAUACGACGAGAAAAUGAUGAUGGGACAAAAGAAGAGUUUAGUGACUCAGAAAGUAUUGUGAGUAUUGCGAUCGAGAAGAUAGAAUUAUCGAAUCUGGAUAGACUAAAUAAUAACGAAAUCGGAUUCGAAAAAUCUCCAAGUAUCAAACCAGGGAGAUCCCCCACACCACAAAGUUGUAGCUGUAGGGCUUCAAGUUGUAGUUAAUUUUUCACUUAACCCUAUUUUCUAUUUUAUCAUUUAAAUUUUUUUAUAUAUAUAUGAGGUACUUAGUUCCAUUAAUUUCUUUCCAUUUUUUUGACGUAAUUGCUUUCAUCACAUCUAUUAACUAGACCGGACAAGUUUGAUUUAUAUAUAAUGCUUUAGUUAAUUGACUGAUUAAAAACUUAGAAUAUCAAGCGAUAUAAUUCGCGAUACAUGCUUAAUUAAUUAAUAGACCAAAUAAGUCUUUUUUUAUGUUGGUUAAGUAAGUUGAAAGUGUUCGAUCAAAUUGACUUACAUUUAAGGACAUGUUAGUGUGUCAGAACAAGUUAUCUACCGAUAAUCAAUAUUGGAAUUACACGAUUACGCUGAGGGAUUAAAUUUUGACGGUCAUGAUUUGUCAGGGCGCGCAGCACAUGCAUUUUACGUACAAGGCGAUGAUUUAUCUUAUUCCGAACAAAUCAUGACUUGCAUGUCGAAUAUAGUGUAAUUUCAUAGGCAUUUAAUUGAUCAUAUAUUGCUUUAUUUUUGGUCUAGCUAGUGAUUGGAUUACACAGGAGAGAAAACUUAUAUAAUUGGGCAAUAAUUUCUCAACCGAGAUAAAAUAGUGACUAUAAAGUAGCUAGGUAUAAUACAAAAUUUUCCUCAUGCUCCCCAAACUCAUUGACUAUGCAUUAAUUUGAAUGUAAUUAACCCCACGAAGUCAUAGAGAUUCUUAUAUAAUGUUUUGUUUGCAUCUCUUGAGACUGUUUCCUCCAAUCCCCCACCACAUCUAAUCCAUGAUACAUAUUCUAUUGAACUUGCGCAGUUGUGGGAAGAGACAAGUUGCCUAUUAAUGAAUAUCUCAUGCAUCUCACCAAUGCAAUAAAGAAAAAAGGGUUAGUACCACAUACCACAUGAUUGUGAUGUACAUUAGGGCUUUGCAAGAGCCGUGGGAGCAUGAUCCCUCUCUCUCUCUCUCUCUCUCUCUCUCUCUCUCUCCAAAUUAUUCCGGUCCUACACUAGUCGAUCGUAUUUGUACAUCUCAUACACAGCUCUCCAGAAGCAUUUUACUUACUAAGUUUGGCGUAUAUAAGGGACAUACUGAUACGUAUGCUGUGAGGGCUUAUCUGCACGUACCACAUCUCUCGGUAUUAAAAAAAGCGUAAUUUCUAGUUAGAUACAGUAGUAAUAUGAGAAUAAAAAUUAAAAUAUAGGGUUCCAAAUGGAGCCUUCAUUCUUGAGCAGAACUCCUAGCUUGUUGCACGCCUUUGAUAUCCAGCCAUCCAACUUUUAUGCAGAUUGUAUUUCUAAACUGUCUUAUCAUAUCUAACUUUUGGAUUAGUAUCAGAGUCAGUACUAAUUAAGAUCCUAAUAUUUCGAGACCUCGUUUGUCAACUUUAAUCCUAUUUGUAUCCAUUAUGAACAUAAAUAGAGUGUUGAAUGAUCAUAUGAGUCACAGUAGCUAUAUCUCGUGAUUAGAAUUGAAGUAUCAGAUAAAAUAGAGCUAACAGAGAGUACGAUGCAACAGAAUACAGAUGCACCAGAAAAUAAUGUCCUCUCUCUCUCUCUCUCUCUCUCUCUCUCUCUCUCUCUCUCUCUCGGAGAACCUAAAAUUAGGGAUUUGGGCUUGGCAAAAGCCCAUGCGUUAAGUUUAAGUCCAGUAGCCAAUAGAUUCGGCCCGUAUGACAUCGACAUUUGGUGUCACAUCGGGCCGGGCUUAUUUCUAUUAGUAUAUGAUUUGAAAAUUAGNCUCUCUCUCUCUCUCUCUCUCUCUCUCUCUCUCUCUCUCUCUCGGAGAACCUAACUCAAAUUUGGAACAUGUCAUUAUAGAGUGAUGGCUAAAUCCCUAAUUAGUUGUUCAUUGGACUUUUUCUACUGCAUAUUAUUUGGACGUUCUCAUUCCAACCACCAUCCCCAUCUUCUCGACAUGUUCCAUGUGUUAGGCCCAUUAAUUAAAAAUAGACAAAAAUGUAUAUGACGUCUCUACAUUGUGUAGAAAAAUUUAAGAGAGAUAGCAUAUUUACCAAAAUACCCUUGUACAAACUUUUAAUUUUCAUGCACACAUUUUCAGUUGUCAGUUUCAAUAUUUCUUUCAGUGAAAGGAAAGGUCAGUUUCAUACAUAUACAAAAAAUAAAAAAAUAAAAAAAUAAAAAAAUUAUAGAUGAUAAUCAUUGUUGAAUUCAAAUGAUUAAAAUAAAACUCCCUAUCAGCUUAUGGUAUCAGAGCCUAUAUAAAUUCAUAGCUCAAAUCCCAUGAGACUUCUAAUAUAAUUUAAUUUCAUAUUUUAAAUUUAUUAAAAAUAAUUUGUUUAAAAUUUUUUUUAAAGUAAAUGACUUUUACAGCACGCGAACGGCAUAUAUAUAAUUUUGUAUUUUGUACUAGACCAAAAAUAUUUGCAACAUACAUAUAUAAUUUUCAUGGAUACAUAUGAAUCUAAGAUCCCUUUCAAUCAGUAGAGAAACUAUGGGUUCCCUCAACUAGUAUUCUAUGACAAAAAUACAAUAAUCCAGCUCACCCUUUGAAAGCAACAUGAGGGGAUGAGAAAAGGAGGAAGCAAAAACCAACCACAGUGUUGUUGAGUCUUCAUUUGGGCACCUAGAGGUCUGAUUUGACUUUUCCUUUGCCCCAAAAACAAAAAAAGAAAAAGAAAAAGAGCAAACAAACUUAAACAAAUACCAAUAAUCAAGAUCAUCGACCUAAUUAAUAGUAUUAUUUUCAAUCAGACACAGUCAAUGAUGUGGGAGAACCUAACUAAUAUACUGUGAAUAUGAAUACCCAAGAAACCAUUACAAAGCUCUCUUCUCUUCUAUUAAUGGUGCUAUAGCAAACACCAUUUGUGAUCUCUUCUUGAUCCCUAAACUCUCUCCUAUUGAAGAAAAUUAAAGAUGGCUUCUUCUGCAUAUAGUAGAACACAGAAGAAUUCGCUGGAGCGGAAGUCGCGGUACGACGGGCGGCUCGUGAAGAAUCUAAGCAAGAUCGAGCCGAAGAAGAUCGGAAUCGGGCUGGUCGCGGGGUGCUGCUUGGUGCUCCUCACUUACAUCUCCCUCGCGAAGUUCUUCGCCAUCUAUUCGCCUGUUUUCUGUAAGCAUAUCAUAUAUUCAUUCAUAUUGCCGAUUCUCCGGUCCCGCGUAAAAUUUCAUAUUGCUGCUAAUCUGCAAUCUUGUUUUUCACAUUCAUCUUCUUCUUCUUUCUCGGUAACGAAACCGUCAUUAGGGUUAUCGGAGGAUCAGGCUCCGACGAAACUUUCUAAUACAGAAACUCUUCCAAAAGGUAAGAUCAGAUGAAUAAUACACGAACAAGAGCUUUUGAAAUUCAAAUGAUUUUAAUUGGAAUUUAAUUGUUUUUUUGCUAUAUUGUGUAGAGAUUGUUGCGAGGAAUGAAACAGUGGAAACAAAACCAGACGCAAACGAAGAAGAUGAGGAGAAAACAUCGAAAAAACCUACGGAGGUGGACCAGCUACAGCAGCGCGAACCCGAAUUGGAUCCGACCGAAGAAAACGAUUUCGUAAAUUUGGGAGAUAAAGUUUCUCGCACGACCAAUCCUACCCCCUCCACAGCUCCGGAAGAAUCCUCAAAGAGCACCAUUUCUGAACUAUGUAAUCUUAAUUUCAUUAACUUAACCUUCUUUAAUCACAAUCGUUAGUUAAUUAUUACAUGUAUAUAACUUUUUUUCUCACAAUUCACGCGCAGACGGAAAGAACGACAAGAGUAAAUCCGAACCGGCGGCGCCGCGGGCGGAGCCGAAGCUCACAUGCGAUGACAAGAGCGUGGACGAAGGAUUCCCCUACGCGCGGCCCGAGUACUGCGACAUGAGCGGCGACAUUCGGAUCAGCCCGAAGCAGUUGACGGCGUUCUUCGUCUCGCCUUCCACGCCGCCCGCCCUCGCCCCCUCGGGGGAGCGCCGGCUGCGGCCCUACGCCCGGAAGGACAACUUCCUCCUCCCGGGGGUGCGAGAGGUCGUGCUGAAGUCCGCCGGCACCGACGGAACAGACAAUUCUGCUCCUUCAUGCACCACCACGCACGCCGUGCCUGCAGUCGUCUUCUCGGUCGCGGGAUACACCGGCAACUUCUUCCACGACACCGCGGACGUGCUCAUCCCGCUCUUCCUGACCUCAGCUCACUACAAGGGAGAAGUGCAGUUCUUCAUCACGAACUACAAGCCGUGGUGGGUGCACAAGUACCAGCCGGUGCUGCGGAAGCUGAGCCGCUACGAGCCCAUCGACUUCGACUCGGACUCGGGCGUGCACUGCUUCUCGCACGCGACUAUCGGGUUGGUGAGAGACCGGGACCUGAUCAUCUACCCGAACCCGACCCGCAACCCGCGGAACUACUCCAUGGUAGACUUCACCAGGUUCAUGCGCGCGGCCUACGGGCUGCCCCGCGCGCUGCCGGCCGCGCUCGGGGAGGAGCCCGGCCGGAAGCCGCGGAUGCUGAUCAUAUCGCGGGGCCGCACCCGGAAGCUGCUCAACCUGCGCGAGGUCGCCGCGAUGGCCGAGGAGAUGGGGUUCCGCGUCGACGUCUCCGAGGCCGGCGCCGACGUCCCCCGCUUCGCCGAGCUCGUCAACUCCUGCGACGUCCUCCUCGCCGUCCACGGCGCCGGCCUCACCAACCAGGUCCCAUAUAACAAGAAUGAAUUAUACGUUUCUUAUUAGUUAAGAUACGCUGGCUGUUCAGUUUGUAAAUUUUCGCAUGACGUGGGCUUGAAUUAAAUGGGAGAAAAUUAAUAUGCUAGAAGCCUGACAUGACUCGAACUCAGGACCUCCUGUUCUGAUACCAUGUGAAACAACCGUUGUACUCUAAGAACUUAAACUGUUAGAGAACGGUGUUUAAACAUUUUUAUGUUUAACACUUUUUUGAUUACUCAGGUGUUUCUGCCGACGCGGGCGGUGAUGGUCCAGAUCGUGCCGUGGGGGAAGAUGGACUGGAUGGCGACGAACUUCUACGGGCAGCCGGCGCGCGACAUGAACCUGAAGUACGUCGAGUACUACAUAUCGAGAGAAGAGAGCACUUUGAUCGAUCGGUAUCCGAAGGAUCACCUGGUUUUCACUAACCCGUUGGCCAUCCAUGGCCAGGGAUGGAAAGCCCUGGCUGACAUUAUCAUGACCCAGGAUGUGAAGCUGGACCUGUGGAGGUUCAGACCGACUCUCCUGGAGACGCUCAAUCUUUUGCAAGAGUAGAAGGGCUUAAUUGUAAUUUUGCGCGCGUGAGUUUAAUCUUUUUUUUUCUAAUUUUUUUUUCUCUCUUUAAAAGGAUUAUUAUUGCUACAUCGGAAUUGCUGAUUUACAUUGAUUGAUUCACGGAAAAGGAAACUUAGUUUUGAAUUAUUAUUUUUCUUGUUGAAAAGUAUGGAUAGAGAUGUGCAAAAGUGACCGGUAACUAACAAGGAAAAAAUUAAAAAAAUAAAAAGAAAUGGUAGAGAUUAGCUAAUUAGGUGCAGCGUUGCAUAACGAAUGAGAUUGAGGGCUCAAUCUAAACCAAUCAUUAGCACAAAAGUAAAAUAAAUUAAUUAUAAUAAUAACUAUAGAAUGGAUUUAAUUUGGAUCAAAUUCAUUGUAUACAUACCAUGUGACCAAAAAAUAAAAAAAUAGACAAUAAUUGAACUACAUUAAGUAUCCAAUUUUCAUUUAUACUAAGGACUCGUUUUACUUAACCCGAGUUUUCACUAAGUUGCUAUUUAAGUAGAACUAUUCUAAAGGAUAUAUAAAGCUUUUCUUAAUGAGAUAGUUCAACAAUUUUCUCCCUAAAGUUAAUUAGGCCCGAAAUGAAUUGUUUGUUUUCGUACCUAAGAUUGAAAUCGUUUAUUUGGGACUAUUAAAUAGAAAAAUAUAUGAACACCAUUCUCUAACGAUUUAAAAUUUUAGAGUACAACGGUUAUUUCACAUGAUAUCAGAAUAGAAGAUCCUAAGUUCGAGUCACGUUAGGUUUCUAGUACUAUUAAUUUUUCCCAUUUAAUUUAAGUUCAAGUCAUGAGUUUUAUAAAAAAGUCUCGAGCUAAGGACAUAAGAAGGAGUGUUAAAUAGCACAAUAAUUAUUUCACAUGAACAUCAUUUCUUAACGACUGUAUCUAGUACAGCUGGCUAAUAUCUGAGAUUUUAAGUUCGCAGUUUAGUUGUUUCGCAUUUUUAGAUGAGUAAAUUGCUACUUUCUCUCUUUCUAAAAAAAAAAAAAAAGGUCAAUUACUAUCUAAUCAAAAUCUACUCCUUGUUGAGUACAAGAAGUUAGUGUAAGUAGUGUUUUCUCCUUCAUUAAAGUUUGUACCAUUUAUGUUUGGUGUUAGUUGGGGGUAUUCAAUUUGAAUAAGAGAAAAUAGAUGGAACUUUAAAAAGGUUAGAUUCCUAAAAGAAGAGAUUCAAAGCAACCAUUGGAUGCUUGUGGAAAAAGUGCUUUGAGAGGAAUAUCAGAAUGUUCCACAUAUAUAUAUAUAUAUAUAUAUAUAUAUGCCCAAAUUAAUUAAAGCACUUCUUCUUAAUUAAGCUCAUAUAGUGGUUGUUACAAUUAAGGUAGAAUAAUAUUAUAAGGAUGGUCCCUAUAUAUACUCUUUAAUUCCUUUAAUUUCUCUAGACUCUUUCUUAAUUACAUUGAAGUACUUUAGUUAGUCCCUAAUAAUUUAAAAAAUAAAAUAAAAUUUCAUCAUGAAAAAUAUUUAAUAAUUUUAAAGUAAAUUAAAAAUAGGUGAACCAAUAUAAUAAUAAUGAUUAUUUUUAUUAUGUUAGUUAGAACAUUUAAACAAAGGGCUACUACACUUGUACAAUUGCCUCCUUUUUUUUUUUUUUUUUUUUUUUUUGGUAAGAAUGUACUAAAAGCACCACCUCAAGAUACUACGGCCAAUUUUGAAAUAGACACCUCAACUAUUUCUAUUUUAAUUGACAAUCCAUUUACUUUUAAUUUUUUCUUUAAGUGGCAUUAAUUAAUUAAUUUGUAUAGUAAAUUAAGUACUUUUAAAUUAUGGUGCUUUUAUUAGCCAAACUGUUUAUUUCAUUAACCGAUAUGUCUAAUAGCUACUGCAGACAUUAAUUUUACAAAAUUUUAAACUAAAAUUAAAAAAAUUAAAUUAAGAUAAUUAAGAGAUAAAAAAUAAUUUCGAAUCAGAAGUGGAAGAUAAUAUUAGGCUUUUUGGUUUUAUAGCUAGAGUUACAGAUAUUUUACCAAUUAAAAUUUUAAUAUGAGGUGAAAACUGCAUUAAUUACACAAAAUAUCAAUCAAAUCAGAAAAAAAUAUUUGAACAAAUAAACAAAAAAGAAAUGAAAAACCUAAUUGGGAAUCUCCAUGUAAUUUUAUCAAUAUUUAUUGGCUUAAUUAUAUUAUACUAUACUGUAGUUUACAGAUUUUUUUUUUCAUUUUUUAUAUUGUUCGAUUUUUUUUUUUUUAAAACACAUCACUCAAUUAUCAAUUUCUUUUCACAUCAUGCACUAUAAGUAAUAAACCUAUAAUUUUAAAUAAAAGCUAUUAGAAAUACAUACUAAAAAUGGUGGAGUAUAUAUUCAGUUUAUUUUGAUAAAAAAAUAAAUAAAUACGUAAAAUUAGUAAAAGAUAGAUGAAAAUAAAAUAAUAAAAAUUUUUAAUGAGUCUAUCACAAAAAUUUGUUUUAACUUUUUUCUAUCAUGUAAUGCGAGCUUCGUAAUAAAUUUGCUCGAUCUUAUCUUAAAUAAUAAAUUUUAUCGAUAGUAAUGUAGAUAUAUUAAUGGAAAUGUACAGAUUGGCGAGGGACAAAUAGUUUAGUAAUAUUUAUGAAAAAAAUAGUACAAGAUAGAAAAAAAUAAAUAAAUCUAAAAUAUAGAGUAGAGAUUAAUAAAAUAUAAUAAUACAACGAUAUCUUUGAAAAUAAAUUAGUAUAGCGAAAAAAAAAAAGAAAAAAAAUUCUUUAAAGUAUAGUGUGCUAGAGUAUAGUUAAGCUAUAUUUAUUUGGAGAUUUUACUUAUUUAUCCCUGACUGCGAUUCAAAAUUUUUCAAAUUUAUUUUUAAAUUAUCAAAAUAUCUUUUUAAAUCUCAAAUUUUACUAGUAAACUCUCAAAAUUUAAAAAUAUUUGAAGAAAUUUUUGAACAUUAAUAAGAAUAUUUUUGUCAACAGAGAUAUAUAUAGUAGAUAUUUUUAAAAAGAAAAAUAUCAAAUACCAUCCCUAUGCUUUCACACUUUUUUUUUAAUAUCAUAUGAUUUAGAGUGUAUCAAUUUAGUCUUUCGUGGUUUUAUUUUUUUCUUUUUAUUAUUCUCUCCGCUAAUUUUUUUUCGUUAAAUUAAUAACAAAGUUAAAAUUAAAAGAUACUAAAGUGAUUAUUCGAUAAACAUAGGUGAGCUAUCUAAAGUUUUUUGUAUAUAAUUUAAUAAAUAUUAACGGAAAUGCUGACGAAAAGAUAAAAAUAAAAUCACAGAAUACUAAUUUGAUACACUUUAAAUCACAAGAUAUUAAAGUGGAAAAGUGCGAAACCAUAGAGAUGGUAUUUGAAAUUUAUCCUUUUAAGAUUAAGAGUAUAUUAAAGUAUUAUUUAAACAUUAUUUUUAUUUAUUUAUUUUGUAUAUUAAUUUGUAUUGAAUGGGAACGUUCUAGAGCCAUACGGUGACAAAAUUACAAGUCUCAAUGCUUUUGUCGUGCCAUCACACCAACGGCCAAAAAAGUCAUCGUCGAACGUGCCACGAAAUAUUAAUUACUGGUAAAAUUGUGUCAAGAGCCCCUCAACUGUUCGCAAACUUGAAAUAACUCCCUCAACAUUAUUCUUCUAACGUUGGAUAUUUUACUUUUUUAUUAGGAGUAAACUUCAAAUACCACCCCGUGGUUUUGCAGUUUCUUAUUUCAGUACUAUGUGAUUUAAAGUGUACCAAUUUAGUACCAUGUGGUUUCAUUUUUCUCUUUUCGUCAACUCCUCGUCAACAUUUUAUUAAAUUAUGUACAAAAAACAUCAGAUAUCCCACUUAAGUUUAUCGAAUAUUCACUUUAGCAUCUUUUAAUUUUAACUUUAUGACUGAUUUGACCAAAAAAAAUUAGUGGAGAAAUAAUAAUAAAAAAAAGAAACUACGGGUACUAAAUUGAAAUACUUUAAAUUAUAAGAUAUUAAAAUAAAAAAAUACGAAAUUAAGGAUUAAAUAUCUAAAUUCAUCAAUAAUUUUAUCUAGUUAUAUAGCUGUUAAUAUCAAAGUAUUAGAGUCACCAAAUUUAAUGAUAAAUUUGAACUUUAUUUAGUUACAAUAACUCAAAAAAAUAAUUGUAACAAAAUGGAGGGGGUCUCGAAACAAUUUUACCUUCAAAAUGUAAUGUAUGAUAUUAUAUUAUAUUAUAUUAUACUAUCCUAAUUUGUCACGCAACAAUAUAAAUAGACAAAAAAAAAAAAAAGCACCGGAAUUAAUGGGUGAGCAUGUGAGAGAAAACAUUGAAUUUUGUGAACAUGGGAGAUAACAUGCAAGUUGCAUUAAUAGCUUAUAAAUAGUUUUCUUUUCUUUUUCUUUUUUUUUUUGUAUUUUAGUUCUUUAAAUACUUGGCACAAUGUGCAAUAAUAGAUGUACUUAAUAUUUACUUUAUAUUUGUCUUCUUUGUUUCACUAUUUAAAGCUGAGGAUUUGGUUAAUUCACUACAAUAAAAAUGGUCUAUAGCGACACUUUUAAAUAUAGGUACAUGUCAAAAAAGUGCUACUAGCUAAAAUUACCGAUAUUUUUAAAAAGUGUUGCUAUAUGUGGGGUCGCUAAGUAUAUAGUGACAGUUAAAGAGUGUCGCUAUAACCUAAAAGAGUGCUGCUAAUUUACCAACACUUAUUUAAGCAUUUAGUAACCGCCGAAACUCUAUCUCGUUGGCUGCGGUGGCGAAGGAGGACGACAGGAAAGGCUCUUCGUCUAGAAUUUCAGUGGAUUGAGUAAAAAGAGAAGAAAAGAUGGUAAUUGAUUUUUCUUUUUUUUUUUCUUUUCUGUUUGUAAUCAGGCCAAAUGGACUGGGUGUGGUGGGUUGAGUAGAGUAAUCUUUUAUUUUUAGUUAGAUUAGGCUUUAUAUUUAGGCAUUAGUAGAUAUUUUUUUAAAUUUUAGUAUAAAUUGGACACUUACUCAAAAGUGUUCCAAACAUGUGUUCCUAUAACCUAAUUCUGUUGUAGUGAUUGCGCGUAUGGUCACUGCACUGUUACGACGACCGCAUAAAUAUAUAUAAGUCAAAAAAUAACGAUUGCAAAAUAGAUAAAUUAUAAAAUAAUAAAAAAAUAAAAAUUUAUGUGAAAAAUUUUUUACAGACAAAAAGGACAGGUGGAGAAGAAAAUUUUAUUAUGCGAAAAAGAGAGUACAAUUUCCGAAGAUUACAACAUGCUAUCAUGCGAUCAUGCCUCUAGGGCAAAGAAGAAAAAAUGAGGGAUUUACUCCUUAUCAAGUUCCUUCAAUAUCGGACCCGAUCAGGCAUGUCGGCCUAAACCUUUCGCUUUCUAUCACAUACAUCAACUUUUUCCUUCACAAAUUAGUUUUUAAAAUUUGUCACACCGCGAAACUAUUGGCGAACCAGGAGCACAAAAUCAAAAUCGAUAACCGAAUUUCGAAGUACAUCUAACAAUAAUUAUAUACAAAUUCAAAUUUAGUGUUCAGUUUGAUCCAUUUAAAUUUAAUCAUUGCAGUUAGAACUGCGUGGGAAGAUUUAACUACAGCAGUUGAAAUUAUAUGUCCAAAUAAGCUGCAAUUACAACCAGAGCAAUUGGAAAAAAAAAAAAAAGAAACUUUUAAACAAGAUAUAAACUUACCAUCAUUAUGACCUUUUUAAACAAAAAAAAAAAAAAAAUCAAUACACUUCUGAACUGCAUACAGUCAAACAAAUUAUUAAUAAUUCUACUAUAUCCNGGUGUCUCGUGAUUGAACUAUAUGAAAUUUGAUGUUCUAUGAUUUCACUCUUUUAUAAUAUUUUGGUGUACUCACAAUAAAAUUCAAAUGGAAAACAAUUUAUGUACUAAGAAAGUGGUGUUCUCCUAUUAAAAAACGAUAGGAAAAGAAGAAAAAGAAAAAAAAAAAAAAAAUUCUGAAUAUAAAGGAUACGGUUCGUGUCUAUGUCUUAUCGUUUUAAAAUGUCUUCGUUUUAGUUAGAAAUUAUACUUGGUUUGUUUUCUUGUCAUACCGAACAAAUCAACCUACAUUAAUUUAUGUUAUACAAAUUCUUAUAUGUACGUCAACUUUUUUUAUAUCAUUAAUAUUAAUAUACACUUUCAUUUUUAUCUUUUCGUCAGCUUCUCUGUUAAUAUUUCAUUAAAUUAUAUACAAAAAAUUUUAGAUAUUCCAUCUAGAUUUAUCGAAUAUUUACUUUGGUACUUUUUAGUUUUAACUUUGUUACUGAUUUAAUGAAAAAAAUUAGUGAAAUAAAUAAUAAAAAGAUAAAAAUAAAAUCACAGAACACAAAUUUGAUACAUUUUAAACCACAUGAUAUGAAAGUGAGAAAGUGUGAAACUACAGAAAUGACAUUUAAAGUUUUUUUUUUUAACAAAUGACAAAAUUUAACUAUUUUACAUCAUUUUCUACAGAAAUGGUAUUUGAAUAGAGCAGUGCAUAGGCGUCCCUUUUUUGUUCCUGUUCUUACAAAUUUUUAGAACUUUCGACUCCGUCAUGUUCCCGCAAAUAAGAAAAAAAUGCUCAUCCAGCCCUCGUGUCAUUUGAAAUGGAUCUACGCAAGAAUCCCCGUGAAAAAAUUUGUCAAUUCUAUACCCAUCACCAUCUUUCUCCUUUCUUUUUCUCUCUUAUCUAGUCUAUUUUUCAACUAUCGUCUCAUAUCCGGAAAGAUUCGGUAAAUAUAUUAAACUAAUCUAAUUUUAUUUACACUGACUAUCCUGACGCAAGUGGCAAAGGACUUGGUGGUUGGUACCCGAGUUCCCAAAUUCGAGAAUCCUAGUUGAUUUAUAUUUUCAGCUAAGUUUAUUUCUAAAUGAAAUAAACGAAGCGAAUAGCGUGCUACCUAUCUCUCAAAAAAAAAAAUUAUACAAAAUAAUUAAAUUAUUGAUCUAAUAAAAGUUAAAAUUGACAAAUUCAUUUAUUCAACCAAAAUCACCAAUUUUUAAAAAAAAAACUUAUGUAGUCUCAAUCAAAUUAAAGUCCAGGGUCAUUUCAAAGUGGCUUAUAGUUAUUGGGCCUCAUUUAUGUUUUACUUAAAACUUAUACAAAAACAAAUGUCAUUGUUAUAUAUAAAGGAAAAAAAAAAAAAAAAAAAAAACCUACUAUAUUCUUCCGGCUUCAAACAGUUUGAAAAAUGUUUCCUUACAUUUUUUUUCGCUCAAAAUAUUAUAAAAAAUAAAAAAUUAAUAAAGUAUCGACACAUAAGAUAAAUACAAGAAUAGAUAAGACGAUUUUCUCAAAUAUAUUCCUGAUUGUUAAGUGUUAACCAAAAUAUUUUUAUUAAUUUUUUUAAAAAAAUUUUAAUUUUUAGAAUUUAUUAAUAAAAAUUAAGAUUUAGAAAGAUACUUUGAUAAUUUUAGAAGAAAUUUAAAAAUUUUAAAUCAAAAAUAAAUAAGCAAAAUUUCAUGGAAAAAAAAAUAAAAACUAUGAAACUGGUGAAUACUAAGGACAUAAUUAUGGUUUAGUUUGGUAUUGAGGCAUAUCUAACGCUAUUAGAUAAAAUAGAGUUAAGAAAAAAGUAUAUAGGGAUAUGUUUCUGUAUUCUUCGGUGGGAUCGCAGAAAAUAUAUAAUAACCGACUCAUCGCGAUAUGUGAAACGCAAUAUUACAUAUGAAAACAAAUAGGGUAUUUUUCCAACGUACUUUCUCACCGCACGUAACGCAAUCUCCCCGCAAUCCCAAAUGAAGCCUAUGUUGGCUUGGGUUCACGUGGCCGAGUAGAUAAAUUCCAAGAUAUUUAAUUAGAUUUGGAUUGGUAAAAUUGUGUGAAACUUUAUUAGCAAUGCAAACCAUCAACAAAUAUAAAACUUAAGUAGAGCUAUUAUGUUCUUACGAAUACGGAUGCCUUUAUAUUUAUAAGUUAUUUUUUAUUAUAGAACCUUCGUAUCGACAAUUCGUACCAUUAAACAUGAUAUACAACAUUUAAAAUUUUUAAAAAAUAAAUUUUGUAAUUUUUUAAAAUUAUUACACAGUUUAUCAAACAAGUAUAAAAUGAAUGAUUAAAAUGAAACGACCUCCUAAAAAUAAAAAAUUGAAUGCUUCAAUUUAAGAUCGAAAUUAUUAAUUUUUAUCUAAAUAGUGAAUAAAAUUUUUAUUAGAAAUUUAACUGAUUCUGAUUCUUUUACACCGUUAAACUAGCAACAAGUAUUUCAUAUCGGCCAUUAAAAAUUAUAAAUUUUAGUGUCUUUUGAUUGUAUAGUAAAUAAUAUCGAAAAAUUGCGAAACUUAAUUUCUAGAAGUUUUGAAAUGCUUUAAAUUAUAUUUAACGAUAUGGAUUGUCGAUUCGAAAGAUCUAUCAUCGAAAAUAAUUUAUUAGUACGAAGACGAUCAUACAGUAGUCUGACUCUCUAAAACCUAUGUUUAUUGACUUUUGCUCUGUACUUCAACUUAUUAUUAUUAUUAUUAUUAUUAUUUACCAAAUUCUAAGGAGUUGUACCAAUUCUUAAUUUUAGGGGUGUAAAAUACAUAGUGAGAUGCAAAUAGGAUGGAUCCGCGGUGGGAGGGGUUCCUCAAAGCUCACUCCGUUUUAUUGGCUGAUCAGGACGGAUUUAAAAUGAGUUGAUUAUUAUUCUUUUUUAUUUUUCUCUUACUUAACGCUUCAUUCGGAUUGAGUUAGAAUGGGAGUGGAUGUUGAGUCGAUUUUUGAUUAAUUGAGGCGGAUUAAAAGAAGGAAAUGGGUCCUCUGACUCUUACAAUAUUUUCCUUAGCCGAUAGGGUCGGAUUCGGAAUAGAUUAUCUUUUUUAAUAUAUAUAUAUAUAUUUUUAGUCUCUGUUUGUUACCCAAUGCAAGACCGACUAGGGUAGGAGCCCCACGAACCCGAAUCCAUUUGUCAUCUAAUAUUUUUGACUGUAGGGAAAUGCUACCAAUCCACCCAAAAAGGAUGUAAAAAUUGCACUCUUUUAUUUUAGGAUUCACAAAACUCUUUAAAUUUUUAUAUUUUUAAGAAAGAAUUUAUGACAAGAUAAGAUUUAAAAGUUGGUCCUUAAAUAAGGGGCGUAAAAUUUACACCCAUUUUGUAGAGUGCACAAUAGCAUUGCUUAUGCUGCUUUUUAUUAUAUCUCGACAAAAUUGUACAGAAUUUACCUAAUUAUAAACUAUUUUAAUUCCUUAGCUUAAUUUUUUUAAAAGUUUUGAAUUUAUUAUCUAAAUUAGCAUAUUUUAAAUAAAUUUAUUACGUAUUUCUAAUAACUCGAAUUUUUUAGAUUAAUAAUUAGCGCCAACGAUCCGACAUCAAUGCCACAGCCUCAUUACCUUUUGUAAUCAAUGAGAAUAGCACUUCUCUAAUGUCCUGUGUCUUUCCAAUAAAGCUUUAAACAGUCCAUUUUAUAAUCGAUAGGGUUUCUGUGGGGUACUCUCCAACCUGAAUUUUAAGUGCAAAGUAGUUAGCUUCAUUUUUGUUUGCCCUUCAUUUUCAUUUCCACAAGUCAAAGAGGGGUUUCAUUGAUGCCAAUUGCAAAUUAGUUGGUUACUUUCUUGUUAUUUGGGGCAGUCUAACAUGUGAACUAACUGAAAAUGAGAUAAUCAUAAAUCCAUUACAAAAGAAUAAGCAUGUGGUACAUAGAUGUAUUUUUUGCUCCUAAUCUUACAUUUUAUUGACUAGUUUUCUCCCUCUAGAUAAUAAUUUAGUAUAAACUAUGUACUAAUCAUUAAACAAGGACAAAAAAAUUUCCUAUUAAAUCAUUUGUAAUGAUCAAAAGUCCAAAUUGAUAAUCGGUACCAUUGAAAUUGAUCCAUAAUAUUUGAAAUAUUUAAAAAUAGAAUUUAGUAAUUAUUGAAAGUCAUUUACAUCACAAUUGAAAGACCUCAACUGCAACAAUAUUUUUAGGCCUAUAUAAGUCAUUUGCUCGUUUAACGGUAUAAAAAAUCAAAAUUAGUUGAAUUUUUUUUGAUGAAGAGUUCUUUUUUUUAUUAUCUUAGAUCAUAUUUGAUAAUCCCAACCUUGCAUUUGAUAAUCCGUCGCUACGUUGUUGGAUCACCUCGAACAGUCUGUGGGGGAUAUUUGGGCACGUUAGUUCAAUUAUAUUGGACUCUCUACUUUCUAGAAAGUCAUCUAUCUUAGAACUAUUUUAAUCCUAGCAUAUUUAACAUUUUUAAUCUCUUGGGCGUAACAACCACCCAAAAUUUUAUAGCCGGGUUAAGAGAUUUAACUCUAUCAUAUCUUAUAUAUACGAUUAUUAUUCUAAAUUCUAGGGUCAUUAUAUUUUUCUCUCCUUUAAACCCUGAUAUUCUCGUCAAGCUUCAGUACACUCACAAGCAUAAUACGAUGUGAGACACAUCUCAUUAACGAUAGACAACCUUGUGGGGAAUCAUACUCCACCUAUAAAAAUCAGCAGCCGAGGAGUCGUGUUCUGCCUACUAUGUUACCCUAACUCAGUCGAAACUUAUAUCACACUUCGGACUGGUGAUUGAUUCUGAUAUCAAUUAUGACACCGUACUUUCCAAAAAAUCACCCAUUCUAGAACUACUCUAAUUCUAGCACGUUUAACCCUCUUAACCUCUUGAGCCCGCCCAAAUUGCUAUAGUCAUGUUAAAAGAUUUAGCCCUAUUAUAUCUUAAACGUUAUAACAAGCGAGGUACGUUAUUGUAUUACUCCGAAUGAUGUACGUCUGAGGUGAGUGUUAAGUAUGUUAUGAUGAGCCCUAGGGGGUGGCAAUCCAGCUCGCUGUUUGCGAGCCAACUCGUGCUCCGCUCAAAAUAAACUCGAAAUCGAAUCACUCAUUUAGUAAAUGAAUCAGACACGAGCUGAAUUUUUUAGCUCGUUUACUAAACAAGCCAAACACGAGCUGGAGUCAGCUCACUCGUGUUCGGCUCGAUAACAGCUCAAAUACAUAUAUUUUAUAUUUAUAUAAUUUAUUUAAUUUAUAUUUUUAUAUGUAAAUAAAUAAUUAUAUAUAAUAUAUAUUUUUAUUAUUUAAUUUUUAGCAAACUAAAAAUAUAAAUGCGAGCUUAAUUAUAAAAAGACUCAUUUAUAUGUAAAGCUUCAACUAUUAGAUCAAAGUCUAAUGGAUGAGAUUUUUUAAAUUUAUUUCUUAUGUAUAUUCAAUCUAAUUUCUUUUAAUUUAUUGUUCGUUGGCCAGCUCGUGGGCUAGCUCGUGUUCGGCUCGUUUAUUAACGAGCCGAACACGAGCUGAAUUUUUCGGCUCGAUACUUUAACCAGCGAGCUCGUGUUCGGCUCGUUUACCGAACACGAGCCGGCCCCAGCUCGUUUGUGUUCGGCUCGUUUACACCCCUACAUUAUCCUAACCACACAUUUCUCAAUCGAAAGGCUAAAAAACUAAUAGCAUCAAUAGUUUGGUGCUAUUGAUAGUAUUCCAGCCUAUAUAUAUAUAUAUAGCAGUGCUACUGUGCUAUUAGGAGCACAACAAUUCUUGUGCUACUAAUUUUCUAACCACCCAUCAAGUUUGAGAGAACCCGUGAGCCUUGUUUUUAAAAAAACGAAAAGGUGUCAUAUAGGCUAAGUAAAUGUGAAGGGCCCAAAUGUGUUCUAUGGAUUGGGCUUAUAAUUUCGUGGGCUCAUACCAUCCCAAUUAAACGAACUAUUAUGGCCCAUCCAAUGACCGCAUAUUUAUUGUAGUCUUAUUUAGUUAAUUAUUGUACUUAAUUAUCCUGUCGUAACUAUAUUUGCUAUGUGGUUAGAAGCUCCUCUAAAUAGUCAAUUAGAAUAUAUAUAUAUAUAUAUAUAUAUAUAUAUAUAUAUAUAUAUAUAUAUANACGAUCCACUCCGUUAAAUAUGAUCUAGAGUAUUUGAAACUUCUAGAAAAUAAAUUUCGUAAAUUUUUGAAAUCAUAAUAAAGUCCAUCAAGUGGGCAUAAAAUGAACGGUCAAAAUCGAACGACGUCCUUAAAAAGGAUGAUCGGAACCUUCAAUUCAAGAUCGGAGUUAUUGAUCUUUAUCUAUGUAGUGAAUAGAAUUUUCUAUCAAAAAUUCAACAAAUUUCGAUUCUUUUACACCGUUAAACUAGCAAGUAUCCCAUACCGACCAUUAAAAAUUAUCAAAUUUGUGACAUCUUGAUCGUAAGGUAAAUGAUGUCGAAAAAUUAUAAAAUUUAAUUUCUAGAAGUUUUAAAUGCUGUAAAUAACAUUUAACGGUGUGGAUCGUCGAUUUGGAAGCUCUAUCAUCGAAAACAACUUAUGAGUAUGAGGGCGAUCAUAUUCAUAAUAGUAUAGUAGCCGGACUCUAUAUAUAUUCAAUCUAAUCAAUUUAAUUUAUUGUUCAUUGGUCAGUUCGUGAGUCAGCUCGUGUUCAGCUCGUUUAUUAACGAGCCGAACAUAAAUUGAAUUUUUUAGCUCGAUACUUUAACGAGCCGAACACGAGCCGGCCGCAACCCGCUUGUGUUCGGCUCGUUGACACCCCUAAUGUGCCCGGGUAGAAUAGCACAUAAGGGUUCGAAAGUGGAUGGUAGGACGUGGAGAUAUUGUGUUGUUCAAUUGAUCAGUUGGUUAGUUGACUUGGUGAGUCUAGGCCUGGGGCAUUGGAUGUGCAAAGUUGUUUUUUUUUUUUUUUUAGAGAUAGGUAGCACGCUAUCCGUUUCGUUUAUUUCAUUUAGAAAUAAAUUUAGCUGAAAAUGUGAAUCAAUUAGGAUUCGAGCUUGGCACCUCGAGUACUAACCAUCAAGUUCUUUGCUACUUGCACUAGAAAUGGUCAGUGAUGUGCCGAGUUGUUGCAUACCAAAUAUUUAUAGUACAUAACAUGGUUCUUUAAUAGGCAUCCUGUUGCGCCAGUACUCUUUAAUUUCUCCCCUCAGGUGUCAAUAGAUCUUAUUGCCUUCCUAAAAGCAUUACAUUUUUACAGAACCCAAAUUUGAAUUUGAAUUAUAUGAAGGUGCGACGAUAACAAUCUGAAUAGAGGGGAUUUGGAACGCAUCACUUUAAAUAUUGUAAAUCAUAUUUUACCGUAUUGAUUACUGAUUUGGACUCUGAUCAUUGAAAUUAAACGACUUGAUAGGAUUAAAAAAAUUAUUUCUUUUAGCAUAGCAAAUCAAUAAAUCUAAGCUUAAAUGUAUCAAACACGCAUUUUUCCAUUUGUUUUACCAUGUAAUUCUUUUAUGAAUAAUUAAUUUACAAACAUUUUGUUGCCCUAAUGAUUUUCUAAAUUAUUUGCUAAUACAUAAAUAUUAACAAAAAAAGGCCAAUUUGCAUAAAAAAUCCACUAGUUUUGCACUUUUGCAAAAGUUGGCCACUUUUUUCAAUUUUAUAGAUUCGCAUCGGAUUUUCAGCAAACUGACCAAAAUACCCUUAUUACUUUUUCUCUUUCCUCUUUCUCUCUCCUCUUUUUUUCUCUCGUUCAUUUUUUUUUUCUCUCGCCGAAGAGGCAGCGGAGGCAGAGGCGGAAGCGGAAACGGCCCGCUUCGCCUCUCACCCUCAUGCUCUCGCCCUCGCUCUCGCCCGCGCACCCCCUACCUUCCUCGCCUCCGACCCUCCCAAGGCCGCGUCGCAACUCGUUUUUUUUUUUUCCCCUCCGACUCUCCUCCACCGUCUCCGACGAUGACGCCUCUCGCGCCCUUCCCCGCCCUUUACGUCCUCUCCCUUUCCCUCCUCCUCUGCCGUCUUUGACGACGACGCAUCUUCGCCGACGACGCAUCUUCGUCGACGCCGACACCGUGGAGGUUGCUGCAGCCUCGGAGUGAGGGGUCCUUAGCGGCGUCGUCGCCGGAGCUGGCUGAGAGGGGUGACAAGAAAAAACUAUAGAAGAAAUAAGAAAAAAAAAAUAAAGAUAAAAAAUUAUAGAAAAAGAAAUAUGAAGAUAAAAUUGCACCGUUAAAAUAAAAUUGCACUGUUUUAGAAAACGUUGCACUAUUUGGAUAUAAGUUACACUACUUAAGAUGUAAAUUGCAGCUUUAAGAUGAAAAUUACACUCUUUAAACGAAAAUUGCACUCUUUGGGAGAUAUUUAUAAUGUUUCUCCUCUUAUUUCACUCUUUUAGGUGUAAACUACAUCCAUUAAGAUGAAAGUUACACUCUUUAAAUGAAAGUUGCACUCUUUGAGAAAUAUAUACACUGUUUCUUCUCUUGUUACACUCUUUGAGAUGUAAACUGCACCCCUUUAAGAGAUAUUUAUACUGUUUCUUCUCUUGUUGCACUGUUUCUUCUCUUGUUGCACUAUUUCUUCUAUUGUUACACUUUUUUUCUUCUUAAACUGCACCAUUUAAGAGGAGAAACAGUGUAACUAGAGAAAAAAUAGUACAACAAGAGGAGAAACAGUACAGCAAGAGGAGAAACAGUAUAAAUAUCUUUUAAAGGGAUGCAGUUAAAUCUCAAAUGGUGUAAGAAAAGGAGAAACAGUAUAAAUAUCUCUCAAAGAGUACAACUUUUAUUUAAAGAGUGUAACUUUCAUCAUAAUGGAUACAGUUUAAAUCUGAAAGAGUGCAAUAAGAUGAGAAAAUAAUGUAAAUAUUUUUCAAAGAGUGCAAUUUUCGUUUAAAGAGUAUAAUUUUCAUUUUAAAACUGCAGUUUACAUCUUAAGUAAUACAACUUAUGUCCAUAAUAGUGCAACGUUCUUUUAAAACAGUAUAAUUUUAUUUUAACGGUGCAAUUUUAUUUUCAUCUUUUUUUUCUAUAAUUUUUUAUCUGUAUUUUUUUUCUUGAUUCCUCUAUAAUAUUUUUUGGUCACCCCUCUCUGCCAACGGUCACGGAGCCGGCGACGACGCCGCUAAGGACCCCCCGCUUCGAGGCUGCAGUAUCGCAGGGACCUCCAUGGUGUCGGCGUCGGCGAAGAUGCGUCGUCUUCGGAGGUGACACAGGAGGAGGAAGAGGGAGAGGACAAGAAGGGCGGGGAAGGGCGAGAGAGGCGUCAUUGUCGGAGACGGUCGAGGAGAGUCGGAGAGGAAAAAAAAAAAGUUGCGGCGCGGCCUCGAUGGGGUUGGAGGCGAGGAAGGUGGGGGGUGCGCGGACGAGGGCAAGGGCAAGGGCGAGGGCGAGCGCAUAAGGGUUAGAGACGAGGUAGGCCGUUUCCGCCUCUGCCUCUGCCUCUGCUGCUUUCUUCGGCGACAGAAAAAAAAAUGAACGAGAGAAAAGAAGAGGAGAGAAAAGAAGAGGAAAGAGAAAGAGGAGAGAGAAAAAGUAAUAACGGUAUUUUGGUCGGUUUGCUUAAAAUUCGGACCGAAUCUGAAAAUCAAAAAAGGUGGCCUAAUUUUGUAAAAGCUCAAAAUUUAUGAAUUUUUUAUGCAAAUUGGCCAAAAAAAACUACAACUUUAAAUUACUUUUUCUAAGUUAAUUUUUGUUUUUUAGAAAAAGUUUAUUUGUUUUUAAGGAACUAUUCAUGUUUUCAGAACUAAACUAUUCUUUUUCUUUUAUUUUGAACUUAUCAAUUUUCUUAUGAAUGCUUUAUGCAAAAAAUAACUAGUUAUAUAAACUUAGGGCAAAACAAUAUAGAGAUUGUUAGAACUUCGCAAGAAUGAAAUGAAAUAAGUUUGAAAUCUAAGGGCAUGUUUGGUUCACCUAUUUUAGACUAUGGAAUCGGAAUGGAAUUUAUUAAUUCCGAUAGUUGCCGUUUGUUUUGGCUAAAUCCAUUUAUGAUCCAAUCCGGCUUUGAAUCCAGGAUUAGCUCAUUCCAAAAUAAACUAUUCAAAAUUCUCUUUCACCAACACCCACCUCCAAUCCGUCACUUUCCUCUCUCUUAAUCAAAACCCUCUCUUAACAAUUGUAAAUUUUCAUUCCGAUUUCCAUUUCAAUAAUGAACCAAAUAUUUUUGAAUGUUUCAUCAUUCCAUUUUCCAUUCCAAAGCAAUCCAAUUCCAUUUUUCAUUCCUAUUCCAAUCAUGAACCAAACAUGCCCUAAAUCUAAAUCCAAAUUCAAUAAAAAUUAGUAGGCAAAUAGAUCAAAUUGUGUCGAAUUUUGAUCAAAUUGACUAUGCUCCACUAUCAACAUCAUUUUGACCAUUUCUACUACUUUAAUAUUGCAAGUAGAAAGAAAAACAAAAAACCAAAUUUUCUAAUAAAAUGAUAAUUUUACACUUCUAAUAUAUGUUUUACUCAUUUCAUUUUAUUCUAAAAAAUCAUUAAAUGUUAUUUGAGAAUAAAUGUACAACUUUUUCUAAUAUUAAGAGACCAAAGUGCAAUAUAUGUGAUGAUUCAAAAAAAAAUAUUUAUAAAUAAAAAGAUUUCAUUUGGCAUUUUAUUAGCCAAAAUUUCGGAAUAAGGAAUCAUUUGCACCAGUCAAAACCUAUUGGUAAAAUUGUAUAGAAUUUAUUUCAAUUAUCAUUUAUUUUGACUUGACUAUCCAAUGUUUAAAAUUUUUAAUUUUGCUAUCAAAUCUUUUAAUUUAUUUGAGUUGAGCUGGUUAAUGAUGCUUUUACUUUAAAAUUCGAAUGCGUCAUUAAAUUAGAUACUCAAAUUAAAAUUUUGAGAAACUGGAUAGUAAAAAUUAAAAUAAUCUAUAGUUCAAAUAAAACUUAUGCAUAUUUACCGAAACUAUUUUAUUUAGAGGUGCAAACUUGGCGAAUCUGGACGUGCAAGCCCCGCUCCGCCUCCUGCCUGACUACCAAAAUUCCAUCCCCCUCCUACCUCGAAUUUGCAACAAGGUAAAAAAUAUAUCUCAUAAUCCGUCCUGCCUCAUAACUUACCUUCCGCUAUCGCCUCGAAUCCAUUCUGCCAACUAAUACCCUUUUUUUUACAAAUUAUAAUAUUACUAAUAUUUUGUAAAAUAUAUAUUAAUAAAUUUUUUAAUAAUAAUGAAUAAUAUUAUCAAACUAUAUAUAUAUAUAGGGUCCGGCUACUAUAUUAUUAUAGGUACGAUCGCGCGCCCUCGUACUUAUAAGUUGUUUUCGAUAAUAGAGCUUUCGAAUCGACGAUCCACAUCGUUAAACGUUAUUUACAGCAUUUAAAACUUCUAGAAAUCAAAUUUUAUAAUUUUUCGACAUCAUUUACCUUACGAUCAAGAGGUCACAAAUUUGACAAUUUUUAACGGUCGGUAUGGGAUACUUGCUAGUUUAACGGUGUAAAAGAAUCAGAAUUUGUUGAAUUUUUGAUAGAAAAUUCUAUUCACUACAUAGAUAAAGAUCAAUAACUCCGAUCUUGAAUUGAAGGAUCCGAUCAUCCUUUUUUAGAACAUCGUUCGAUUUUAACCGUUCAUUUUAUGUCCACUUGAUGGACUUUAUUAUGAUUUUGAAAUUUACGAAAUUUAUUUUCUGGAAGUUUCAAAUACACUAGAUCAUAUUUAACAGAGUUGAUCGUCGAUUCGGAAGCUCCAUCAUUGAAAACAACUUAUAAGUACGAGGGCUCCAAUACUCACAAUAGUAUAGUAGCCAUGACCUAUAUAUAUAUAUAUAUAUAUAUAUAUAGGGUUAAUUGCAUACAUGUUUCUGUAAACAUGGUGAAUUACAAAUAUAUCCCUGCAAAGCUCAACUUUCAUAAGUUAUUCCUGCAAAAGUCCUAAUGUAUUCAGAUAUAUCCCUACCGUUAGGGUUCGUUAGAGAAAUUUCGUUAACCACAGUUAAAAUACUUAACUAUGGUUAAUUAAUAAUGUGAAUUGACAAUUUUGUCCUUAUUCUUCUUCAUUUUCCUCUUCCUCUUCUUCUUCCUCUUCCUCUUCCUCUUCCUCUCCUGCUUCUUCUUCUUCUUCCUCCAUUUCUCCAUAUCCUCUUUUUCCUCCUCCUUUUCUCCUCUUUUUUCUUCUUCUUCGUCGUCGUCGUCAAUGAUCCGAUUGUUGUCGCCGUCGUGGUGCGCACGUGGGCCGUCGUCAAGGGCGCCUCCGACGGUAUCGACCGCGCCUUCGCCUUCCGCCUCUUCCUCGUCCUCGUUGGCGGCAACCCCAACAAACUCCGCAAGGUCGCCGUCGUCACCGUCCGCUCCCACAGCCUGAAAAGGAAGAGGAAAAGUAAGAGAGCAAGGGCAAAAUUAUUAUUUCACAACUCUACUGUUAAAAAAUUAACAGCUCUCUAAUGGAUCCUAAUAAGAGGGACAUAUCUAAAUACAUUAGGACUUUUGCAGCGAUAACUUAUGAAAGUUGAGCUUUGUAUGGAUAUAUCUGUAAUUCACCAUGUUUGUAGGGACGUGUAUGCAAUUAACCCAUAUAUAUAUAUAUAGAGAGAGAGAGAGAGAGAGAUAGAGAGAGAGAGAGAGAGAGAGAGAGAGAGAGAGUUGAGCUAGAAUACUCUCAAAAGCACCAAAAGGUUGGUUCUUUUGAGUUUUUAAACCUUAAAUAGAGAAAUAUAAGGUUUGGAUGAUGGUGGUAGGUGGUGGUAGGUGGAAUAGUGUUUGAUCCAAAGGCUAUUAGUAAUCAAGGAGUAGAUCCAAGGGUUAGAAACUUAGCAGUGCCAAGGGAUUGGUGCUUCUAAAAGUAUUCUAGCUCAAUUAUAUAUAUAUAUAUAUAUAUAUAUAUAUAUAUAUAUAUAUAUAUAUAUAUAUAUAUAUAUAUAUAUAUAUAUAUAUAUAUAUAUAUAGUAGAGCUACUAUGCUAUCGGAAGCAUAGAGUGUCUGGUGCUUCCGAUUUUUUGGACCUUAGAUCAACUUCUUUGAUCAUUUCUAACCUUUGGAUUAAUACUAUUACCCUGUAAGGACCACUCAACCCUAGGGAUACCACUCAACCUUGGGGGGACCGCAAUCAUCCCAACCGUAUAAUUUUUGAUCCAAUGGUCAAAAAGUUGGAAGCAUCAUAUCCUCUAUGCUUCCGAUAGUAUAAUAGCUCUACACUAUAUAUAUAUAUAUAUAUAUAUAUAUAUAUAUAUAACUAGGCUGGUGUAGUAUUCCAGGCGUUCGGUUGCCCGUAAGAUUUCAGCAUCUAAGGCUUGUCGACACAUCUGGAGAGUGUCGGGACAAGUCUGAGUCGUUUUGGAGCGAAAUAGAUGCAAAACUCUUAGAAUCUACACUGUCACUUUCUGAAAAUUACCAGAUUUAGCUUUAGAAGCUAUGGUUCAUUUGUAUCGCCGUUGUUCGUAUGCGGUGGAUAUCCAGAAUAGUGUAGAAUGAAUUUAUGCUCGUGUUAGGAUACCGAGCUUAUUUUACAGUAGUGUGUAGACUGUUUCGGACUAUCGGAUGCCGUCGCGGUUGACGGUGGACCCAAUUUGCUGUUUUUGCAUCGGAUUGUGCCAAGGGCACGUGAGUUUUGGUUGUAGGACCAAUUAGACCUAUUUACUUUGAUUAUAGCCUAUGAGAGCCUGAUUGAGCUCUGCAAAGAUACGGUUGCAUACUUGGUUGGGUAGCGCCCACGAGUGCCACUCCGGAGUCGGGCUUUGUGCUUUUGUGUUGUUGUCGUUGUGUCCUGGUUGCACUCGCUCUCCACUGACAACCCAGCGUGGUGGUCGUUAAUGUAGCUUCGACAGGCGGGCCGAGUGUGUUCAGUCCCUAAUGAGAUUGGGUCAAAAAUUGCAUCUUGCUUAUAUCUACUGACAGCUAGUGUUGGUUAGCAAUAGUAUAGUGGCAUGUAGUUGUAGAGUUUUUUCAGCUUCCUUUACUAUCCUUGAGCAUACUUUCUGUAAACUUAGUAGGUGAGCCGUUGAGGUCGGUAGCGGUACCCACUGAGGACUACUUCUUUUUGUAGUAGUUCUCACAUCCAGUUGUUGACCCUUUUUUGUAGAGCCUUCUUCUGCGGCUGCUGCUGUCGCUGAUACUGAUCGUGGAAAGGGAGUCGCGAGCUAGAUCCCUUCCAGUCUUGUUGCUAUUCUAGAGGAGUACCAGCUACAGGUAGUUUUAAUUUUUGGUUCAUGUACAUACUGAUAUUGGAUACUCGCUGGAGCGAGUGAUAUCUGUAUCCUGGAGAUUAUGUAUGUAUAGUGAACAUGAUGGUUAUUUAUAUUUGUUUACAGUUCUGUUAGUAGCUCUAUACUUCUAGUUGUAGUUUUGUAUGAUUACAUGUACAGUUACAGCUAUCACUUCGUAUACAGAGAAAAUUCUUUUGUAUACGGGUCUAUUUGCGUGCCCAGAAAAACGUGGUAAUUCGGGGCGUGACAGCUAGAAUACUAUCAAUAGCACCAAGCAAUUGGUGCUAUUAGGUUUUUGGCCCUUGGAUCGAGAAAUGUGCGGUUAGGAUGAUGUGGGGCCCCUAGGGUUGAGUGGAUAGUUGGUUGAAUAGUAUAAUCUAACGGGUAAAAAUAACCAAAGGGGUUAAUCUAACGGCAGAAAUCUUGAUAGCACCAAGUGUUUGGUGCUAUCGAUAGCAUACCAGCCGGACUCUAUACAUAUAUAUAUAUAUAUAUAUAUAAAAUUAAUUAAUUAAUAACAUUAAUUAUAAAAGUCAAAAAUAUCAAUUACACUUCAAGUAAAAUUCAAUAGUUUUCAAAUGCAUGAGAAAUGGGAGCACCAACUUAUUUAUAUUUUAAACGAUUUUCGGGACGGAUUUAGGACGGAUCAUAGCGGGGGAGAUUCAAAGUGGGUCAAAAAAAUUUUUGUUUUCUACACCAAAUCCAUCUCGAAUCACAAAACUCAUCUCGUUUUCUGUCCCAAAUUUAUUUAUCUAUUUAUUUAUUUUUAUUUACGGUCCCAUUCGCGAUGAAUCGGAACGGAAGCUUCACCAACCUAAAUCGGUUUGCAUCCCUAAUUUUAUCCUUCAAAACAAACUCGACAACUUAGUUAUAAUAGUACACUUUAUUAAUGAUUCAUAGAACCCAAUGUCACUGCAUAAACAACCUACAUAUUUAACCCUUUUCUCUAUAUAUCAAUGAGUGUUAUUAUUUGGUCCCACAAAGGUGACAUGAGAUAUGCCAAAGCGGAAAAAAGAAGAGAAUAAAUUAAUUAAUGCUCUGCGUCGGUGGGCAAUUUAAUAUUGUUCAGAAAAAGAGAUCUUGCUCCAGCAGUUGCACUUUAGUUAGAAGCAAUAGAUGGAAAAAUGCCAAAUUUAUAAGUCCCUGUACUUUUACCAAAUUAAAGUUUGCUGCUCUAUUAUUUUCACUUUUAAAUUGAGUUGUUAUUUGUCCCUACUUAGUUUUGUAAUUGUAUCAUUCUGUGGUUAACUGAUCUUGUCCAAAAUAUCAAGCAUUUAUUAGGCUAUGUACUUUACAUGUGAAAUAAUAUAUAUAUAUAUAUAUAUAUAUAUCGAGUGAGCUGGUAUGCUUCUGAAAGUAAGGAGUCUUUCGUACUUUCAAGUUGUUUUCGAUGUUGGGACUUUCGAAUCGACAAUCGGCUCCGUUAGAGUUGAUCUAGAGUAUUUGAAGUAAUCAGAAAAUAAAUUUUGUAAUUUUUCGAUAUCAUUUGCCUAGUGAUCGAAAGAGCUCAAAAUCAAUUAUUUUAAUGGUCGUGGUGAGCCGUUUGCAAGUUUAAGGGUGUAGAAAUAUUCAAACCAGGUGAAAUUUUGAUAGAAAAUUUUUUAUACUAUAUAAAACAAGAUCAAUAACUUUGAUCUAAAAUUUUAAUGUUAUAUUAUCAUAUUUUGUAAAAAUUUUGUUUUCAGCCGUUGAUUUUGAACCCUUUCGAUCACUAGGCAAAUGAUAUUGAAAAAUCACAAAAUUUAUUUUCUAGGUACUUCAAAUACUCUAGAUCAAGUCUAACAGAGUCGAUCGUCGAUUUUCGAAAGUCCCAAUAUCGAAAACGACUUGGAAGCACGGAGCGCUCGUUGCUUCCUAAGGAUACCAUGCAGCACCACUAUAUAUAUAUCCUUAUAAUAUAUAUAGUAUAUAUAUAUAUAUAAGAGAGAGCAGAGAUGGAGAGAGAAUCGGAGACGAGAGAAGACCACUUUGUUCCGACAGAUCGCGAGAGAGAAGUCUUCAUUUGACGAGAGAGAAGAGGCAGAGUUGGGCUAGAUAAUACCUAUCGAUAGCAACGGGCUCCGUGCCAUCAAUUUGUUUAUCGAUGAUGGAGCCUCCAAAUCGACGAUCGGCACGUUGAGCAGAUCUUAUGACCAUUUUGAAGUGAGUUUAGAAAUCAAAUUUCAAUUUUGUCGGAAUAUUUCUACUUAUCCACUCGACGUGGACAACCAAAAAAAUGAAUUGGCUGUUGAAAAUCAAGAUUCUUUAAAAAUGAUUAUAGGAGUUUUGUAAUCAAAUCAAGAGUAUAGAUCUUAUUUAAAUAGUUUAAAAAUUUAUCUCAAUAAAAAUAUUCAAUUGAUUUGAAUAUUCUUUACCCGUUUAAAACGGAGGUCGGGGAAACGCCUCGUAUCGACUUUUAAAUUACCAAAAUUUUGAAAUCUUUGAUCAUUAUUAGCAAUAUGAUUGUCGAAAUGAUUUGAAUUUAAUUCUAAAACACUUCAGAGUGGAUAAUAAUCAGUUUAACGGUGCCGAUCGUCGAUUUGGAGCUCAUCAUUACAAACAAUAAGUGGCAACGGAAAGCCGUUAGGGCUAGUAGAUUAGUAUUCUAGCUCACUUGGGUAGCACGGACGCGACUCGUGAGCGUACGAUGUUAUAGUAGCCUAGUUCGUAUAGUAUAUUAGUAUAUAUAUAUAUUAUUAAUAAUACAGAGGAGCAGAGAGAGACGAUGACUGAGACUUUCUGAAUCUUGCCAUGGCAGCGGGGGCCGUGAGUCAGAAUGGGUCUAGCCGUUCGAGGAGACAUAUGGGAGCCACAGCGUUGAGAGAAUGGAGGACGAGAGGAGAGAGAGAGGAAGUGUGGACUGGGUAACUUAUUAGUUAAGUAAAAACCUAUUGUCGAUGCUUACCAGGUUUUUAGCCUUUGGAUCAACUCUUUCAUUAUUUGCUAGACAUUGGAUUAAAUACUAGAGAAACAAUGCGGGACAUCGCAACCCUAGGGGACCACUCAACUGCUGACUGACUAAGUUAAUUAUCUGACCCUACAAUUUUUCAUCCAAGAGGUGUGUGAAAAUAUUGAUACAAAUAAAGAAUACGUGUUACUAUUAAUAAGUAUUCUCAGCUAUAUAUUAUAUAUAGUAUAUAGUAAUAUAUAUAUAUAGUAUUGGAAGCUGGAUGCUAUCGGUAGCAAGACUAGUUCCGUUGGCCAUCAUUGGUUUUCGAUGAUGGAGCUUUAUAAUUGACGAUCCGGGCGCGCGUUGGAACAUGAUCGUAAUCACCAUUUGACGAGUAUAUUAAAACCAAACAUUUCAUAUUCAUUUCGAAUUGUUUAUAGAUUUUGUUUGGACGGCCUACGAUUCAAAGAGAUUCAAAAUUUUAGAUUUUAUAUGGUAGAUAAUAAAGACGUCGUUCUUCGUUUAAGCGGUAUGUAUAAACUAUCCAAUCAAUUGAAUUUGCCGUUAGAAAAUUCUUAUAAACUAAUUUAGAUAUGAUCUUAUUACUCUUCCGAUCUUGCAUACAAAAUUCACUAUUCAUCACUUUUUAGGGGAUAUUCAUGUUCAGCGUUCUUUUUACGCUCACUUGGAUGGAUAAAAAAUCUAAUAGCGAAAAGCAUGAAAUUCGAUUUCUUAGAUAUCUUUCAAUGGAGGGGUAUAGAUUAUGAUUUCUAGUACAUCGGUUGGGCGGGUGGUGGGGACUGGAUCAAUGAUCUUUGAGCGCUCAUCACGAAACAACAAUGGUGACACAUGGUCUAUUUGCUACGGAUAUAUUCUUAGCUCAAUAUAUAUAGUAUAUAUUAAUAUUAUAUUAUACUAUAUUAUUAUAUAUUAAUGUUUAUAAUAGGAAUUAGGCUGAAUUAUCUAUUUAGAUUAUAAAACAGUUCUUAUCAUAUAUAUAGGAGAGAGAGAGGUGAGAGAGGGAGAGACGAGAGACGAGGACUCCCCGGGUUCGAGAGAGACAGAAGAGAGGAGUUGGUAGAAUACUUAUUCGAUAGCAAAACGGGCUCCGGUGCCACUAAUUGUUUCGAUGUAUGGCCUCCAAAUUCGCACGUGGACCGUUGAGCAUGAUCUGUAUUACACGUGAAGUGUUAGAAUCAAUUUCAUAUAUUUUCGAUUUGUUUCUUAUCCUCGAGUGGCCACAAUAUGAAUGCUGAAAUGGAUAUUUUUAAAAUAAUGAUAUAGGAGUUUGAUCAAAUCUAAGAGUAUAGAUCUUAUUUUUAUAGUUUAAAUAAUUUUCUAAUAAAAAUUCAAUUGAUUUGAUAUCUUUACGCCGUUAACGACGGAAACGCUCGUUUCGACCUUUAAAUUACAUUUGAUCCUUUGUCAUUAAGAAAUGAUGUCAGAAAUGAUUUGAAAUUUAUUCUAAACACGUCAAUGGUAUAAUAUGUUAAGCGGUGCCGAUCGUCGUAUUUGGAGCUCUAUAUUACAAAAAAUAGGUGGCAAGGAAGCAAGUUUGCGUAUCCGAUAGUAUUCUAGUCAAUUUUAGACGGAGCGCUCCGUAACUACGAUUAGGUGAUUGAUGAAUUAGUUCUAUAUAUAUUAUAUAUUAUAUAUUAUAGAAGAGAAGAGGGAAGGAUGCGACGGUCGGGACCGGAGUGGGAGAGGCUAUCGUGAGAGAGCAGCCAGGACAAUUUUGUGGCGGGACGCUGACUGGGGAAGAGACGCCAGCCGGGAGGAUCUCGACGAGACGGAGAGAACCCAGAGGGGCAUGGAGGGGGAAGCUGAGAGAGAGAGUGGACUGGCUUACUAUCUAGUAAUAAAAUCCAUGUCUUACCAGUUUUUAGCCCUUUGGAUCAACUCUUUUCAUUAUUAUCUAACCAUUGGUAUUAGAUUAACUAUACCAAUGGACAACUCAUCCUAGGGGGACCACUCAACUCUGACUGACUAAUAUAUCCUGACCUACAAUUUUUCUCCAAGGGUUAAAACUUGAUAGCAAAAAGAACGUCUUUGACUAUUAAUGGUAUUCUAGACCUAUAUAUAAAUAUUAUAUAUAUAUAUAUUAUUGUUGACUGGAAUCUACGUAGCAAACUAGUUCCAGUUGCAUCCAUUUGUUUUCGAUGAUGGCCAUCCUUAAAUUGCGAAUCGGCGCGUUUGAAUCAUGAUCUAUACCAUUUGAGAGUAUAUAGAACACAAAAUUGUCAUAUUGUCAUUUCGACUAAUUGAACCCUAAACAGAUCAAAAGGAUUGUCAAAUUUUAAUUGUAAUGGUAGAUAUAAGUGUUUUCUCGUUUAACGGCCCUGUAAACUAUCCAAAUCAAUGAAUUUUGGUUAGAAAAUUCUUUAAACUUAGUUUACGAAUAUAUCAUAUACUCUCCGAUCUUCGAGAUUACAAAAUUCCCUAUGCAUCACUUUUAGAGUUGCUGAUAUUCAUUUUCAAGCGUUCAUUUUUACGCUCACUUGAUGGAUAAAGAACAUAUCGAAAAAGCAUGAAAUUGAUUCUGAUACUUAAGUGGUAUAGUUAUAUUCAACAUGGGUCCAGAAUCAGUGUAUUUGAGGCUGUCAUCAUCUAACAAUGAUGAAACAGGCUGUUUCUUAUCAUGUUUCUGCUCAACUAUUAAUAUUUAGGGUAAGUUAUAAUAUAUAAUAUAUUAUAUAUAUAUUAUUAGAAUUAGACUGGAAUACUAUUAAUAGUAAAACGCUCUUUUUGCUAUCAAGUUUUUAACCCUUGGAUGAAAAAUUGUACGGUCAGGAUGAUAUUAGUCGGUUAGAGUUGAGUGGUCCCCCUAGGGUUGAGUGGUCUUCACUGGGUUAUAGUAUUUAAUCCAAUGGUUAGAAAUAAUGAAAAAAGUUGAUCCAAAGGCUAAAAAACUGAUAGCAACAAUGAGAUUUUGCUACUAAUAGUAGCCCAGUCCAACUCUAUAUAUAUAUAUAUAUAUAUAUAUAUAUAUAUAUAUAUAUUAUUUUGCUCAAUCCCUUUUUUUUUUCUUUAAUAAGUACAUAAUUUGGUUUAGACUAGUAAGGGAUUUUUUUUUAUUUUUUUAAGGAGUAAAGUCUAUAGGCAUUUUAUUAAAAAAGUAGAUCUUGAUUAUAAUAGCAUAAUUUAGAAUACUAUAUUAAACAUAUUUUCAUAAACGAAAGAAGGGAUUAACGUAAAUACACUCAAAACUAGAUAAAAGAAAAGCAAAUAAGGGUGAUGGUCCCAUACUUAUGUAAGAAAAGAAAAAGAUAUGUUUAAUAAUUAAUUAAGUUUAUGAAUGUUAAGCUCAUAAUAUAUAUAAAAAAAAAUUAGAGAAUAUGAUAGAUAAAAAUAAUUAUUCAGACUACAUCUUCAGUCCAACUAAUAUUUCUCAAUGCGUAGCAGAACAUUUCGAUCUUCGAAUACGCAAUAUGAAAGAUAGAUUUGAAACCAGUGGCAUAUGACAAAUUAAAAGAGAGAGAAGUUCAAAGUAGCGUGAGACCGGAGUCAGAGGGAGGUGAAAAUUUAGACAAUUGCGGUGUAGAUCAUAAGAACAAAUAUAGAAGGAAACAAUAAAGAAAAUGAUAUAGUCAACAAAAAUCUGUACCUAUCGGUCGAAUUUUGACUAGAUACUCGACCAAAAUUAGGCCAAGAGGUUGGAACAGAGGAAGAGGAAAAGUAAGAAGAAGAGAAAUUUAGUGCAGAGAUUUACAUAGAGAAAAAAAUAAAGACUGAAACAAAAAAAAAAGCAAAUUAAUAAGUUAAAAAAAAUAAUAAUAAAUAAUUAUUUGGUAUUUUAAAAUAUUACAAAUUAGAUAUUACAAAUUUUCUAUAUGCAUAUAUGUUUGGGAGAAAUAAGGUUUUUUAAAUAGAAAUAGCAAGUUUUAGUGCAGUUAUUGUUUUUUUUUUUUUUUUUUGAGAAAGAGGUAGACGGGCUACCUGCGUCAUUCAUUGAUAAAUGAAUUAGGCAAUACAUUAUGGAAGCAGCUAAGGCUUUCGAGGCGAAAGACGAACAGCAAGAAAGAAAACAAAGCUAAAGUAAGAAGGAUCCAAAGAUAAUCAAAAAAAGAUGAAAAAGAUAAAGCAGAACCCAAAAAACCGAAAAGGUAAGCAAAAGACAAUAACUGCAGUUAUUGUUACUAUUCUUCAAUUAGCACUCUCGAGUAUGAAGAAGCAUAUCAUCACUUUGGAGGCCAUUUGAUAAAAAAACUUUAUUAGAGAUGAAUAAUAUCGUUUUUUUAUAGAUAUUAGCAUGAAUAUAACAUGUGUUUUAUAAAUGAAAAUCCAAAAAGGCUCUUGGAUUUGUGAGACAAGCACUAUCUUUAGGCUUAAUUAGCCUCCCUUCCUCCUUCCUUCUUUCUCUUUUCCUCUAAUUUUCUCUGCCUAACAACUUUUUUUUUUUUUUUUCCUUCUCCUGUUCAACUUGUUUGACCUUUCUAUUGUUUUUCCUUCAUUCCUUAGUUUAUUUUAUUUAGGAGCGGUUUGGAUACAUGUAGUUGAAAUUGCAUUACUAUUUCAAGUACAUACAGAUCUAAAUUCAGUAUUUAGUUUGAUAUAUUUGUGUCCAACUGCUGUUGUAAUUAUAUAUAGAUUUAAAUUCGGUAUUUAGUUUCAUAUAUUUGAAUCCAACUUACUGCAAUUGAAACUACAUGAGAAAGGAAGUGUAAAACUGUAGUAGUUAGAAUCACAUUUAAAUUGGUCGCAGUUCCAACCUGCAGUAGUCGGAGAAAAUAAUUUUAAACGAAAGAUGAACUUACCUCUCUAAUUACUUUUUAAACAAAUGCUUUUCUUUUCUAUAUCCAGCGACCAUUUAACCACUAUAUAUAUAAAUUGAUAAAAUUUAAAAAACAGACUUCUUAACUGCAAAAAAUCAAAUAAACUAUUUAUACUUAAUUACAGUAUUUUCUACGACAACCAAUCAAACAAGAUACAUACAGUUGUAAUUACUAUAUUUUUAACUGCGUGUAUAUUCGACUACACUGUAUUUUUUAAAUACUUUUAAUCAAACAGUCCUUUAAUAAAUAAAGUGAGGAGCGCGCUACUUUCUUCAAACAAAUUCUUUCUAAUUUGUCUUCAUAUUUUGACGUUUAGAAUUUCAAAUAAAGCGAGUAUAUAUAUGUACUUCAACCAAUUAAGAGAGAUUACAAAAGUUAUUUUGUGUUUUUUCAUUUAUUGAUUAAUGAAUCUAACGAGAAAAAAAUAACUUAAAAAUCUCCUGCUAUGAUAAAACAUUAGUGACCUAAUUCUGCCCACCUCCUCCAAUUCCAAAAAAUAAGCAAAAAAUUGAAAAAGUCAAAAAAAAAUUCUUUUUUUAAAUAAAAUUAAAGUAAAAGAAGAGAACAAAAAAGAUUUAUGUAUCAUAUGCCAUGACACGUUCGUGAAGGCCAAAAACACUACUCAAAUGCGACAACCAUGCCAAAGAUAAAAAAAGUAAAAAAAAAAAAAAGAAGAAGAAGAAGAAAUAAAGUAUCUUUUUUAUUAUUUUUUUAGUCCAAUUAAAAGGACACAAGGAAUAAUUCCAACUCUAAAAAAGGGGCGUAGAACAAAUAAUUACAAAGAAGUGGGACCCACACGUAAAAGAAUCCCGUGGGCUAUCCCACCGCAUGUCACGGAAUACAACAGGUGAAAAUUUACGAAGAACCCCUCCACUUCGACCAUUUUGGAGUAUAAUCCUCAACUCAUUUUUUUCUGGUAAACUUCAAAUACCACCCUGUAGUUUCGCAUUUUUUAUUUUAGUACUACUCUGUGGCUUAAAGUGUAUCAAUUUAGUACCUUGUGAUUUUUUUUUUCUUUUUGUCGGUCCCUCCCUUAACUUUUUGUUAAAUCAUCAUAUACAAAAAGCUUCAGAUAUCCUAUCUAUAGUUUAUCGAAUAUUCACUCUAGUACUCUUUAGCUUUAACUUUAUUACUGAUUUAACGAAAAAAAUUAGUAGCGAAGAUAACAAAAAGAGAAAAAUAAAAUCACAGGAUACUAAAAUGAGAACGUGCGAAACCACAGGGGUUGUAUUUGAAUUUUUUUUCUUUUUUUUUUGUUGAUUUUUCUAGUUAUUUAGUAAGUUAUAAAGUUUGUUAAAUUCAUAGUUUAUUUAAACCUUUUUUAUAGCAAUGCUUUUUCAUCAAAAAAAAAAAAAAAAAAAAAAAACUACCUAUACAUGUACACCAAAAAAUAUAUAUUUUAAACCUCUCAAUCCUCGAAUUUAAAAAAUUCAUUAGAUCUUUACUAUUUUUUUUAAAACAAAUUAAUAAGAUAAUGACCAAUCCUUAGUACUUCAUAAGAGAGACAUAAGAUGCACAGUUAUUUUUAUUUUAUCUAUCAAAGAAAAAGAAAAUCUAAGCGUGAGGAGUCCCUUUCAAAAUAUUCUAUAACUGAGGGGGUCUCCACGUACAAUUUUACCCCCACUAUAACCAAUUUAAUGCAAAACACACAUUAUUAUCUCAGCAAAGAGGACUCUGUAAAACCCACCAAUUAGGCACUUUCCCACCAAUUCCCUCCCAGAGAGUCGUAAAACAUAGCGUUAAUUUCGUACUGAUCCUGACAAAUAUAAUGAAUGAUAAAUAUAUUUUUAUAAAAUUUUAUUUUUGUAUAUUAAUUUUAUAAAAAUUUUAUUAUUUUCAAAUAUAUUCGUGUCAUCAGAAUUCUUUAAAAAAAAUUAAGUUAUCCAUAGGUUAAAUAUUUAAUCCUAAUUAGUUUUUAAUAUUUUUAUUUUUUUUAUAUUAUACUAUUAUAAUUUUAAAAGGAUUAUAUUUGUGAUGGCAAAAUUAAAAAUAUAAAUAAUUUUUUAACAGUUCUCUAACGAAAACAAAUUAGAAAGAUAUAUUUAAAAAUAUCAUAAUUUUUACAAAUACAGUAUAUAAAAGUCAAAUUUUAUAGAAAUAUAUUUAUUAUUUACUAUGUUUGCAGGAAUAUGUACGAAACUAACCUUAAAACAUAACACGCAAACAAAAAUAGACCAAGUCCAUAAUUUUAGGCAGGAUUAGAUGUGUGUCAAAUUAGUUUGGCCUUUAUCACGCCAACACUCUCAGUCAACCAUUCAAACAAUCAUACAACUCACAUUCAACAAACUCCCACCUCCAAGUCAAUAGAAUUAAAAAAAAAAAAAGAGAGAGGAAUAGAUGCUCUUUGCUUCUUAUCCCCUCUCCAUCUCCUCCUCCGACUCAUCUUCUUCGUAAUAAGAGAAUAUUUAUUUUUGGGUAGUGGUGGUGGUGGUGUCUUGUUUACCGAUUUCAACUUCUUUCUAAAUUUUUUUUGUUCCGAACCGGAAUGAAGACGGGGGAGAAGUCGAAGCUGGUGCGGAGCCUGCGGCUGGAAUCGCAGCGCUUCCGGCUGCUGAUCAUCGUCGUCGGCGGCUUCCUCGUCACGCUGACCUUCAUCGUCGUCUCGAAGCCCGACGCCAUCCUCUCCUCCUCCUCCUCGCCCUCCGCCGCCGCCGCCGCCGAUGACGGUCGGUCCCUCCCACCCUACCGCCUUAGCUGCUUUCGUUCGUUUGUAGUUUUUCAUCUGUUAUUUUGAAUGCUGAUCUUUGCUUUUGUGAGGUGAUUUCAGCGAGAUCGGCCUCGGCUUUUCAGAAAUCUCCGCGGACGGAGUUAUCGGAGACGAAGAUGACGAUGGAUUUCAGAGAAAUUUGUGAGAUUUUUAUUUUUGAAUUUUCAGCUCAAUCUUUGUUUUUUUUUUUUUUUACUUCUUAAAUUGGUUUUUUNUAUUGAGGAUUUUUUUUUUUUUUUUUUUUCAGCUGAAGAUCCUCAACCAGAUACUGUGGCAGAGGAUAACAAACCAAAAUGUACAUCAACCUCUCUUUCUCUCUCUCUCUCUCUCUUUAUUUUUGGUGGUGGUGAUGGAUGAGAUAAAUAUUGGGGUUUUUGACAUUUUGAUUGCUAUAUUUUUUUAAAAAAAAAAUUUAUUUUUUUAAAAAAAAAAAAUUUGCAGGGGACAAAAAUGAGGCAGAGGAGAAAGAAGAAGAAGAGCCAAAACACAAAAUCACCCUCCCAACAGUUUCAAACUACACAAUAGAAGAUUCAGAUCAAACCAACCCAGAUCAAUUAGGUAAACCCACUUUUCCCCAAUCUUUUUUUUUUCAUUUAAAUCUUAAAUUUUGACUCAGAUUUAAUCCUUAAAAAAAAUUUUAAAAAAAAAGAGAGAAAUAGAGCAAAAGUAUACUGUUUUCCUGAAUAGCCCCAAUUUGAGAAAAGAACCACUUUUCAAAAUUCAAUUUUUCUUUGGUUAAAAAAAAAAAAAGAGAAGCACUUUUUAGAAAAGCACAUGAUGAGUUGCUGUAUCUGUGGCAACCACUUUUGAAAUUUUUGAUAUUUUUAGAAGAGCACUUAUUUUAUUUUUUCCUCACUUUUUUUUUCUUUUUUUUUUUCACUUUUUACAGGGGUUGAGAGUGAAAAAUGUGAUGACCCCCAAUCUUGUUCUCACAAGGGGAAGCAUAAACUCACUCUCCCAACCAUCUCCAAUUACACCAUAAAUGACUCAAUCCAAACUGAAUCAAGUGAGCCCACCAAAUCAGGUGCUCUAUUUAACCACCCUUUUAAUCCUUUUUUACUUCAAAUUUGUUGGUAUAUCCCCUUUUUUAGCGAAUUCUCGGUAAAAUUGUUCGCAGAGAGCAGAUUCGACACUGUAAUUACCCUCGAAACGAACCCGCUUCAGAACGACGAUGCAGCCGAUUCGAUUCAACCGAGUACGCUCGCAAAUUACGUGUUUUUCUUCGUUUAAUUCGAUGUAUCAUGUUAGUCGAUGGUGAUUUGGAAUGUUUUUGAUUGUGAAGGUUCAACAACAAGCAUAAAGCUGGAGAGGAAGCCACUCUGUGAUUUCUCGAACUUCAGAGCGAAUGUCUGCGAAAUGGACGGCGGUGAAAUUAGGGUUCACCCGAAAUCGGCCUCGAUCGUGUAUAUGGAGUCCGACGAUUCGAAAGCUGAUGAGAUCUAUAAGAUUAAGCCUUACCCGCGAAAGGGCGACGAGUUUUGCCUCAGCCAUGUUACUGAAUUGACCGUGAAAUCGAGCAAAGAGGCUCCUCAAUGCACGAAGCACCACGAUGUCCCGGCGCUGGUCUUUUCAAUAAGUGGCUACACCGGAAACCUCUUCCACGAUUUCACCGAUGUUUUGGUCCCCCUCUUCACGACCGCGAACCAAUUCAACGGCGAGGUUCAGCUCGUGAUCACCGACAUGCAUCCGUGGUGGGUGAUCAAAUACCAAAAGGUGCUUCAAAAGCUCUCGAACUACCCGUUGAUCGAUUUUAGCAAGGACGACCAAGUGCACUGCUUCAAAAGCGUCAUCGUCGGGCUCCACGCGUACAAGGAGUUCAGAAUUGAUUCAUCUAAAGCUCCUAAGAACUACUCGAUGGCCGAUUUCAACCGAUUCAUGAGGCGCGCGUUCUCGGUGGAGAGGGAGGCGACGACUCCGGUCGGGGAGAACCCUAACAAGAAGCCGAAGCUCCUCAUCAUAUCGAGGAAGAGAACAAGGAUGUUUCUCAACCUCAAUGAGAUCAUCGGGAUGGCCGAGGAGUUGGGCUUCGAAGUGGUGGUCAACGAGGCCGACGUGUCGUCCGACCUCUCUCGAUUCGCUCGAAUUGUGAACUCAUGCGAUGUGAUGAUGGGCGUGCACGGGGCGGGCCUCACGAAUUGUGUGUUCCUCCCGCCGAACGCGACCCUCAUUCAAAUAGUGCCGUGGGGAGGGCUGGAUUGGAUAGCAAGGCUCGAUUUCGGCGAUCCCGCGAACCAAAUGGGGCUAAGGUACUCGCAAUAUGGCAUCACGCCGGAGGAGAGUAGCCUCUUGGAGCAAUACCCGCGUGAUCACGAGAUAUUCAAGAACCCUUUCGCGUUCCACAAGCGCGGCUUCGACUACAUAAGGAGAACAUUCAUGGAUAACCAAAAUGUGAGGCUUGAUGUGAAGAGGUUUAGGAAGGUGCUAGUGGAAGCACUUGAUCAACUCAACCCUUAAAAAAGAACACUAGUUUGAGGCAAUUUUAUUUGAUUUGAAGGAUUUUUGUAUACCUUUUUCAUUUAGAUGUUCCAUGUUUUUAUUUAUUUUCAUCUUCUGCUGGAAUUCAGAAGAAAUUAAUGGUCUUUUGUUUAUGUAAGAUAUUGAAUUGAAGCUAGAAGAUGAACAAAUCAACUUAUAUGAUUCUAUGAUUAAAACCAAAAUAUAUUCUUUCUCAUAUUGGCCUUGGUAUCUCUAUAGUUGCAAUGUUGAAACUUUAAAUGACAUUUUUUAUUUAUUUUGUUUCAGUUCUCUUUGAAUCAUAUUUGUGUUGCAUAAGAUUUGUAUUAAAUUGACUUAAAAAAAAUAAAUUUAUAUCUAUAAACAUAAACAUCUGUGUCAAUCAUGGUUGUUUAGAGGAAGCUUCCUUGUUAGGAAGGCCAAUUCAAGUUGACAUGAGAUAGCUUCAAAAUUUUCCCAACAAUUUGUUUUAAAAGAAAUUAUCAAAAUGAAAAGGGUUAUGGUUAUAUGAAUGAGCAAACAUCAUCAAAGUUUGUCAUUGUCAUAUUUUAUUUGGAGCUACAUCACCAACCAAUCAAUUAAAACCCCAAUUCAACACAAUAUUGAGAUGAUGGAAAUGGACAUUCAAUGAAGCAUUUGAUUACUUUGUUUUAUUUGUUCUACAAAUUCAACAAGUUCACAAUUAAAUUAAGACUUAGUCCAAGUGAUUAAAUCAAUAGUUAAGAUAUUAAUUAUGAUCUGAGUUGGCCAUGCACACACUUUGAGACUAAUAAAUUAUAAAUCUAAUAAAAUACUGGUGGUUAACAUGGCAUUGUAGCCAAGAUGCUAGUAUGAGAUUGAUUGUAUACUCCAUAUUGGGCAUUUCAUUAUUUUAGGUUGGUUGUAAUGUCUCCAUCUAUAAUUUUUUUUUAAUUUUUCUUAAGAAUAUGAUGGAACACUACUUCACCAAGAUGAUACUAGGCAUAGCUAAGAAAUUAUUCUAAAGUACAGUUUAUGAAUCAAAUUAAAUAACACCGCACCUAAGUGUAGUUCAACUUUUUAGUCGACAUGCGAUGCUAAACUUAUAAUUGAUUUUCAUCUAGGUAACUAUCUUCAAUUUGUUGCAAUUGAGUCACUGAUCUAAAUUAUUUCCAAAUUGGGUCUAAAAUUAUUUUUAUACGAAUUGUUUUAAGGCUAAAAUAUACAAUUUUUUUUUUUUGUAAAUAUCUAUUUUUUACUUUUAUCCUGAAACAUAUAUUUUGCUCUUUCAAAAUUUUAAGUUGUUGUACUUAAGUCCUCUUCAUCAUUCAGCUAUUGGCUUAAAACCGAGCGGCUAGGUUGGGCUGAGUCACGUUCGAAAUAGCGUAUAGAUGGGUUGGGCCGAGUCAUAUUCGAAGUGACGUAAGGCUGAUUGGGCCGAAUUACAAUCGAGACCCAAGAGCGCUGUAUUUGUACACUUUAAGUGAAUUAAUUACAUAUUUCUAACAUGUGACACCCAAUAGUCCCAUAUCGGAUGGGAAUGGAGUUGUCAUUGGGUUUAUACGAGACUUAGACACUAGUAAUAAUAAUUGAGCUUAAGCAUUUUGGGCUGUUGGCUGGGCCCAACGAAUUAUUAUUGCUAGUGGGCUGGGUCGUUACAUUUGGUAUCAGAGCCAACAACUAGGUUCAAGUCACUCACCCAAAAAUUCUGAACCUCAAGACAACAGACCGAAACUACUAACCAACAAACCUUUUAGCUAAAUGGGAGCACAAAAUGCUAGCUCAAUUAUUAUUACUAAAUGUUCUAAGUCUGUAUAAACCAAUACAACUCCAUUCCCACCGCAUAUGGGGACUAUUGGGUGUCACGACUCCCCCCGUUAAGCCCUGACGUCCUCGUCAAGUCCAAUCACUAACACAGCCCAAGAUCACCAGGCGAUGUGAGACUCGUUCUGCUAGCCCGUAUCCAGACCCUGCUCAGCCGAGACUCUCACACAUGUCCAGCUUGCUUCACCGUGAACCGGCUCUGAAUACCAAAUAUUAACGGACCCAGCCCACUAGCAACAAUAACUCGUUGGGCCAACCACAGCCCAAAAUGCUUAAGCUCAAUUAUUAUUACUAGUGUCUAAGUCUCUUAUAAACCCAAUGACAACUCCAUUCCUAUCCGAUGUGGGAUUAUUGGGGUGUCACAUAACAACUCGAGCUUUUGGGAUUAAUAUUAUGCCAUCUUUGUUAAUAGUGUAAUCCUCUGCAAAUAUUUUUGAAAUUGUGACGGAGCAAAAUAUAGAUUUUCAAAAGUCAAAAAAAAAUUAAAAAAUGAGUAUUUAAAGAAAAAAUUUCUAUAAUUUAGCCUUUCUCUUAAUCGAGAGAGAUAGUAUAGAAGCUGUUAUAGUUACCACGCCAUUCAAUAACAAUGGUGAGGCAAUUCAUUUGAUGGUAUCAAGAUUGUGCAAUAUGUGAUUCGGCGACCACAUAAUUUAACGAAAAUAACAUGAUAGUUGAAUCACCCAUCAUAUUAUUUUCUUUCUGGAGAAUUCAAGUAAAGUUUCUUAGGCUUCGUUUGGUUCGGGAAUUAGUAGGAACUAGUUAUACCAGAAAUAGAUACAAGUAUGAAUUUUUGUAAGAAAAAGAGUAUUUUUUUGUUUGGAUGAAAAUAUGAAUAUAAGUUGGAACUAAAAAAAUUGUCUUUGGAUGGUUAUUGAAAAUAAGAGAAAUAAUUGAUGGUUAUAAAUAGAAAAUAAUGAUAUUAUCUCUAUAAUUGAAUUUAAAUUUUUAAAUUUUAAACUUAUAAUUUUAUAUUGAAAAUUUUGAACAAGCUUGUUCCCACCCAUACCCGAUAUGGGUACGCGGGUGGGAACAAGCUUGUUUCCACCGACCCAAAUGGUGUUUGGGUACAAGAGAGGGAUAACCCCUUUAUCCCCCUUCUUAUAUCCAAUCCAAACACCUCCUUAGAAUUAAAGAUAUCCGUGGACGAGGUCAGAUCUAGAUAGUUGAUAUACUAUACCCGUACCCUAAAAAAAUAUGGAUACGAAAAAAAAAAACUAUACCCUACCCAUUUGACUUCGGAUCGGAUCCGUGUCUAGGUACUUAAAUUACUAAUAUACCCAUCGGGUCUAUUUGAGCGGAUCUAAAUAGUAACUAUCCGUAUACUAUUCGCUUAAAAUCAAAUACGGCUCGGAUUUAGAUCGAGUACGGAUACCCAUAUACAUAUAUUUUUUUAUUAUACACAAAAUUAUAAACCUAUCACUAUAAAAAAAUUCACGUUCUAAUUAGUUGCACCCAGUCCAAUAAAAUUUAUUUUAAAAAAAGAUUCAGUAAAAAGCCAGAAUUAAAAAAUGAGUAAAAUAAAAAAAAAAGAGUAAACAAAGAGACCGGAUUUUCACUACGAUGAAAAUAUACAGAGAUCCUUAAUUUAUAAGUCCUAUUGAAAUUGAUUCCUCAACUUCAAAUUUUUUUAUUUACUAUCGGGUAUUUCACUGGUUCCAAAUCUGAAUCUGGUUCCGGGUCCGAAUUUGAAAUAUCUUCCGGACCCUACUCAUUAAAAGGUUGGGUUCGGGUCCGAUCAAAGUCGGGUAUGGAUAUAAACUAUCCGGAUCCAUACCCGGAACUUAAAUGAAUAUUUUUUUACCUAUAUACCAUCCAUUUUUUAUCAGGUCCGAUUCGGAUCCGAGUAGGGUCUAAAUAGGAUACAGUAUAUCGAAUAUUUUGGACAGCUUUACUUAGGAUUGAGAUAAAUACACUAGCCAACAAUAUAUAUUUUGCUUUAGACUUUUAAUUGAAAUGCUAAAAUACAAAAUCCUUUUGUAAGUACCUAAUUUUUCACCUUUUUUAUUUUAAAAAAUCGACAAUUUAGUCUCUCAAAAUUUCACACUGAUGCAUUAAACCCCCCUCUGUCCAGUUCUGUUAUUAUUCCGUCUAUUUUUUAUAAUUUAUACCGAAAAUACUCUUAAAAACAAUAUAAAUAUAUUAAAAAAUAUUUUUUCAUUGAAUAAAUGAGGUAAUUUAGUUAUUUAGCCCUCUGCAUUAACACCGUGACCCCCUAAAAUUAUUUCUAAAAUUUUAACAGUAUAAAAUAUAAAUUUUUGAAAGUCAGCGAGUACAGUAAAAAAAAGAUAUUUACAGAAGAAUUUUUCAUAUUUUAACUUGUUUCCAAUGUCAUAUUUUAAAUCUCAUUCAUCAACUAUAUUUGUGUGUUCGAUAUGGCCCACGUGAUUUAUUAAAGGCGAUUUAUAAAGAUACAGUCAAUCUAUUUAAGUCAAUCUAUAAAUAUACUACCGACCGACCCUAGAGCAAGUGGCAAAGGGCUUGGUGGUUGGUACCCGAAACCCAAGUUUGAAUCCUAAUUGAUUCACAUUUCCAGCUAAGUUUAUUUUUAAAUGAAAUAAACGAAGCGGGUAGUGUGCUACCUUUCUCUCUCAAAAAAAAAAAAUCAAUAAAUAUACUGUAGAUCGAAUGGGUAGAAUGUAUCUGAACACGUCCUUGAUGGACGGACAUGAUUUAACAUCCUUACAUUAAGCUAUAUAUAAAUAUAUAAUAUACGGGAGUCCCGAUGUAAUCCUAAGCCUAAUUCCUGUGAUGGCUCUAUUUUCGGGGAUAAGAAAAUUUAGACUUGAAACGUUCCGCUCUUUUACAGUUCGUGAAUAACAACGAACGACAAGUAAAAAUCGUCAUCUACAAUCCGAAUAUUGAAAUUAAAAUUAUAAUAGAAGGUACGAUGCUAAUUUCUAAUAAAAGCUUUAACAUUGUGUUCAAUAGAAAAGGUCUCCAUCCGCAUUUUUCAUGAGCCCUAAUUUCUCAUACGGAAGGUAUGAGCUGUUAAAUAUUGUGCAUGUGGCUAUGAACUAUAUCUUAUUUUUAGUCAAAAUUUGAGGGUUACACCACCGACGAAAUAAAAGGGUAAAAUUUAGGGAUAGUCCUUGUACUCCCAAAAUGUUGCUACUUAGUGUAUAUUCUUUUUAUUUGUCAGAUCGUUGACACUAAUUAUUAAUUCUAAAAUUCGAGUGAUUAGAAAUAUGCAACUAAUUUACUUAAAUCAUAUAUACAUAUAUAGCGCUUAUGGGUCUCGAUUGUAACUCGAUCAACCAGCUUCACGCUACUUCUCAUAUGACUCAGCUCAAUCUGACUUUUCACCAUUACGAACGUGAGUCGGUCCAAUCUAACCUCCGACCACAUCGCAGGAUGCUGGCGUCUUUAAUUUUAGAAAAUUCCAAAAUUUUCAUACAAAAUAACUAAGUUAUUUCAAUCUACAACAAUGACUCAAUAUUACUUUAUAUAAUGAUUAGAAAUUAAAAUAUAAUAAUGUAAAGAGAAACCAAAUUGUGAUAUGGGAAUAGUGCAGGGAUCAUUCAUACAAUUAAAUUUUUUUUAUAAAAAAAUUGCCAACUAAUGCAUGGAGGUUGUUUUAGCUUGCAUCAGUGCUAUCUAUAGCUGUUAGCUAGGCACGGUCACAUUCAACAAAACGUUACGUAACAAACGCUUGGUGGGGACUACCAUGCAAAAUAUAAAAUUUUUUAUUUCAUUUUUCACUUUACUUUAUUAUUUUAUUUAUUUUGCAUUUGGGUCCUUGUCACCCCAUGUGUGUUGUUUCACACCAUCACACCUUUGCUCCCUCAAAGUAAGGAAAAGAUAUUUGUUUAUUUACUGGAAAAGAGAAAGGGCGAGGGAAUCUCGUUUUGCCUCGGAAAGUGUGAACUCUUGUACUAAAAUAAAUUAAAAGAGACUUCACAUUUUGCGAACUUAUCCUCUCACAUAAAUAUGAAAGUUAACGGGUCCAAUUCGGAUCGGGUUUAGAAAAAUCUAAAUUCAAACAGAUCCGGAACUUGAAUCCGAGCUUGAGUCUGAAUCCGACGGACUUUAAAAGCCCAUAUCCAAAACUGAAUCCAAUCAAAAAUUCUAAAUUUGAACCCCAACUCGAAAACUCGAACACGAAGCAAUUAUUUUUCUUUACUAUAUUUCAAAAUAAAUUAAUAAAUUAUAAAUUUUUUUAAAAAAUUAAAAUAUAACAUCAAAUAUUUAUAUAUAGUAUAUAAUAUAAAAUGUAUUUAUCGGAUUCGGGUACUGAAAUAAUUCAUAUUUGAAUUCGAAUUCGCCGGGUUUUCGUUUUUUAUAGUCAUAUUCAACACUAUAUCUGUUUAGUAUCGGGUAAACCCACUCCAUUCGGAUUUGAGUGCGUGUUUAAAUAAAAUUUCAAGUAUCCUUACCCAUUGACAUUCCUACAUAUGAAUAGUAUGUACUUAGAGUCCGUUGGUUGCACGUAUCUGCAACUGCAGUGCAGUUGCAAAUACAUGCAACUUCAAUUCUCAUGUUUGAAUUUAGUGCAGUUGACCGUCAAUUUGAACACUCUAUCAUCUAAAAUGACAUGGAAGCAUCAUGGACUAGAUAUUUCUAAAAAUAUUCUAACUCAGUCCUAGAGGUAGUAUAAUAUUGUAUAAAUCAACAAAAAAAAAAAUUAUUGUUUAAAAUCAACUUAGAUAAAUAUAACUAAUUAUAUUAAGGUUUUUCUUUUAACUUAAAUUUUAUGCAAUUUAAAGGCCUGUCAAAAUAGAUUUCUUUAUUAUUGUGAUCACAGAUAAUCUAGCCAUAUAUCUUCCUAAAAAUAAUAAUAAGAACAAAAAUAUAUAAACUCAAUUUGCCUGAACUAUAGACCAUUUUGAUUCGACUAUUCAAUUUUUCAAAAUUUUAAUAUUAUUACCUAACCUUUCAACUUAUUUGACUUAAGUGAUAUGAUGAUUUUUCAAUUACAAAAUUUAAACUAAUUGCCCACUUUAAUGAAUUUAUAAUUACGUACAUUAAUUGCAUAUAAUAUACUAACUAAAUUCGUAAAGAUAAACAACACAUUCAAAUUUCGAAAUUAAAAGGUCACUAAUUGACUUAAAUCAAAUAAAUAAAAAAGUCAGAUAAUAAAAUCAAAAUUUUCAAAGAUUAGAUAGUCGAAUCCGAAAAGCUGAUAAUUGAUGUAAGUUUUAUACAUUUUUGCCAAUUAAAGAGAAAUAAGCACUUAAAAGCAACCAUCAUUUUUUUUUUUUUGUUUUCUCACAAAAAACAUGGAAUGCAAACAAUUCACCAUCUAUCCAUAUAUUCAAUGAUACUGAAUUUGAGUUCCAAAAAAAAUAUAAUAAUAAAUAUGAUAAAAUGGGGUCUUAAGCAACAAUUAGAUUUACCAUGCUUGAUCCAUCUUUAGAAACUAGAAAAAGUAAUUAACUUGAGAAUUAUUGUGAGGCAAAAUAAAUGCUAAUUUUACAUAUACAGUAGGGUCACAUAUAAAUAAGAAAUUAAUGUUGGCAAAACUCGAUCAACCAAGAUAAGCAGUUUCAGUUAAAUGGGUUGGUGGUUAGUUAAUGGUCCUAAUUAAUUAUUAUCUCCAACUUUUGAGGUUCUUAAUUUGCCAUUUAAUGACUUUUUUAAUUUUUUUCUAAACAAAGAGAAUCAAUCCAUGUGACAAUCUUAACUCUACAGUAGAAAUUUCCUAGUUUAUUAUAUUCUGCUUUUAUUUAUUAAAAAAGAAAAUCUGUGAUCUUGAACCAUUAGGUAGACAUUUAAUUUGAUUUAGCUGAAAAUGUAUAAACAUUUUAUCGCGACAAAAUUAAGAAAAGGAUAUAAUUUUAGUCUUGUGCUUUUGCAGUAGUAGAUAGUUUUGUGACAACUUCAUUACUCUAUUCAAACAAACUCUUUAUGAAUUAAUUAACAUUCUUUUUUUUUUCUUUCUUUUUCUUUUUUUUUGAGAAAUAGGUAGCAAGCCACCUGCUUCAUUCAUUAAGCGAAAUGAACAAUUAACAUUUUUUUCAUAAGCUUCAACUGAGUGAAUAAGUCACAACCAUGUUCAAGCAGUUUUAUUUUCCACUUAAUUUUUUGUUUAUAAUUGGUUUCUACACUCUUCUCAGGUGAUACAACAACAAAAAUUUGGCACAGGGAUUAAGUAGCUAGUAAUAAUAAUUUCCACCUCUCACAUUAUUCACAAUCUAUACAGUAUACACUACAACAAAAUUUCUCACAUUAUUCACAAUCUAUACAGUAUACACUACAACAAAAUUAGGUUAUAGGGACAUAUUUUUGGGGCACUUUUGUGUACAUAUUUCAUUUUUACCAAAAUUUUUUUAAAAAAAUCUAUAAGGUCUAAAUAUAAAACCUAAUCCAACCAAAAAUAAAAAAUUUCUCUACUCAACCAGUCCCACCCAGCCCACUCAACCCAAUUACAAAUAGGAAGAAAAAAAAAAAAUGAUCACCAUCUCCCCUACUCCUCCGCCGCCGCAGCCGACGAGGUAGGGUUCCAGUGGCUGGAGUUCGGUCGCGAGAAUCUCGCAGGGGUUGUAGAGAGUUACGAUCACCACGUAUUCCUCCACCACAGGUCGCUGGAGGAGUGGGUGCCAAACAUCGAGACGAUCCCACAUAUAGCGACUCCACAUAUAGCGGCUUUUUUUAGAAAGUUUCGGUAAUUUAGCCAACAACACUUUUUUUAAUCUGUACCGAUAUUUUAAAAGUGUCGCUAUAUACCGUUUUUGUUGUAGUACUUGUAACAAGUAUUAAUAUUCACUCCGAAAGCUGUGCCAAAAAGAAUAAAAUAUUUAUACAAUACAAAAUAUAAAUGUAGCUUGUUUAGCUGAAAGUAAAAAUGUAUAGAAUAUAUUUGAAUUAUAGACUGUUUUAAUGUGAUGGUUUUUUCGAUACAAAAUUUAACCUAAUUAUUUAUUUGAAUAAAUUUACCAAUAUAUGAAUUGUACAAAAUAUUUUAAUUUAGCCCGUAAAGAUAAGUAACGUACGACCGAUACAGAUUAAAUAAAAAUGAGAGGUUAGAUAGUAAAAUUUAAUUUUUUAAUGGUUAGAUAGUUAGAUCAAAAUUAGUGACCGUUAAAGUAAAGUUUAUAUAUUUUAGUUUUUUUUUGUAAAUAACACCACCUCAAAAUAAAAAUGGAGAAAAAAAAAAUACAGCUCAUUUUUGAUGAAACCAAGGAAAAGAUCCCCCACCUCGUAACUUCCUGUGAAGCCAAAAUCCAGCAAAAGCAGCAUGGUAAAGCUCCUAGAACCUUCUCCAUUGUUCACCUCCCUUGGUUCCAAUAAAAUUAAAUUAAAUUAAAUUAAAAUUUAAAAAAAAAAUCUACCACAUGGAUCCCAAUUUAAUUUUCUGUUCAUUGUGGUCCCUAUGAUUUGAUGAGGUGAUUGCCACCACCACAUAUUAUAUACAUAUAUAUACAGUAAAAAAAAAAAACAAAGAAAAAAGGGAAAGUGACUCGACUCUAUCAAUUAAUUAUAGUAUAAUAAUCCUAUUAUUCUUGUCUCCUUGCUUUAGUGAUGUACACAAAGAGUAAUGUAAUGGUUUCUUUAAAUAGGUUAAUAAUAGAGGCCAUCUAGGGUUAUGACAUUAAUCAUUGCACAUUAUAUCUUUAAUGCCAUGAUUUGCUCUAAAUUAUUUAACAUAUUUAUUAAAAGAUGAGAGCAUAACCAUAACCAGAAGAUAAAACUAUGAGGUAAAUAUAUAAAUAUAUGCUGAGUUUUGAAGUUUUCUUCUAGAGGAUCUGUUUGAACUAGCAAUGCGAAAAUUUUAAAAUUUGGAGUUGCCGUUGCGGUGCGGUUGAAAUGGACUUGCAAAUUAGACUUUUGCAAGAAGUCACGUCAGGAAGAAGACUAGGUCAAAUGAGUCCAGAAAUUUUAGAUGUGCAGCAAAAUAUUUGCAACCAUUCUUAACCAUCAAUCAAGAUUAAGAAAGGAAAAAACAAAUUAUUCUAAACCCUCCACAUCAAAUUUUUUUUUUGUUUUGUCCUUAUUGCCAAAUUCCAUCUAAACCAACCAUAUGGGCAUGAACUUGUGCCUAAACCCUUUUACAUCUCACACCCAAACUCUUUGAUCUUGUUACACUUAAAACAAUUCAAAUUCAAGAAAAAAAAAAAAAGGAAAAAAAAAAAAAACCAUAAUCUAACUCUCCCUAUAUAAUUCCCUUCUUAAUUAUAUAUUAAUUAUCAUUAUUUUUAUUUUUUUAUUUUUUGUUAUUGUUAUUUUCUCGUCAAUGACUAUGACUAUGAGGCAGGAGCCUCAGAGCCUCCAACAGAGUGUUCUUGAGCCUGCCCAAAUGCGGCCUCAAAUUCUGCUUGUCCAAAUACACGGUUUUGAGCGCGUCCCAGCCUUGCUUGUGGACGGAGAAGGGGUCUUUCAGGACCGGGUGGUCGGUGUGAUAUUGCUCACUAAGUGUUGUCUCGUCGAGCCGUAUCUUGUACUCGAUGUAGUGGAUCUCCAUGUCCUUGGCGGGCUCCUGGAAGGUUCCUCUGGCCAGCCACUCCAGCCCGCCGAAGGGCACGAUCUGAAUCAGCACGGCCCCCGCGGGGAGGAACACCAUGUUGGUCAGCCCCGCCCCGUGGGCGCCGACCAUCACGUCGGCAGAAUUCACCAGCCGCGCGAACUUGGCGACGUCGGUGUUGAUGUCGGGCUCGCCCACGCGCACGUCGAAGCCCAGGCUGGUCGCCAUGUCGACCAUCGCCCGCUCGUUCAGGAACGUCCGGGAGUUCUUCCGGGAGAUGAUCAGCAGCCGCGGCCGCCGCCGGAUGUCCCACUGGUCGCCGCUCGGCGCCGCGGCCGCCCGCUCCAGCCCGAAGGCGCGCCGCAGCAGCUUCCGGAAGUCGGCCGCCGAGUAGCCCCCGGCAGUCUUCCCCGCGUCGACGCCGAGCUCCUUGUGGAAGGUCGGGCCGACGACGGCGCGCGGGAAGCAGUGGACCUCGUCGUCGUUGUCGACGUCGAUUAUGUCGUACUUGGAGAGCUGCUGGAAGAUGAGCAGGUACUUGCUGAUCCACCAGGGCUUGAGGCUGCUGACGAGGAACUGCACCUCGGCGUCGUAUCGGAACGAGCUGAUGAACACCGGGACGAGCACGUCGGUGUAGUCGUGGAAGAGGUUGCCGGUGAAGCCGCCGUUGGAGAAGAUCAUGGCGGUGGCGGAGUGGUUGCGGGUGCAGGGCGGGGGAGGCCGGGCGGCGGAGAAGGGUUUGAGGGUCCACUCCUUGACGUGGGAGAGCGCGAAGGCGUCGUGCUUCCGGCAGUAGGGCUUGAUCUUCCACUCCUGGGCCAGCGGCUGAAUGUACACGGUCUGGGUGCGGCCCUGCACGCGCACGUCGCCGGCAGCCUCGCACGUGUCCGACCGCCGGCUCGACUCGUAGCACGUCGGCUUGCUCAGGUCGACCGCCUGCGCCUGCGCCUCCGCCUUCGCCUUCGUCUCCGUUUCUGCUUCGUCGUCUUCGUCCUCUGCGAACCAAAACAAUAAAAAAAGAGAAAAUGUUGAGUUUUGGUCCAUUGUUAACAAAUUUACGCACGAUUUAUGUUAAUUGAUUGAUGCAUUGGUGUAAUUCUUUUUUUGUAGAGAAAGAAAAAGAAAGAGGGAGAGAGAGAUUGAAAAGAAACCAAUUGCAGCAGAGUCAGCUGUUUCUGCUGUUUCCUUUGUUUCUUCUUUUUCUAUCUUCAAGCUCUCCUUCCUCUCUUCCUCAAACACCACUGGCUCAUCUGAUUUCACUGCUUCAAAAAAAAAAAAAAUAAUCCAAAAAAUACUUCAGAGAGAGAUAUAUAUAUAUAUAUAGAGAGAGAGAGAGAGAGAUUAAGAAUCUAUACCAUAAGGAGCAAAGUGGGACUUGAUGAUGGAGAGAACACAAAGAGAGAGGAAUAUGGCAAGUAUGAUGGUCACAUUCCCCACCCUUUUAGCCUCUGUUCUUGAGAAAUUCCUCUGAGACUUCAUCUUCCUUCUUCUUCUUCCUCUUCCUCUUCCUCUUCUUCUUCUUCCACCUUUUCUUAAAGCUCGCUCGCUCUCUCUCUCUCUCUCUCUCUCUCUCUCUCUCUACUCUUCUAUCUGGAGCACUUCAAACCUUUGUUGAAUCAUUAAUAUACCAACUUGGGUCUUCUUCUUUUUAUAUGUAUUUAUAUAUAUAUUAGAAAAAUAAAAAGAAGUGGUUAAUAAAGUUUUGAGCCAUGACAUGUGUACACCCAACAGCAAUUGUAAAUUUUACACUAUUUAUUCAAGAGACCAUUUUAUUAUACUAGUUUUACCACACUUUAAUUUGCUAAUAAUAAAAUUCUAAAAAAAAUUAUACGUAAAUCUUACCGUCUAUUUAUUAUAUUAGUUUUAGCAUGCAUUUAUUUCUCUAAUACUAAAAAUCUAAAAAAAUUAUAUGUAAAUCUUACACUCCGCUUGCUUUCUGAAGAUUUAUUGUAUUAUAUUAGUUUUAUUAUCCUUUUAUUUUUUUAAUUCUAAAAAAAUUAAAAAUUAUAGCAAAUCUUAUACUCUACUAUCCAAGAGUUUAUUUUAUAUAUUUUAUUAGUUUUUUUAUUUUUUUAUUUUUUUAAUACUAAAUAUGUAACCGUUCACACCUGACAUGAUUGGCUGCUAUGUACUUUAUAAUUUGGUAGCUGAAGUUUUCAAAUUCGAAGCUCAAUUGAUUUAGAUUUUUAGCUAAAUUUACUUUUAAAUAAUAAGCGAAAUAAAUAACUUGCUAUAUUUUUCUUAAAAAAUUAAAAAUUAAAAAAAUUAUAUAAUUUAUAUUCUAUUUUUGAAUGCAUAGAGAAUAAUUUUUUUGAAGUUUUAUAAGGGUUGGUGGAUUCGCAUCAUGGGUUGACUAAUAGUGACAAGCACUAGCAAUACAUGGAGAAGGCACAAAUUCAUUACUAUAUUUUUUUGUGUUUUAUAAUAGUAAUUACCAAAUCUCUUUAUUUUAAUCAAAAUGCACUUAAUUACCAACUCUUGUGUUUGAAUAUCAAACCGUUAGAUUUGUAGCUUUUUCUCUUCCAUUUUUAAAUACAUGUUACAAUAAACUUUAAUAUUUGUGGUUUUUAAUUAUUAGGUGCAAUCAAAACUCUAAAACUUAUCUUCUUCUCUUUUUUUUUUUUGGCUCACACUAGGUUUGGAACCCUAGAUUUUUUUUUUUUAAUACAAUCACACCAUAUAUGUAUGCAGUCAAUUAGGCUUUGCUAUGAUUAGUACAAGUGGAUUUGGAUUUUAAUGUUGUGAAAGAGAGAAAACUCAAAACCAAAUGUUGUUUUUGACCUCAUCUAAAUUGUACUUAAAUAGAGUUGACACAGUAUAAGCAUAGUGGCCUAAGAAUGUGACAUAUUUAUGCAAAGCAUAAUGGCCUAAGAAUGUGACAUAUUUAUGCAAACCAUUUUGAUUCGAUUAUCAAAUUUAAUAUUUUAAUUUUAUUUAAUUUGAGUUAGUCGAUGGCAUCUUGAUGUCAAUUUUGAAUGCAUCACUUAUGUUUACAUAUUUAAUUAGAACAUUUCAUACCAUUCUUCCAACUAUAAAUUUAUUAAAAUAAUUAAUUAGGUUAAAAUUUGAAUUCAAAAUAUCGUUGUCUAGCUGAAAUCAAAUAAAUUUAAAGGUCAAGCAGUAAAAUCAAAAUUUUAAAAGACCAAGUUGCUGAUUCAAAAUAGCAUAUAGUUCAGAUAAAUAAUGUAAAUUUUUAUCUUGUUAGAAUUCAUCCAAUUCAAUAUAUAGUUUGAGCAUGUAAAUUUAAACACUUCUAGCAUAUGCUAAUUCAUUGAAUAUUUUAAUUUAUUUAUACAAUAAUGUGUACCACAGUAACCUAUAUGAAAGGACACAUGAGCCUUAUGUACUAGUAUUAAAGCAACCUUAACCUAUUUUUGCAAGCAUCCAUAUUGUUGUUGCUUGGAAAGGGAUAUUUUUUCCUCUUUUUUUUUUUUUUUUUUGACUAUUUCAAAGUCUUCUUAAGAACAUUACAAAAAUCCAUAGAGAUCUCGUGGAAGAAGCAACCCAAAUCUAGGGUCCUCUAACUUUGACUAUUAAUUAGAAUACUAUUUUAAUUUUAUAUUUUCUUUCAAUAAACACAUGUAUUUUUAACCUUCGUUCAUUUCUUUUUAGGUAAAAAAUAAUGUAUGGAGAGACGACCCCAAAUUAAUGUAGGCCAUUUUGACAUAGACCUCUUAGUUUUCAAAUUUUUUUUAUUUAAGUUAUUUUUUUAGCCCAUAGAUCAACCUCACUGAUCAUUUCUUUUCAUUGGAUUAAUAUUAUUAACCAAUAAAGACCACUCAAUCCUAGGGGGACCAUUCAACCCUAAGGAGACCGCUAUCAUUCCAAUCGUAGAAUUUUUAAUCCAAUGACUAAAAAAUCGGAAGUAACAACUAUUUUAUACUUCCAAUAGCAUAGUAGCUCUACACUAUAUAUAUAUAUAUAUAUAUAUAUAUAUACCAUUUGGUUCGAGUAUAAAUAAGAACUAGCUAUUACAGGGAUAGGUACAAAUAUGGGAAUAAGAAAAAUAGCGUUUGGAUGAAAAUUGGGUUAUUUUCGGGGAUAAGAAAAAUAGUGUUUGAAUAGAUAAUAUGAAAUAAGAAAAAUAUUAGAUAGUUUUAUAUAGAAAAUGGAGGUGUUGGUCGGAAUAGUUAUAACCGAUUAUUAUAGGUAAUCGAGAACUACUGUUCUCGAGUAAAAAAUUAGCGUUUUGGUAUAAAGGAGGGUAUAAGGGACUAUCUCUAUCUCUAUCCCCCAACCAAACACUGCGGGAUAGUAUCUAAUAUACCUUCAGAAACUUCAAAAAUAUCUAAAUAUCCCUUGUUGACUAAAAUGUACUUAUUAAUUUUCAAAAUCCUUUCAAAUGUCCUUCAAUACACAUGGGUGUUUUGGUAAUUUAAGAAUAAAUUUGAAAAUUUUGAAUAGUAGUUAGGAAUAAAUAAGCAAAAGUAUUUUUCUUAUUAUAGCUUUCGAGGAAUUUCUUUUUUUUUUCCGCCCACUGUAUUAAAGAAAAUGUCCAACCU